UCUCCCUUCCCAAUAUGCUCAUCAAGCAAUUCCGGCACAUCAUCAGGAGUGACGUAGCCAUACCUGCAAUUAAUAAUACAUAAUAUUCAAAUUUCAUCGAUCCCAAUACGACAAAAUUUUAGAUUGUUAUGAUCCGAAUAUUACCAAUGGCCUGUUAUGCUUCCAUCUGAACCUGGGCUGUAGAUAAUCAAGUUUCCAUUGUGGCCUCCAGUGUGAAAGCAAGCAGCAACAAAUAUCUGAUUCGUCAAUCCUCGUAGCUCAGCCUCCUCUUUGAACUUAUUAAUGAGAACACAUGCACUAUCACGAUUCCAUUCCUCUCGACUACCAUGUGCACAUACAAAUACAUAGGAGCCAGUCAACGACUCUUGCACUCCGGAAGCCCAUGGUUUGUGAUUCACAAGGACAUCAUCAACAAAGCUGCCCACAUCCGACUCUUUCAAGCCCCUUUGACAACAAACAAAAACAACCUCAUAAUCACAAAAAGGGAUUUACAGGCAAGGAAUUAGUCGUAAACUGAGCCAUUAAAUUCAAAGGAAAACUAAUGAAAAGAGCUUGAAAACUUUGAGUUUUAACGAUAAGGACAAAAUAAAGGGUAAAGUGAAUAGUACCAGGAUUGACUUUUUAGUGCAAAAAUGUGGUUUUUCGUUAAAGUGAAAAGUACCAAGAGCUUUUCGUUAAGGUUCCCUAAAUUCAAUUUCUACAACUAAUUUCAGAAGCUAACACACAUCUAAUCAUCUAUUUAGGUCAGUGGAUUCAUGUUGGUUAUGGAAUGGGCCCUCCAUUAUGAAUUAAUUACGGUUUGCCAUUGUGUGUGUUAGUGUGGGCCGUGCUUAACAGCUGGGUUGGGCUGCUGCAUUUGGGCCCAGGGUGCAGCUCUCACGGGUUUUGGGCUGGGUUUCACCGAAAUAUCAAAUGACUCUUUUGCCCCCUUCAGUCCUAAUCCGACGGCCACCAUUUGCGGCGUUUGUGGUCUGCAAUUCGGUGGGGGGGGGAGGUGGGGUUAGCUUGCUUUCAAUCUCGUCAAGGAGUUCGUGCAGAGAGGCAGGGGAUGACAUCAAGUUUAGGGUGUGCACAGUGAGAGAGAAGAGGGUAGGAGCUAGAGAGAGGGGGGUGGGUUCUGUCCGCGGACGUAGGUUGCAGAGAGACAGAGAUGGGGAAAAGUAUGGGGGUGGGGUUGAGGGGAACGUGUACACAGAGAGAGUGAGGAAGGGACAUAGGAGCUAGAGGUAUGGGAAAGGAGUCGAGGAGUUGAGGAGUCGAGGGGUUGAGGGGUUGAGGGGUUGAUUUGUCAGGGGCUGCUGCAUCCUUCCUAUUCAAAAGGUAACAAAUAAUUUUCAAUUCAUUCUUUACCCUUGAAUGUGGAUUUACUGUUCGGGGUUGAGGAGGACAUCAUAUAUCUUCCCUUUUUCUGAAUUUUAGUUCUGUCUUCUUCGACUCUUAUAUCUUCCCUUUUUCUGAAUUUUCUUUAUUUCUCAUCCUUUAAACUUUGUAUUUUUUUUAAAUAUUUAUUUUUUUGGUGAUGCAGAUAGAUGAACAUGUUCAAAGGGGAAUCAUGAACCACAGAUCACUGCAUCCGAAUAUAGUUUGAUUCAAAGAGGUCAGUGAUCAUAAACUAUUUUCAUUUUGUAUUUUAAGAAUGAAUUUGGCAAGUUUUGUUUGAAUUUUGUAUAAGUAUCUGCUGAGGGUGGGUGGAUGAAGACAGAACAAACUAAAUUUGGCCUCUGGUGUGCUUAAACUGGUACGGGGGAGGGUUAGAACUUUGAGCCCAUGAUGCAGUAGGACUAGAGAAAUGCGGCAAUCCACCACUUGCAGAAUUAUUGUCAAAAUAACUCUGCUAAAAAUAUGAGCUAUGCUUCCUGCACUUUGUUUUUACUGUGAAGUGGAAAUAGUCUUUAGCGUGGCUUAUUUGUGAUAAUUGAUAAAGAGGUUAGUGUUUAAGACUUGAGAGUAGUGCGGUGUCUUUCUCGCUGGUUCUGAUGAUGGAGUACACGGCUGGGUGAGAACUCUUCGAGGGAAUAUGAGGAUGAGAUAAAGUAGUUUCAAAUACAGGGAAAAUUUCAUUGGAAAUGAUUUUAGUUUAGUUUCAGCUAGGGAAAGUUAGGUCUGAAGCAUUUUUACAUAAACAGUCGGUCAUAAUAUAACUAAAACUUACAUACUUUUUCGAUUUAAUUGUUGUUUUGCAUCAGGCAAAGUUUUUCUUCCAGCAGUUGAUAUCAGGAGUUAGUUGCUGUCAUUUGAUGGUAUGUAAUGUGGCACUUUUCUGCUAAUGCGUUGUAUACUGUUAUUUAUUUCUCUUUUGAUAUUGGAAGUGUUGGUUGUAGUAAGGAAAUAAUUCGUUUCAAUAGUAUACGACUUCGGUUUAAUAGUAUAUGACUCAGUUUUUGAAUAGCACUCAGGUGGUAUUACGACUUAGUUUUCUAAAUGCCAAUAACAGCUCUAGAUUUUGUCUCAAGUCAAGUAUUCUUACUAAUGUAGCAUUUUGUUGGCACAUCAGUAUGUUUUGAUUGUUUCUCUGCUUGAAUAGAGAAUUGUUAACGUCCGGGUGGGAACGUGGGUCAGCUCAUGUUUUAGUCUCUCCGUCGUAAGCAAUUUUACAUGGUACUCUUCAAUGUAGCUAUAGGUAAGACAACACUCUCAGUAUUCCAUAAUCAAACCACCAUUUGAACUUUUUUUCAUCCACCAAGUUAAGCUUUUAUGUGCCAUCUUGAAUAGUUAUAAGUUAUUGCUUCAGAUUACUCCAGUGCGACAUUGUUGUUCUCUUCCUUACCUCUCAAGCUUGCUUAAUAUACCAAUUCUUAUUACUGUUGUAUUGUUAAGAAAUACUCAAUUGCGGAUUCAGUUCAUCGUUUUGAAUCGGAUAAAAAUUAACCACUCAGUGGUUAAUUAUCUAAAUGGGCGGUAGGUCUCGGGUUCGAGACUUGUGAGCAGUCUCUCCAUAAAUGGGGGUAAGGCUAGCCGACAUUCACCUCUCCCAGACCCUGCGUAAAGCGGGAGCCUUGUGCACUGGGUACGACCUUUUUAGUGGUUAAUUAUCUAAAUCCUAUAAAUUCGGAUAAAAAUUAAAGCAACUACAGAACAAAAACCUCAAGAAAUCAACGCAAAUUUACCUGUAUUUGAUCAUUUUUGGGCAAAUCAACACAUCGCCGUCGCAAAACUCAGUUCCUUCGCAUCCUUCAAUUACUGUCAACGUCGUCUAUCAAAUACCAAGAAAAAAUGUGAGUAAUGGAGUCAACUCAGCUCAACACCAGAACUCAGUAGCUCCAGGAAAUAAGAAUGGUAAGAAAAAGCAAUCAGAAACGUCGACGAAUUGAGCUGGAAAAUGGACCUUAAUGGUGAAGUCGUUCUCGCGAGCUUUGAGAGCGGAUGCGAAGAACUUAGGGAGUGGAUCGGACUCAGGGCCUUCGAUGCGCCACGGCCAGGCCUCCAGGGUCUUGUAGCAAAGGAAAACGUGGUGAUAGCUCAACAGUGUAUCGUCGUCAGUGUCUUCAUCAGACUCAUAUGACUUGGUCUUAUAGUUGUCCCAAAUAGUAAGAGCAUCAGACAAAUCCCAUUUUACAAUAUCCACUCCUGUUUUGUUCAGCUUAAUUAUAUUAUCUCCUCCAUAAAAUCUUGCUUUUACAAGAACUAUGUCGCCACCUUUCAAAUUGAGCUUCUUGUUUGAAAGAUUUCCCAACCAAAGAUAAUAUUCAUGGGAAGCAGUUAUGGCGGCCUUAAUUGUCCAGAUGCUAAAAUGAGUUCGUUGGGUACGAUUAACAACAUCAAUGCAUAGAUCCCCAGUAGAGUUGGAGUUGUCUGAAGAAUAAAUGAUGCCCAAAGCCAACCCUCCUAUAUAAUCAAUACUUGGCGGCACUUCAAAUUUGACAGUUUUAUCCUCUCCCGCGACAUAGGCUAACCAGUUAGGAAUAUCAUUUCCAGAGAGAAAAAUUCCACCAAAUGCAUUUUUCUACAACAUGGGGUGCAAAGUCAGUAUAAGCAACAAUACAAAAAGCAGAGAGAGAGAGAGAGAGUACCAUACCGUUCGGAGGUUCUCCUUAAAAGUAUCAGUGAGACUGGUACACCCUUCCAUUUUAAUGUAAAUUAUCGAACCCAUGUAGUCCAACGAGUUCUUAAAUUUUGGAAUAUCUUGAGUUUGCGGCAGUCUUUCAGUAACAAUAUCCUCAUUUUCGACAUCUCUGAAAUGUCGGACAUUAUUUCCAGUGCAGUGCAGUAAUUCGCUUGCAGUAAAAGCAAACUGUUCGGCAAAUCUGGGAUUUCCUGAAGGUUUGUGCAAUGAUCGAGAAUUAAUACCAGAAGCUGAGAAAGGCCACUGAGAAUGGGUAGCCUAUUAAAACCAUUCCCACCUAGACCUAAAAAUGUUAAAGAAGAUAGACUCCCAAUUAUUUCGAGAACGGCACCAUCUGUUAUAUUGCAGUCACUGAGAUCUAAUACGUCAAUCAUCUUCAGUUGUGCUAAAAAAUGGUAACCCCCACACAAACCCUUACAGCCACUGAGCUCCAAUUUAUUGAGAUGUGGGAGUUUUGAAAAGUCUGGUAAUUCAGUCAGGUGAUGACAGUCGUUAAGAAGGAGAUACUUCAACUUCUUAGGCAACUGUUACUCAAAAAGAGAAAACAAUAAUAAAAAUUCAAAUAAAUAAAAGAGAGAAUGCAUGAUGAUGACUGAUGUUGAUAUUUACAAGGACAUUGAUAAUUAUAUCGUACCAGGUCCGAAUCCUCCCAAACUCGUACGAUCUUGCUGUUGCUCAGGUUUAAAUAAACUAGGUUUCGUUGAUCAAAAUCUGCUGGUAUGGCUUCAAGAGGAAAUCCAAUCCAAUCCAACGCUCUUAACUCCUUGGAAAGAUGUUUGUAGCUUCCAGUCAGCUUUACAUUAGCCAGGUCGAGAAAUUUCAGACGCCACAUCUUCUUAAACGCUUUCGUACUGAAGCUUUGCUCGUCAUCAGAAUGUUCUGGCAAAAAUAAGUGUAGUCCUUCAACUGCUUCUGUUCCCUGUUAGAGAUCCAAAAUAAAAAAGGAUAAUAUUCACACGAAGCAUAGCUGUGAAUUGGAUGAAUGAACUACUAGAAAGGUAGGGCAUACAACAUAAUUAUGUAUUCUCUCUUUCAAUUUACAAUGGAUGAAAGCCUUUUUUCUUAAAAUACACUAUGUACAACAUACAUUAUAUAUAUGCGGAUAUGCGUAUAUACUUCUCUUUAUUUACAUGUACUUAACAUAACAUCUUUUCAUUGCAAAAGUACUUACAGAUUCGUUCCUUAGCACGCUUUUUGCAUCUUCACUAUGCCACAAAUGACUACGUUUUCCCAAUUUCACAGGAGAUUCUGCCCGCACAAUUUCUCUUCCCAUAUCUCGAAUCAAAUCAUGCAUCCUCAAUCUUUUCCUUUCAUCAAUAUAUAGGAGACAUCGAUCGCAGAGUGUGGUAAUUUCUGCUUCUACAGAAAAACGACUACAACCAUCCAAUACUGGAGUGGCCACACUUAUAUGCACUCCAAUAAAGAAAUUAGAUAUGUCUAGGAACACACCCUUCUCAUGAUCAUCACGUAGUCCAUCGUAGCUUAAUUUAAGCGUUUCAUGAAUUUUUCCGUCUGGAAUAUUUCUCAAUUUAUCCAAUGUACUUUCCCAUAUGGUUUUACUCUUUUUCUUAGCCAACAAACGACCAACAACUUUCAGAGCUAGGGGCAAUCCUCCACAAUAAUCAACAAUAUCUCUUGCCAAUUCAAUAUAUUCUUUAUCGGGAUAAUCAUUUCCAAAGGCAUGCCAACUAAGGAGCUCAAAAGCUUCUUUCUCUGUCAUUGCUUGUGCCUUAUAUUUUUUAUCCACCUUUUGUAUAUUCAGCACAUGUUCAUCUCUUGUUGUUAUAAUAAUUCUACUCCCUGGACCAAACGAUUCAUGUUCUAUUGCCAAUUCAUCUAAUUGGUCUGCAUCAUCUAUGUCAUCAACCACGACAAGUACCUUCAUGCUUCCAAGUCUUUUCUUGAUCUCUUUGGUCCCUUCGGCAACACUGCUUACCUUAAUGUCAGGCUGUUUUAAAAUAUCUCGAAGAAGUUGUUCUUGCAAACUAACCAUCGCUUUCUUUUUACUCCUCACAUCUUCAAGGUAACAUUGACGACUAAAACUAUGCUGAUAAUUGCUACAAACGGCUCUGGCAAGCAUUGUUUUACCUAUACCGCCCAUACCACAAAUUCCAAUUAUUCGAACAUCAGGUGAACCUCCAACGUCUAAGUAUUUAGUACAAAAUUCUUGCAAGCGAAAAGCCAUUCCAACUAAGUGCUUGGCUUCUUUAAAGUCUGUGGUUUUCAGUAGUCCUUUGACGUCCCCAACAAUUUUCUCGAUAAACACCCCUUCACACCUACGAGUAGAAAUUCCAAAUUACGAGAGCCAUACUAAAUGCCUUAUUCAUAAUGACUAGAUAUUUACAUAUUGAAACAUAUUUGAAUAAACUGGAUUAAUUGAGCUCAAUUCAACCACGUAUCCAAUCUUUGAUUAUAAUGUGAAUACAUUAGAUCAUUGGUGAUUUGACUAUUAUGCAAUUGUAGCUUUCAGUAAUAUAAUUAAGAAUCCAUUACAAUUGGUAUUUUAAAUUGAUAAAGUGUGGAGCAUUUGUCCUUCACACACCCAUAAAAAACAAAGCACGUACCCUGCGCUUCACUUCCUUAAUUUCCACGGAAAUUAUUAUGCAAAUGCUCUACCUUUUAUAAAAUUCAUAUACCAAUUGUAAUAAAUUUUUAUGUAGGGACCAAAAUUACAGUUCUAUUAUAGUUCAGAGAUCAACGAUCCAAUUUUUCUUAUGACAUAUAAAAUCAGAUUCAAUGCCUUAAUUAUAAUAUCUUAAUUUUGGUUGAUUAGUGAAAUAUGGUGAUAUGAAAUUUGAAGUAAACAAAAAAGUAUACCCGUCGGCCGUGGUUUUGAGGUUCCAGCCGGCCAAAUCUGCAGAAGCCUUAAGAUCCUCUCUCCACUGCUUGACCUCAUUUGGAUCUUCAUCCUUUUCAUGCUUCUGAAAUGCUUCCCCAAAACUAUCUUUCUGUUUCCUGACUUGAGAAGGGUCAACGUCGUAGAAUAUUGGACACACUAUCUUCCCCUCUUGAUCUUUUAGGCACCUCAUGAUCUUCGACAGCUCCCUCAGGCACCACCGGGACUCCGCGUACCUCUUCGAGAAGACGAUGACAGCGAUCCUCGACCCUUCGAUUUCUUGGUCAAGUUCACUCUGUAUGUCUUCCCCCCUUCUGAGCUGUUUGUCUAUAAACGUGUUAAUUCCGGCAUUGCGUAACGCAAUGAAGAGGUGGUCUGUGAAGGUGUUGCGGGUAUCUUCGCCUCUAAAGCUCAGGAACACCUCGUACUUCCAGCGGUUUGAGCUCUGCGAGGAAGACGAAGAGGCGGCAGAGCCAGCUCCUUGGGCGGAGCUGCUGGUAUCCAUUGCAGACCGUAGAAGUGCAGCUUGGCUUUCAAAUAACCAAAGUCAAGUCUUUACCCAGUGUCGGUGGCCGUUUUAGAUAUUUUGCAUGGGCCAAUAAUGUCACUGCUGUGUCGAUAACGCGCUCCCACAGUUUAAUUUGUAUAAAUGCUUUACGAUGCAAUUUCCUUUCUUUUGUAGUCUUUUGAGAAUCUGCCGCCCAACUUUGACCGGUUGACGAUCUUAUUGUAUUAUAAGAUGUGCAUUUUGAUUAUCAUCAUUUAAUGUGAUGUAUGUUCAUCAAAUUAUUUAUUAUUAUUAGAUGAGUUUAAAUUUUAAGAUUUGUACUUAUGCACUACCCACCCGAAUCUCGAAAUUCAAACACAUUUAACGAUGAUAAAUAGAAUGAUAAACAUAUAUCAUACUAAAUAAUGGUGAGCAAAAAUGCUCCCGUAUUUUAAGGGUGGUGCGCAGCACGUUCCAACUGUUGGAGUCAGUAGUAUCAACGGGAAGAGACCUCAUCUCCAACAACCCAUCUUAACAAAAAAUGCAGAAAAUUAAACUCCAACAGGCUAACUAAAUGACUCUUUAUUUUGUGAACGGUAACUAACUAAAUUUAACCAGGAGACAUUCGUAGCUUACGUCAAAAGGAUCAAUGUUGUAAUAUAAGUAAUUUACUUGCUCAAAAUAAGGAUCAAUUUAGCUACGAAAGCAGGGAGAUGAUCGAGCUCACGAUAGCAGAUUUUUUUAUCCUAUCGUCUUGCAAGGGAAACAAGCUACCAAUUGCUUGCAUCAUCUGAAGCCAUCCAACUAAUGGUUGAAUUUCUCAGUCAAGACUAUGCUCAAGGCAUCAGUGUGCAGGCCAGACUCGACAGCAUAGCCACACUACACAACCUCUCGCGCUGCCAUCAGAUUAUUCCGUCUCUGGUCUCUUCGGGCGUAGUGUUUUCAAUGCUAAAACUGCGGCAUGGAAGCUGUUUCUUUUUGAGACUGUUCCAAUUAUGGUUCGAGAAACAAGCAGUCAAGGAAUAAGUUGAUGGGGUGAGUACAACGGCAUUGAGACUGUUCCAAUUAUGCAGGAAGUUGAUGCAGAAGGAGAAAAAGUUGACGGGGUAAGUACAACGGCAUUGAGACUGGUAGAGGAGAAGCUUGCAAAGAUCAGCAGUGGACGAUAAUCUCGACCAAACUCUGAGCUUUGCCAAGCAGAUUAAGAUGUUGGAACAGCCGUUCAUCUUGUUUAUUGAACAAACGAGGAGGACAACAAUGCAGAAUCAACGCUUGAAUUCAAAGUCCCAACAGGCAAAUCGAAAAUAAUCACAAGAGCUUAGAAAAUACCACACCAACAUUUGGCAAGCAGUCUCACAACAAAUCCCACUAUCAAGAUAAAACCAUUCAACGGUGUGUUGGAACAACAGAUUUCAGUUGUGUAAGCAAUCAACAUAAAGGAACAGUGAAUACUUUUGUAACUAUAUAUGGAUUAGCUUCGGGAAUUCAUCAAACCCUCCGAAAAAGAACGUAUAGUGUAGCUACCAUAUUCUCCUUUCAUAUAAGAGCUUAUUUAAUUGACGUUAUAACACCUUUCUACAAAGAAAAAAAAGAAGAAAAUAGGGCCUCUACACCCAUGGCAAAACCCGACAUGGAUUAGAGUACGUUUCAGCCUGACCUUCUGUAAAAGCUAUAGGCCACAGCCACUGUUGCCACAGCUCCAACCACGGCAGCAGCUGCGAGAACAUCGCUUUGCUCCCAGUUCCCGAUCAAGCUUGACAGCUUCCCUAAGGCAUCCUUCCUGGCACACGACUCUCUGGUUUCUUUCACCUUCUUUUCCUCACUUCCAUUGUUCUGCUCUAAACUUACUUCUUUGCAGCAUGUAAAUCCAUUACUAUUAGCACCCUGGCAACAGCCUGAAAAGUUCUCAUUAUUCUGAAUCUGAUUGCCGUUUUCUUAGGGCUUCUCCUCCAUUUUCUUACUUUCUCCUCCAUUUGGAAGCUUCUGGUCAUUAAUUUUUUCAGCUUCAUCCGAAGAUGCUCCCAUUUGGCCCCUGUAAGGAAUGAAAUUGAAUUUCGAGUUCAGCCAUUUAAAGAUUCAACUCUAUGUUUCAUCAAUAGCAAUCGAGUAAGGACAUGUAUGAUCAAGCUUAAUAAACAAUUUGACAACAGUACCUACUUGACCCCGUCCCCCCUUCCCCAAAACCACCUUUGGUUUGGUUCUAUAAAAAAAAAAAAAUUGUUUGAUUUGGUUCACACGAGUUGUUUGAUUUGGUUCCUCAAUGUUAAUGUAACUCCAUAUCAAUAAUCUAUCUUCCAACACUAUAAGUAAUCAGCAAUAGGAAAAUAUGACAACAGAAGCUUCAGUUCCAGUGAACUUUUCAUCAGCAGACGGUUGGCAAAACCGAAAACACACAAUCCUCCAAAGUCGUUCUAUGAUCUCUCCCUUCCCAAUAUGCUGAUCAAGCAAUUCCGGCACAUCCUUAGGAGUGACGUAGCCAUACCUGCAAUUAUUAAUACCAUAAUAUUCAAAUUCCUUCAUCUAUCCCAAUACAAUAAAUUUUACAUUGUUAUGAUCCGGAUAUUACCAAUGGCCUGUUAUGCUUCCAUCUGAACCUGGGCUGUAGACAAUCAAGUUUCCAGCACACUUGUGGUCUCCAAUGUGAGAGCAAGCAGUAACAAAUACCUGAUUUGUCAAUCCUCGCAGCUCAGCCUCCUCUUUGAACUUAUCAAUGAGAAUAGGUCCACAAACUCCACAUUUUUAUCUCGACUUCCAUGUAGACCUGUAAACGGGUUAGGUUUAUUGGGUUUGGGUCGGGUUGAACCCGACCCGUUAAGUUAACGGGUCACCCGAACCCGACCCGUUAAGCUAACGGGUCACCCGAACCCGACCCGUUAAGCUAACGGGUCACCCGUUUCACCCGUUAACACCCGUUAACAAUUAUUAUUAUUUUUUUUUUGCAUAAAGUUUAUUUUUUGUUAUUAAAACUUUACUAAAAUUACUAAAAUAUCCUCAACUAACGGGUGCUAACGGGUGUUAACGGGUCUAACGGGUUGACCCAAAGUGACCCGUUAUUUAACGGGUGUUAACGGGUUCACCCGUUAGCGACCCGACCCGUUAAGCAUCCACCCAAAUACAAAUAUUAACGGGUUGGGUCGGGUUAACGGGUUGGGUCCAAAAUGCCAGGCCUACUUCCAUGUGCACAUACAAAUACAUGGGAGCCAGUCAACGCCUCUUGCACUACGGAAGCCCAUGGUUUGUCGUUCACAAGGACAUCAAUUGGUUAGAAACCAAGCCAUGUUACCGGCACACAGCCUCAGAGUAAACAAGGAAAAUUUCAAGGUAUCAACACUAAAACUAGUCCAAAACACACUAAAUUAGCUCAAUUCGAGACUUCGUAAAUUGAAAUGGGAAAAUCAUAAACUCUAUCUCUAGUUAGCAAUCAUCGAAAUCUCCUAGUCAAAUAAAGCAAAUCUGAAGAAUCAAAACACCACUCACUGGUUAAUUAUCUAAAUCCUAUAAAUUUCGGUUAAAAUUAAGCAACUACAGAACAAAAACAUCUUUACCUGUAUUUGAUCAUUUGUGGGAAAAUCAACACUUCGCCGUCGGAAAACUCAGUUCCUUCGCGUCCUUUAAUUACUGUCGGGUCUAUCAAAAACCAAGAAAAAAGUGAGUAAUGGAGUCAACUCAGCUCAACACCAGAACUCAGUAGCUCCAGUAAAUAAGAAACGGCAAGAAAAGCGAAACGCCGACGAGUUGAACUGCAAAACGGACCUUAACGGCGAUGUCGUUCUUGCGAGCUUUGAGAGCGGAGGCGAAGAACUUAGGGAGCAGAACGGACUCAGAGCCUUCGACGCACGACGGCCAGGCCUCGGGGGUCUUGUAGCAGAGUAAGACGUGGCGGUCGUACGCGUUGACAGUGCCAGCAAGUUUUUCCUUGCACAUCUCCAAUCUCUUGAAACCGAACCUCUCGUCUUCGGUGGCUGGAACGGCGACGUCGAGGUCAUCGGAGACCAUUGCUAGGGCUCGGAGAGGAGGGAGGGGUUUACCAGGGGUUGAAGUUGAAAACGAUGAGAGGGAAAAGAUGAGAGAGAAAGAGCGUUGUUGUUUGGUUGUUGUGUUGAUAUAACGAGGAGGCUGAGAAGGGAACCGCGGUGUCGGUGUGGGUGUAGGUGCGUGCGCAACACAUACGGCGCACGAUGGGGUUUCUGAAGAUCGGAGUCGGGACGCGUGGGAUUGGGCACGUGGGGUUUGAUUUGUAGUUCAUGUAUAUACCUCUUUUUUGAGAAUAAAGAUUUUUUUUGGAUCCUCUUUGUAGGGAUUUUAUAGUUUGUGUAUCGUAUUCAUUCAUUGUAAAUCAGACGGUUAGAAAUUACUUUAAAUCUAUAAAUUUAAAAUUAAACACAAAUAAUAUUUAAAGAAAAUUGACUGCAUAAUUAAUACGAUAAACGAACACAAUUAAAAAAUUCUCAGAAUCCUCGUAAAAAGAAUCCGAACUCUUUUGAUGUCUCCGAUCAUAUCGGACGGAAGCUAAAAGAUAAUUCGUGCACGCAAAAAUGGAAGGUCCUACAAACGGAGGAGGACCACUCUCUAUUCCCGGGAAGUGGGGUACAAGCGCGUAUGUAUAUAUCACCCAAUGGGGCACCAAUAUGUUGUACUAGCAGGGAACUGAAUGAGGUGAAAUUGGAAAAUCCCUUAAACUUGGUGAUGUGGCGACCUGUGAUUCGGCCUUCACAUUCUGUCAAGAAACAGGCCGGUCACUUUGUUGAUUAAGUCAAGCAGUCAGCCUUAGCCCGACGUGGACAAGUUCUGGAAGUCUUGUUUCGCUCAUUUAUUUAUUUCUUGUCAAUGACGUGUAAUAUUUGAUUUCAUUUGUUUUUUUGGUGGACUAAUAUUAAAUAUACUUUUGUCAAUGAAUUAAUGAUACAAUUUAGAACGGUGAUAUUCACACAUUUUGCACAUAUUCUUCAAUUUGAUAGUUGAAAAUUGAGAAGAAUGUGUGUGAAAUGUAAAAAGAACGUGUAAAUAGCAUAUCCCUACAAUUUAAUAUAAAGGAAUGUAGAUUUCAAACAACGAUUGUUUUUUAAGGUAACGCUUUUGUUCUUGAUUUUUCAUGUUUGAGCUUGAAAUGAACCGCUUUCAUAAUCUAUUGUAUUACUUUGUGUUCAGUUGAAUAAAGUAUCUUUUUCCAACGAAAAAUAAACGGAAUGGCAUUUAAAUAAGGAGUGUAGAGAGUGUAUGCGUAAGGAAAGAGGCAUGCAAAAUUCAUUUCAGCUCAUACAUCUUUGUGUUGCUUAUGUUGGUCUUUCAAUUAAUUAUGUUGAGAGUGAGGAAAUAAAUUGUACUUAGCAGUGUCAAAUUACAACCCUAAUCGAAAAACGUCUUGUUCGCCGGACCUACUCGACUGCUCCGAACAAUGUAAGGCCGAAAGGCGGACGAUACAUAAUCGGGUUUUUUCGAAGUAGGCAUUCAUAAACAUCAAGGAAGCAUACUUGGUAGAAAAUGAAAGAUCCUCAACUUCAUUCCUCAAAUUUUCAAUGCAAUUGAAUUUCCUCAAAUCUAAGGAACUACCAGAUUGUAAUGCUUGCAAUGGAAGGGAACCAUUGUGUACAUGUAGCAUCCACAUGAAUCAGUUGGAGGCUUGUUGGAGUUUUUAACGGAAUGACCAAAAUGAUGGAUGGUAGACAAUCUCAAGGACCACUUUUGAUUAUUUACCCUUCUAUUGAAUUUGCAAAGGGGAAGAAGUUUUAAAUCCAUUACAAAAGAGAUAAUUGCAGCAUGAUUGAUAACAUGCUCAUCACGUGAUUGGGUUCCUAAAAUUCCCAGGUUGUUGCAGGCUUCCUCGUCCUUGUAGAAUAUUUUGUUCAACAAUUCCAGAGAAAAACAAUUAUUCGAUUCGUUUCAGGUAACAGAUGAGUAGCUUAAUUCAAAACUUGUUUUCGUUCUAGAAGUUUAGAUUAUACAAGUGAAUGGUCAAUAUGAUAUACUCGAUAAAAUUACAUGUCUCCUUUUAAAUUUAAAGUUCAUUAUUUUGAAGUGAUUUUUGGAAUUUAAUUUUUCAAUUUAUUUGAUUGAGAGGUGAGGAAUUGGAGAUAAUUAAUUAUGUUUGGGGGUUAACUGGUAUCCUCUAGAAUAUGUUUUUUUUUUUAAUGAGGAAUCCUCUAGAAAAUGUUUAACUUUAUUUUAAAUUUUCAUGUGGUUUUGGCUUCAAUGAGGCAAUGGCAUAUGUGUAAAUAAACAAAAGUUUAAUUCUAACCUAAGGGGGCUGACGGAAGUCAGGGGCAUGGAUGGAAAAGGAGUUUCUUACUUUGCACGUGGGGCUUUAUUGUUUGGGUUAUUCCUCCUAGCUUUUGUCAUUUUCAUUAAAAUUUAAAUCUUUUUAUUAAGUAAAAUUAUUAAAUAGUUUUUUUAUUAAGAAAUUGUUAUUAGGAUUCUAAAAAUCUCAUUUAGCAUUCUAAAUUUUUUAUAAUUAGAAAAAAAAAUACACUUAUAAGAAGUGUAAAUGAGAUUUUUGAAAUGCUAAUAACAAUUCGAUUUUAUUAAUAAAAAGUUUGAAGAAGGCCUUUUCAUUAAAAUUCCCCCAAAAAAAAAGGAGUAUGCUUCUUCCUAAAACGCUUCUUUAGGCCAUAUAAACAAACAGUGAGACGUAAAAACAUGCCCCAACCUCAAAUAUUUCUCUCACAAACAAGGAGAGAAUUUUCAGUGUGACCGGUACACAAGGUGGUACACCACGUAUCACUAAACAAAUAAUAGGAUAUGUGUGCUAAAAAGUUAAUAACUUAAAAAAUAAAAUUUCCCACUAUUCUUAUUAAAACACGUGAUGUAUCACUUAUAUUCCCGUCACAACUAAAAAUUUCCCUACAAACAGAGAGACGUAAAAACAUGCUGCCAUGGGCUUCAGAGAGGAAAAAAGAUCAGGAAAAAAAAUGACCUGAUUGGGUAAGACUUGUACACAAGUUUGUAGUAAAUGUCUACGUACCUUCCUUACAAGUCUGUCUCUUUACUGUGCUUUCCUUCAAUUCACUGUUGUUUCUUCAUCGUCAAAGCUUUCAAUAUUAAGAUCAAACCUUAAUGUUUUGCAGACCUCAUCAGAUGAGUGAUCUCUUAACUCUGUACCAUUGUGGGUGUCGUCAUCAAACUCAUAUGGUAUAGUCUAAUAGUCUGCCUCAUCAGUAUCAUCAUCUCACUCUAAUGGUACACGCUCAUAGUUCACAUUUUUUAUUUCUGAAGGUAAACAAUGUUCCCAUCCUACAAAAUUCACUCCUGUUUUCUUCACCUUACGAACCUUGUCCCCCCUUUUCAGAUUGAGCUUCCUGUUUGAAAGACUUCCCAGCCAAAGAUAAUCUUCAUGGGAAUCAGUUAUGGUGGCAUCCAUUCACCAGAUGGAAAAAUAAGUUCUCUGGGUAACCACAUCGAGGCAUAGAGACCCACUACACUGGGAUGGUCCGAAGAAUAAACGAUGCACACAGCCAACCCUCCUAUAUAAUCAAAACUUGGCGGCACUUCAAAUUUGACAUUUUCUUCCUCUCUCACGACAUAGGUUAACGAUUAAGGAAUAACAUUUCAAGAGCGACAAAUUUCACCAAAUACAUCCCCCACCUUCCAUUUCUACAACACGGCGUGCAAAGUUUGUAUAAGCAAACAAUACGAGAAGGGCAGAGCGAGAGAGAGAGAGAGAGAGAGAGAGAGAGAGAGAGAGAGAGAGAGAGAGAGUAUCAUGCAACAAAACAUAAAAACUCAUCUGGGAGAAUUAUGACUCUUGUGAAUUGGUAGUAUUAUCGAUGCAUAUGUUAUAUGAUCUUCAAACUCGCUAUAGCGUGACUUUUUUUUUUUGUAUCUUUUUCAUCAACUUCAUUUGUUUUUUUUUUUUUUCAAGUAGAGCUGAUAAACUUAAAAUUUAUCCACAACCUAAAAAAUGGAAGAAAAAAAAAGAGGUGGAUGUACAAAAUCCUUGCUAUGCCCUCUAUAUUCAACAGAACAAUAAAUUGAGUUAACGGAUAUAAUUGAAGUACCAUAUUUGAUUGUGUUUGAGAACCAUAAUAAGGAAAAAAAAAAACUACUCUAGAAUGAAGGUAAAACUCGUGACAACAAUGGUGUACAUCUAAAAAAUAGUUCAAGCAGAUUAAGAUGUUAGCGCAUAGACAAAUAUCUCGUUUAUUGAACAAACGAUGAGGAUAACAAUGCCGUUUUCUCUCUUUCGAAAUUCAUAAACAACAAAAUUGAGAUUUGUUACACAAAAAUUACCAUAAAUUUUGACAGAAUUGGCGGUUGAAAUAUAAGUCCAGCAUCCAAAUCGAAAACAAUCAUAGGAGCUUAGAAAAUACCACAUCAACCUUUAGCAAGUAGUCUCAUAAGAAAUCCCAAUCAAGAUAAAACCAUUCAACAGUUUAUUAGACUUCUCCUUUCAUAUAAGAGCAUGGUUCGGAGGAUAAUUUAAUUGACCUCAUAACAUCUUUCUACAAAGAAAAAAUGAAAAAGAAAAUAGGGCCUCGACACCUGUGGCAAAACCCGACAUGGAUUAGAGUACUUUUCUGCCUAACCUUCUAUAAAAGCAAUAGGCCACAACUACUAUUGCCACUGCUCCAAUCAAGCUUGACAGCUUCCGUAAGGCAUCCUUCCUGGCACACGACUCCCUGGUUUCUUUCGGCUUUUUUUCCUCACUUCCACCGUUCUCCUCCAAACUUACUUCUUCGCAACAUGUAAAUCCAUCACUAUUAGCACCCUGGCAACAACCUGAAAAGUUCUCAUUAUUCUCAAUUUGAUUGCCCUUUUCUUGGUGAAUCUGAUUGCCAUUUUCUUGUGGCUUCUCCUCAAUUUUCUUAUUUUCUUCUCCAUUUGGAAGCUCCCGGUCAUUGAUUUCUUCAGCUUCAUCAGAAGAUGCUCCCAUUUGGCCCCUGUAACAAAUGAAAUUGAAUUUCGUGUUCAACUAUUUAAAGAUUCAACUCUAAGUUUCGUCAAUAUCAAUUGAGUAAGAACAUGUAUGAUCAAGCUUAAUAAACAAAUCACAACCACAUUACAAAUAAAAACAUAUACAGGGUAAUGCAGUUAUAUCCAAUUCUUUUGUGCUUUCUCCACAAAAGUUCCUCCAUGUUAAUGUAACUCUAUAUCAAUUAAUCUAUCAUACAAGACUAGACAUAAUCAGCAAUUGAAAACUACGACAACACAAGCUUCCGUCCAGUGAAAAUUUCAUCCAAAGAUAGGCAAAACCAAAAACGUACAAACCUCCACAGUCGUUUUAUAAUCUUUCCCUUCCCAAUAUGCUCAUCAAGCAAUUCCGGCACAUCAUCAGGAGUGACGUCGCCAUACCUGCAAUUAAUAAUACAUUUUAUUCAAAUUCCAUUGAUCCCAAUACAACAAAAUUUUAAAUUGUUAUGAUCCGAAUAUUACCAAUGGCCUGUUAUGCUUCCAUCUGAACCUGAGCUAUAGAUAAUCAUGUUUCCAUUGUGGCCUCCAGUGUGAAAGCAAGCAGCAACAAAUACCUGAUUCGUCAAUCCUCGCAGCUCAACCUCCUCUUUGAACUUAUAAAUGAGAACACGUGCACUAUCAUGAUUCCAUUCCUCUCGACUACCUUGUGCACAUACAAAUACAUGGGAGCCAGUCAACGGCUCUUGCACUCUGGAAGCCCAUGGCUUGUCAUUCACAAGGACAUCAUCAACAAAGUUGUCCACAUCCGACUCUUUCAAACCCCUUUGAUCAAGAAACAAAAACAAUCCCAAAAUCACAAAAAGGAAUUUACAGGAAACAAUAACCUAACACUCUUUAAUUCCUUAUAAGGCAAGGAAUUAGUCUUAAAUUGAGUCAUUAAAUUAAAUUUCUAGUACUAAUUUCAGAAGAUAACACAUAUCUAAUUAUCUACUUAGUUCAUGACAUUUAGCACAAUUUCGUAAUCAAAAGAGAAGUCGAAACAGAAAUUACUUCAGUCAAAACUAGGAAAAUAAAUUGCACUGCUCAUCUUGGUUAUGGAAUGGGCCCUUGAUUAUGAAUUAAUUACGGUUUGCCAUUGUGUGCGCUAGUGUGGGCCGUGCUUAACAACUGGGUUGGGCUGCUGCAUUUGGGCACAGGGUGCAGCUCUCAAGCGUUUUGGGCUGGGUUUCACCGAAAGAUCCAAUAACUAUUUUGCCCCCUUCAGUCCUAAUCCAACGGCCACCAUUUUGGGCGUUUGUGUUCUGCAAUUCAGUGGUUGGGGGUUGGGGGUUGUGGUGGGGGGGGGGCGUCAGGAUCUCUUCAAGGAGAUCGUGCAGAGAGGCAGCGAGAUGUUUCGGUUCUGUCUUCUUCGACUCUUAUAUCGUCCCUUUUUUCUGAAUUUUCUUUAUUUCUUAUCCUUUAAACUUUGUAUUUUUUUUUUUGGUGAUGCAGAUAGAUGAACAUGUUCAAAGGGAAAUCAUGAACCACAGAUCACUGCAUCCGAAUGGACCGAAUAUCGUUUGAUUCGAAGAGGUCAGUGAUCAUAAACUAUUUUAUAAACUAUUUUCAUUUUGUUUUUUAAGAAUGAAUUCGGCAAGUUCUGUUUGAAUUUUGUAUAAGUAUCUGCUGAUGGUGGGUGGAUGAAGACAGAACAUGCUAAAUUUGGCCUUUGGUGUGCUCAAACUGGUACGGGGGAUGGUUAAAACUUUGAGCCUGGGAUGCAGUAGGACUAACAGAAAUCCACCACUUGCAGAAUUGUUGUCAAAAUAACUCUGCUAAAAAUAUGAGCUAUACUUCUUGCACUUUGUUUUUACUGUGAAGUGGAAAUAGUCUUUAGAGUGGCUUAUUUGUGAUAAUUGAUAAAGAGGUUUGUGUUUAAGACUUGAGAGUAGUGCGGUGUCUUUCUCGCUGGUUCUGCUCACACCACCUCAUCUAGCCAUUGUGAUGGAGUACACGGCUGGGUGAGAACUCUUCGAGAGAGUAUGCAGUGCUGGCAGAUUUAGUGAGGAUGAGAUAAAGUAGUUUCAAAUGCACAGAAAAUUUCAUUGGAAUUGAUUUUAGUGUAGAGUCUCAAAUAUGGGAUCUCUAAAUGUCCCCUGAAAUGGAAUCCAUCUCGAUUUUUGCUUAGUUUCAGAUAGGGAAGGUUAUGUCUGAAGCAUUUUUACAUAAACAAUCAGUCAUAAUAUAACAAAAACGAACUUACUUUUUCGAUAUAAUUGUUGUUUUGCAUCAGGCAAGGUUUUUUCCUCCAGCAAUUGAUAUCAGGAAUUAGUUGCUGGCUUUUGAUGGUAUGUAAUGUGGCACUUUUCUGCUAAUCGUAUACUGUUAUUUCUCUUUUGAUAUUGGAAGUGUUGGUUGUAGUAAGGAAAUAAUUCGUUUCAAUAGUUUACGACUUAGUUUUAAUAGUAUAUGACUCAGUUUUUGAAUAGCACUCGGGUGGUUUUUGAAUAACAGUAUUACGACUUAGUUUUCUAAAUGCCAAUAACAGCUCUAGAUUUUGUCUCAAGUGGAGUAUUCUUACUAAUGUAGCAUUUUGUUGGCGCAUCAGUAUGUUUUGAUUGUUUCUCUGCUUGAACAGAGAAUUGUUAACGUCCAGGUGGGAACGUGGGUUGGCUCAUGUUUUAAUCUCUCCGUUGUAAGCAAUUUUACAUGGUAUUCUUCAAUGUAGCUAUAGGUAAGACAACAGUCUCAGUAUUCCAUAAUCUAACCACCAUUUGAACUUUUUUCAUCCACCAAGCUAAGCUUUUAUGUGCCAUCUUGAAUGGUUAUUAUAAGUUAUUGCUUCAGAUUACUCCAGUGCGACAUUAUUGUUCUCUUCCUUACCUCUCAAGCUUGCUUAAUGUCCUUAUUCUUAUUACUGUUGUAUUGUUAAGAAAUACUCAAAUGCGGUUUCAGUUCAUCAUUAUGAAUCAGAUUAAAAUUAACCACUCACUGGUUAAUUAUCUAAAUCCUAUAAAUUCAGAUUAAAAUUAAAGCAACUACAGAACAAAAACCUCAAGAAAUCAACACGAAUUUACCUGUAUUUGAUCAUUUGUGGGAAAAUCAACACAUCGCCAUUGGAAAACUCAGUUCCUUCGCGUCCUUCAAUUACUGUCAGCAACGUCUAUCAAAAACCAAGAAAAAAGUGAGUAACGGAGUCAAUUCAGCUCAACACCAUAACUUAGUAGCUCCAGGAACUAAGACACGGUAAGAAAAAAUAAUCGGAAAUGCUGACGAAUUGAGCUGGAAAAGGGACCUUAACGGUGAUGUCGUUCUUGCGAGCUUUGAGAGCGGAUGCAAAGAACUUAGGGAGUGGAUCGGACUCAGAGCCUUUGAUGCGCCAUGGCCAAGCCUCGGGGGUCUUGUAGCAGAGGAAAACUUGGCGAUUGCUCAACUGCGUAUCGUCCUUAGUGUCUUCAUCAGACUCAUAUGACAUAGUCUCAUAGUCGUACCAAUUAGUACGACCAUCAGACAAAUCCCAUUUUACAAUAUCCACUCCUGUUUUGUUCACCUUAAUAAUUGUAUUAUCUAGUCCAGAAAAUUCUGCUUUUACAAGAACCAUGUCACCGCUUUUCAGAUUGAGCUUCUUGUUUGAAAGAUUUCCCAACCAAAGAUAAUAUUCAUGGGAAGCAGUUACGGUGGCCUUCAUUGCCCAGACGCGAAAGUUAGUUCGCUGGGUACGAUUAACAACACCAAUGGUUAGAAUCCCAGUACAGUCAGAGUUGUCCGAAGAAUAAACGAUGCCCAAAGCCAACCCUCCUAUAUAAUCAAUACUUGGCGGCACUUCGAAUUUGACAGUUUCAUCCUCUCUUGCGACAUAGGCUAACCAGUUAGGAAUAUCAUUUCCAAAGAGAAAAAUUCCACCAAAUGCAUUUUUCUACACCAUGGGGUGCAAAGUUAGUAUAAGCAACAAUACGAGAGAGAGAGAGAGAGAGAGAGAGAGAAAGAGAGAGAGAGUACCGUUUUGGAGGUUCUCCUUAAAAGUAUCAGUGAGACUGGUACACCCUUCCAUGUGAAUUGAUUCCAUGUAGUCCAAUGAGUUCUCCAAGUUUGGAAUAUCUUUGAGUUUGCGGCAGUCUUUCAGUUCCAAUUUCCUCAUUUUCGACAUCUCUGAAAAGUCGGACGUUAUUUCCAGUGCAGUGCAGUAAUUCGCUUCCAGUAGAAGCAAACUGUUCGGCAAAUCUGGGAUUGCCUCAAGGUUUGUGCAAUGAUUUAGAUGUAAUUCCUGAAGCUGAGAAAGGCCAUUGAGAUUGGGCAGCCUAUUAAAACCAUUCCCAUAUAGAACUAAAUAUUUUAAAGAAGAUAGACUCCCAAUUAUUUCGAGAAGGGCACCAUCUGUUAUAUUGCAGUCGCUGAGACCUAAUGCCUCAAUCAUCUUCAGUUGUAGUAAAAAAUGGUAACCCCUACACAAACCCUUACAGCCACUGAGGUUCAAUUCCUCGAGAUGUGGGAGUUUUGAAAAGUCUAGUAAUUCAGUCAGGUUAUGGCAGUCUUUAAGAAUGAGACACUUCAACAUCUUAGGCAACUUCUUAGGCAACUGUUACUCAAAAAGUGAAAACAAUAAUAAAAAUAUAAAUAAAUAAAAGAGAGAAUGCAUGCCGAUGACCGAUGUUGAUAUUUACAAGGACAUUGAUAAUUAUAUCGUACCAGGUCUGAAUCAUCCCAAACUCGUACAAGCUUGCUAUUUCUCAGGUCAAUAAAAACUAGGUUUCGUUGAUCAAAAUCUGCUGGUAUGGCUUCAAGGGGAAAUCCAUCCCAAACCAACAAUCUUAACUCCUUGGAAAGAUGUUUGUAGCUUCCAGUCAGCUUUACAAUUUCCAGCCGGAUAAAUUUCAGACGCCGCAUCUUCUUAAACGCUUCUGUACUGAAGCUUUCCUCGUCAUCAGAAUCUUCUGGCAACCUUAAGUUUAGUCCUUCAACUGCUUCUGUUCCCUGUUAGAGAUAUAAAAAAAAAAAAUGAUAAUAUUCACACGAAGCAGAGCCGUGAAUUGGAUGAAUGAGCUACUAGAAUGGUAGGGCAUACAACAUAAUUAAUUAUGUAUUUUCUCUUUCAAUUUACAGUGGAUGAAAGCCUUUUCUUCUUUUUCUUCAAAUAUAGGCAUACAUUAUAUAUAUGCGGAUAUGUGUAUACACUUCUCUUUCUUUACAUGUACUUAACAUAACAUCUUUUUAUUGCAAAAGUACUUACUGAUUCGUUCAUGAGCACGUUUUUUGCAUCUUCACUAUGCCACAAUCGGCUACGUUUUCCCAAUUCCACAAGAGAUUCUGCCCGCACAAUUUCUCUUCCCAUAUCUCGAAUCAAAUCAUGCAUCCUCAAGUAUCCCUCUUCAUCAAUAUAUAAGAGACAUCGUUCGUAAAGUGUGAUAAUUUCUGCUUCUACAGAAAAACUACUACAACCAUCCAAUAUUGCCGUGACAAAAAUUUUACUCCAUCCAAUAAAGAAACAAGAUAUGUCAAGGAAUACACCCUUCACAUGAUCAUCACGUAGCCCAUCGUAACUUAAUUUAAGCGUUUCAUGAAUUUUUCCAUCUGGAAUAUUUCUCAAUUUAUCCAAUGUACUUUUCCAUAUGCUUUUACUCUUUUUUGUAGCCAACAACUUCAAGAGCUAGGGGCAAUCCUCCACAAUAAUCAAUAACAUCUCUUGCGAGCUCAAUAUAUUCUUUAUCUGGACAAUCAUUUCCAAAGGCAUGCCAACUAAGAAGCUUAAGAGCUUCGUCAUCAGUCAUUCCUUGUGCUUUAUAUCUUUUAUCCACCUUUUGUAUAUUCAGCACUUGUUCAUCUCUUGUCGUUAUAAUAACUCUGCUCCCUGGACCAAACGAGUCAUGUGCUAUUGCCAAUUUAUCUAAUUGGUCCGCAUCAUCUAUGUCAUCAACCACGACAAGUACCUUCAUGCUUCCAAGUCUUUUCUCUAUCUCCUUGGUUCCUUCGGCAACACUGCUUACCUUAAUGUCAAGCCGUUUCAAAAUAUCUCGAAGAAGUUGUUCUUGGAGACUAACCAUAUUUUUCUUGUUACUCCUCACCUCUUCAAGGUAACAUUGACUGCUGAAACUGUGACUAUAUUUGCUACAAAUCUCUUUGGCAAACGUUGUUUUACCUAUACCGCCUGUACCCCAAAUUCCAAUUAUUUGAACAUCAGGUGAACCUCCAACGUCUAAGUAUUUAGUGUUGAAUUCUUUCACGCGAAGAGCUAUUCCAACUGAGUGCUUGGCAUUUUUGAAGUCUCUGGGGGUCAAUCGUCCCUUGAUGUCCCCAAUAAUUUUCUCAAUAAACACUCCUUCGCGCCUACAAGUAGAAAUUCCAAAUUACAAGAGCCAUACUAAUGCCUUAUUCAUCAUGACUAUAUAUUUACAUAUUGAAACAGGUUUGAAUAAAUUGUGAUUUACUGAGCUCAAUUCAACAACGUAUUUAAUCUUCAAUUAUAAUGUGAAUAGAUUAGAUCAUUGGUCAUUGGACUAUUACACCAUUGUAGCUUUCAGUUAUAUAAUUAAGAAUCCAUUACAAUUGGUAUUUUAAUUUGAUAAAGUGUGGAGCAUUUGUUCUUCACACACCCAUAAAAAACGAAGCAUUGUACCCUGCAUUUCACUUCCUUAGUUUUGACGGCAAUUCAUAUGCAAAUGCUCUACCAUUUAUAAAAUUCAUAUACCAAUUCUAAUAAAUUUUUAUGCAGUGACCAAAAUUACAAUUCUAUCAUAGUUCAGGGACCAAUGAUCCAAUUUUUCUUCUAACAUAUAAAAUCAUAUUCAAUGCCUUAAUUAUAAUUUCUUAAUUUUGGUUAAUUAGUGAAAUAACUCCGCCUGUGUAAGUUUAUCUUACAUUGCCGGUCCCAAGCCCGGGUAAAGGAGGAGGGGGGAGGGCGUCAGGUAGUCGACAGUCGGCACUACACAGUUACGUCGAAUCCUUAUGAAAAUGAAUCCAUAACGAAAUCGCGCUAAAGCUAGGGCGUCACCCGUAAGUGGCGCGCUGUGUGGCCCGAGCACAGUGAUAAGUGAGCAAGGGUCGCUGUAUCUCCAUAGGCACCCGGAUGCAGUGUUAAAUGAGCAAGGGGGCCAUAGAAACUUCUUUUUGAACGACUCCACUCAAAGUUGUUUAGGAGCAUAUGCUCCUAUCAACUUUACACGGGACACACAAAAGAAGUACUUUGAUUCCAUUGGACGGGGGAGGGUGAAGAAGCUAGGACAGAAGGGUAGAGUUCAAGAGAGUAGAAUGCGUUUAGGAACGUGGAAUAUAGGAACCUUAACGGGAAAAUCUAUGGAAGUAGUGGAAGUUAUGGUAAGGAGAAGGAUAAAUAUUAUGUGCCUAUAAGAAACUAAGUGGGUUGGUCUUAAGGCAAAGGAUCUAGAAAACUCAGGGUUUAAACUUUGGUACUCGGGCACAAAUAGAACGAGAAACGGUGUUGGCAUCAUCGUGGACAAGACCUUGACACAAGAUGUUGUAGAUGUCAAGAGGGUAGGAGAUAGAAUUAUGGCAAUCAAGAUUGUAAUAGGACAAGAACUCAUCAAUGUGAUUAGUGCGUACGCACCUCAAGUAGGGUUGGAUGCGAGUUCGAAGGAGAAAUUUUGGGAAGACCUUGGAGACUUGGUGCAAGGAAUUGCCCAGACAGAGAAGUUAUUUAUAGGAGGAGAUUUAAAUGGACACGUGGGCAGGGAGACAGGCAACUAUGGAGGUUUUCAUGGUGGCCAUGGUUUUGGGGAGAGAAACGAGGAUGGGAAAGCUAUCUUGGAUUUUGCAAUGGCAUAUGAUCUCUUCUUAGCCAACACCUUCUUUAAGAAAAGAGAAGAACAUGUGAUCACCUACAAGAGUGGGUUGUCAAAAACACAAAUAGAUUUUCUUCUAAUUUGGAAAGGGGAUCGUAUAACUUGUAAGGAUUGCAAAGUUAUACCGGGAGAGAGCUUGGCUAAUCAACAUCGCUUGUUGGUGAUAGAUGUACAUAUCAAAAGAGUGAGAAAAAAGAACAAGACUUGGAAGUGCCCAAGGACUAGAUGGUGAAAUCUAAAAGGAGAAAAACAAGUCAUUUUCAAAGAGAAAGUAAUCACCCAGUGUGGGUGGGAUAGAGAGGGGGAAGUUAGCCAAAGGUGGGAUUCCAUGGCUAGUUGUAUACGAAAAGUAGCAAAAGAGGUAUUAGGAGAGUCCAAGGGCUUUGCUCCACACCAAAAGGAAUCUUGGUGGUGGACUGAGGAGGUACAAACAAAGGUGAAGGCUAAGAAAGAAUGUUGUAAAGCCCUAUACAAGGACAUGACCGAUGAAAAUGGUGAAAGGUAUAGAAGAGCGAAGCAAGAGGCGAAGAAAGCUGUGAGAGAAGCUAAGUUAGCGGCUUAUGACGAUAUGUAUAAGCGACUAGCAAAAGAAUGAGAGUUGGAUAUUUAUAAACUAGCUAGAGCAAGGGAAAAGAAGACAAGGGACCUAAACCAAGUGAGGUGCAUCAAGGAUGAGGAUGGAAAGGUUCUUGCUACAGAGAACGCGGUCAAAGACAGAUGGAGAGGUUAUUUUCAUAAUCUUUUCAAUGAAGGACAUGAAAUGAGUACUUCUUUAGGGGAGUUGAGUAACUCAGAAGAGUGUAGAAACUACUCAUUUUAUCGUCGAAUCAGGAAGGAAGAAGUGGUUGUAGCUUUGAAGAAGAUGAAGCAUCGAAAAGCAGUGGGCCCAGACGAUAUACCGAUCGAAGUGUGGAAAGUCUUGGGAGAGACAGGUAUAGCAUGGCUCACUGACCUUUUCAAUAGGAUUUUGAAAAUGAAGAAGAUGCCAAAUGAGUGGCGAAAUAGCACUUUGGUGCCUAUCUACAAGAAUAAGGGCGACGUACAAAACUGCAUGAACUAUAGGGGUAUUAAGCUAAUGAGUCAUACAAUGAAGCUCUGGGAGAGAGUCAUUGAGCAUAGAUUGAGGCAAGAGACACGGGUUUCGGACAACCAAUUCGGGUUCAUGCCAGGGCGCUCAACCAUGGAGGCAAUCUAUCUCUUACGAAUAUUGAUGGAAAGAUAUAGAGAUGGGAAAAAUGAUUUACAUAUGGUCUUUAUAGAUUUGGAAAAAGCGUAUGAUAGGGUCCCAAGAGACAUUCUUUGGAGGAUUUUAGAGAAGAAAGGAGUACGAGUAGCAUAUAUCCAAGCUAUAAAGGAUAUGUAUGAAGGAGCAAAGACUGCCGUAAGAACUUAUGAAGGACAAACCGAAAGCUUCCCCAUAACUGUAGGAUUACAUCAAGGCUCAUCCUUAAGUCCUUACCUUUUUGCGUUGGUAAUGGAUGAGUUAAUAGGACAUAUUCAAGAUGAUCUUCCUUGGUGUAUGCUUUUCGCAGAUGAUAUAGUGUUGAUAGAUGAAACUCAGGAAGGGGUAAAUACGAAGCUUAACCUUUGGAGAGAAGUGUUGGAAUCUAAAGGUCUUCGCCUAAGCCGAUCAAAGACAGAAUAUAUGGAAUGCAAGUUCAGUGCAAAUGGAGGCCAAAAUGAGUUAGGGGUGAGGAUCGGAGAUCAGGAAAUGCCAAAGAGCGAUCGUUUUUUCUACUUAGGAUCUAUCUUGCAAAAGAACGGAGAAUUAGAUGGAGAUCUCAACCAUAGAAUACAAGCUGGAUGGAUGAAGUGGAAGAGUGCAUCCGGCGUGUUGUGUGACCGCCGUAUGCCACUGAAGCUCAAGGGAAAAUUUUAUAGGACGACAAUAAGGCCGGCGAUGCUGUAUAGCACAGAAUGUUGGGCGGUGAAGCAUCAACACGUACAUAAAAUGGGUGUAGCGGAGAUGAGGAUGCUUCGUUGGAUGUGUGGGCACACGAGAAAGGAUAAGAUUAUGAAUAAGGAUAUCCGAGGUAAAGUAGGAGUAGCCGAAAUUGUAGAAAAGUUGAGAGAAAAUCGGUUACGGUGGUUUGGACAUGUGCAAAGAAGGCCUACUGACGCUCCGGUUAGAAGAUGGGACUACGGGACAGAGGUUCAAGGCCGAAGGGGUAGAGGAAGACCUAGGAAAACUUUGGAAGAGACUCUAAGAAAAGACUUAGAGUAUUUGGAUUUAACAGAUGACAUGACACAGGACCGAGCACAAUGGCGUUCUAAGAUUCAUAUAGCCGACCCCACUCAGUGAAGAAGGCUUUGGUGUCUUUAACACAAUACGUUGGAAAUGAAGCAAAGCUUAUGUAUUGAUAUCUCCGAUAAGUUACAAAUAUGUACAUAUACAUGAGUCAAAAUAAACAAACAAGAGGGAGCCUUCACAAAGGUUGCUUAGGAGAAGUCUCAGCAGUCGGUAGAGCCCCAGAAAGAGAAGGCACCGGAGGGGGAUCAUUCGGAGCCUCAGUACUGGACAGAACCCUAGAAGGAAGAGGCAUCGGAGGUUGAUCAUUUGGAGCUUCAUUAUGCAGUACAGCCCCAGAAGACGAAGGCAAUAAAUGCCUUUGGAACAAACCCACAAACCGCUGAUGAUCAAGUAAAACUUGACCAUCAGAUUCCUUCAUCUGGUCAAGCUUCCUCUUCAUGUUUAUAACAUAGUUAUGUGCGAGCCGGUGCAACUGUUUAUUCUCAUGCUUGAGCCCGCUAAUCUCCUGUUUGAGACUCAUCACUUCAGCCGCCAAUGAUUCAACUUGGCGGGUUCGAGCAAAUAGGCGUUGGGCCAUAUUAGACACAGAACCUGCACACUGAACACUCAGAGCCAGAGAAUCCUUAACAACCAAUUCAACAGACCGUUUGGAAAGUAGUCUGUUAUCUUUGGGAGUGAGAAGGUUCCUGGCCACCACCGCAGCGGUCAUAUCAUUCUUCAUCACAGAAUCCCCAACGGUAAGAGGACCAGUAGGGGAUAAGAAGGAUGGGCGCCAUAUGUUGUCUGGAGAAGGUGUGGCUGCCUCUUCAACAAGGUUCAAGUCAAAACGACGGUCGGAGGGGCCAGACAUUUUCAAAGGUGUUGAAGAGAGAAAAGGUCAGACAAAUCAAGAUCUUAGAAGUGCAAGAAGGGAGCUUCUACUGGUGAAGAUUCAGGUGUGCUUUGAAACUUAAUGCCAGCCUCUAUAAAAAUCUGCACUUGACGGAGCUUCAGAAAUCAAAGAGGCAUCUGCCCAGAAAUCGAAGAGGCGUUUGCUUUCUCAAAAGUUGGGCUGCUCAGAGACCACGAGGGCCGAUUUCAGAAAUCGAAGAGGCGUUUGCUUUCUCAAAAGCUGGGCUGCUCAAAGACCACGAAGGCUGAUCUCAGAAAUCGAAGAGGCGCUUGCUUUCUCAAAAGAUGGGCUGCUCAGAGACCACAAGGGCCGAUCUCAGAAAUCGAAGAGGCACCUGUUUUUUUUUUUUUCAGCCUUGUCAGCAUCUGUCACAUGCACACUCAGCUUUGCUGAAAUUACGGGCAUUCUGGUGAAGUAGAAAGCACGUGAAUCUUAUUGUUCAAUCAUCCACUUUUCACACGCACCAUCAGCUCAUGGGUACCACAGAUAACUUUGCCAAAGAUCUCUGACAAAGUUUAGACACGUGAAGCUUGCAGCUCCCACUACAUCGCUAUGACCAAGAAGGGUAAAAUAAUAGCAAAGAAACAACACUAACAAAGUUUAGACACAGAAAUUUUGAAGGUCUAGCUAUCAUAUUAUUACCCACAAGGGUAAAGGAACAACAUCACGGCUGGAUAAUUGGAAAGUCCCUGUGUGUCAACCUCUGUGCUCCAUGGCAAGGUAGACUAGCAAACAUGCCCUACCUUUACUCACAUUCGAGAAAACACUCCAAACAAGAUUGCUUGCUCCAAAAUCGAAGAGGCACCGUCCUCCGAAUCUUGAGAGCCAGACUCCCAACAUGAUUACUUUCUCAAAAAUCGAAGAGACACCGCUCUCCGAAUCUCGAGAGCCAGACUCCCAGCAGGAUUGCUCUCUCAAAAAUCGAAGAGGCACCGUUCUCCGAAUCUCGAGAGACAGAUCCCCGACAGGAUUGCUUGUUCGAAAACUGAAGAGGCAUCACUUUCUCAACUUCGAGAGCCAGAUCUCCUUGGAUAAAGCUUGUCUGUAAUCUUCACACGCAACAUCAGCUUUCCAGAUACCACAGACCACUUUUUCAAAGUGCUCUGACACACGUGAAGCUGGCAGCUCCCACUACCGUGCUAUGACCAAGCAGGGUAAAGGAAUAGCAUUACUACUUGUUGUUAGGGAGACUCCUAUAUAUGUCGACCUCCAUCUUCAACGGACAGGCAGACCUGCAAAAAUGCUCAACCAUUCCUCAUAUCUGAGAGGGCACUCCCAACGAAGCCUCUCGAAAUACUCAGCUUUCUUUCCCCCCCCCCCCCCGAUAAUACCUUUGCAAACAAGCUACACCAGAGCAAGAAUAUCUCAUAUCAUCAGGGUUAAAAGCAAGAGUAUCCUAUAUCAUGCUAUUUCCCUGUCUUUUCCUUUGGCCUUGUUCUUACCUGCAAGACAAGGAGAACAUCUACCUAUGAGACAGAUAAGGCAAGUGAAGACGAUACCACACUUCGGUACUUAGAAGUUUCGUGAUUACGAUAUCAUUCUCCCACAAUAUUUCCUUAUGUCAUUUGUACUAAAUCAUUCAUUUGUACCCACUAAAGGAGAGCUUGAACCUAUGUACUUGUGUAAACCCUUCACAAUUAAUGCGAACUCAUCUACUCCAUAGACGUAGCCAAUCUGGGUAAACCACGUACAUCUUAUGUUUGCUUUCCUGUCUCUAUCCAUUUACAUACUUAUCCACCAUAAUGACCAGAGCAAUAAGUUAAUACUUUCUGUUGUACCAAAGUCCUCACUGAUUUUUUGCAUCAACAAGCCUUAAGUCCUUACCCUUUUGCGUCGCAAAUGAUAUAAGGUUGAUAGAUGAAACUCAUGAGGGGUAAAUGCGAAGCUUAACCUUUGGAGAGAAGUGGUGGAAUCUAAAGGUCUUCGCCUAAGCCGAUCAAAGACAGCAUAUAUGGAGUGCAAGUUCAGUGCAAAUGGAGACCAAAAUGAGUUAGGGGCGAGGAUCGGAGAUCAGGUAAUACCAAAGAGCGACCGUUUUCGCUACCUAGGAUCUAUCUUGCAAAAGAACGGAGAAUUAGAUGGAGAUCUCAAUCAUAGAAUACAAGCUGGAUGGAGAGGUGGUCUGUGAAGGUAGUGCGUGUCGUCACCUCUAAAGCUCAAAAACACCUCGUUCUUCCAGCGGUUUGAGCGGCACGGGCAAGACGAAGAGGCUGCGAUGGCGGUUCCAUGGACAGAGCUGAUGGUAUCUAUCGAUAAUUGGUACUAGCGUUGGGAGACUAGAGGGAGUGCAGCAGGCUGUGCGGCUUGGCUUUCAGAUAGCCAAAGCUCAGUCAAAUGUCAUCGCCUAAGUAUUAUAGAGAAACAAAAUGCGUGGAGCGAUAUGAAUAUACAUGUACAUGGCAUUGCAUAAGUUUACUACAAAAUAUGGUAACACCCUAAUUUUUAUGGACAUAGUACUAUCAGUAUUUGUGACUAUCUGCAUUGCAACUAUCCAAUAUUGCCAUGACAAUAGUUAUAUCCCAUCCAAUAAAGAAAUUAGAUAUGUCAAGGAACACACCCUUCACAUGAUCGGUACUUAACCCAUCGUAGCUUAAUUUAAGCGAUUCAUGAAUUUUUUUCAUGUGAAAUAUUUUAUUCAAUGUACUUUCCCAUAUGCUUCUACUUUUUUUCGUAGCCAACAAAUGGCCAACAACUUUCUGAGCUAGGGGCAAUCCUCCACAAUAAAGAACAACAUCUUCUGUGAUGUUGAGGUCGUUGCUGUCAACGAUCCCUUCAUCACCACCCGACUACAUGGUAAGUAAUUUACAUGGGUUUCCGCCUGUGACUGAAAACAGGUUCUCAGCUGAGUAGAUAGAAGUAUGCAGGGUUGCCAGGGCAUACAAUUCAUUAGUUGUGGGAUAUGUAUAUAUCUCGUCACGUCCCAUGCAGACACAUACCAACAUUUCAGGAUCGGGUGGAUUGAGUCUUAAAAUUGAAAAUUAGUUUAUAUGACAAAUUGAAAAAAAAAAGAAAAAAAAAAGUAAGCAAGCUCAUAUGACAUUUAAAAAAAAAAAUUCUUGUUCUCAAUUGUAGAACAUAGCUCUAACCACUUAUUGCACAAACACAUAAACCAUGACGAUGAUACGUUUGUUAGUUCUCAGUUUUUAUUUUGGACUUGGAAGUUGUGGGCACGGUGUUGCUGUUAGGAACGGAUUCAACUCUGAUGUACCUCUAACUAAUGCAUUGGUGACCGGUUCUGUCAAAACCGCUGCCAGCUUGUUCCGGUUGCAGAGAAAAAUGUGAUUUCUUGUUGCUCCAUGAUUGCUCUUUCACACUUAACAGGCAAGAACACUUACAUCUAUGAUAGGUGAAGAGAGAAAUUUCCUUGAAAUGAGGUGGUUUAUAGAACACUCAAGGCUCAAGCCAACCCCUAAGAUAUGUCUCUAAUUAAUGAUGUGUAAGACAUACUUACAUGUAAAUUUCUCUAAUGUCACUGAUCAAAUUGGAAAUUAUUAAUUUAUAUUUGUUAAGAUGAUAAGUUACUUAAAAAAAAUAAAAAAAGGACUCGUGACAUUGCUUCUCUAGAAAGUGCUUAAGCUAGAAGUGCUUCUAUUAUAACCACAUUGAAAUUUUUAUUAGAAACUCAAGUACAUUCUAAAAAACCACUUAAGGAUGCUUUUCGAAAAUAAAAAAAAGGCGUAUGCUUCUCCAUGAACCGCUUCUUUGAGCCAUAUGAACAAUUUAAACAAACCCCUAACUAGCGAGCAUGGCCUAGCCCAACCCCCAAUAUUACUCUUAGAAGCAACGAAAUUGAGAUGUAAAAACAUGUUUUCAUGGUCUUUAUAGAGGAAAAAGAUAGGGUAAAAUGACCUAAAUGGGUAAGAUUUAUAAACAAGUUGAUUCAUGCUUCAUAAUUGCAUCAGUUCCUUUGCAGUUUGUAGUAAAUGUCUACGUACCUUCCUUACAAGUCUCUUUACUGCGCUUUCCUUCAAUUCACUGUUGUUUUGUCAUCGUCAAAGCUUUCAAUAUUAAGAUCAAACCUUAAUAUUUUGCAGACCUCAUCAGAUGAGUGGCCUCUUUAACUCUGUACCAUCGUCAGUGUCGUCAUCAAACUCAUAUGGUAUAAUCUGAUAGUCUUCCUCAUCAGUAUCAUCAUCUCACGCUGUCACGCCCCGAUCCCCACAUACGUCCAGGAUCGACACUUGACGUCAUCAAAUAACCACAUAUCUAACAUACCCCGCCUCCAAGAUAUGUACAAAGCACAACUCGAGAAUCGAAUCGCAUAGAAGUAUUUCGUAUACUUUAUGGCUGCAUCUAACCUCUUCGUUAGACUGCCUACAUACCCUCAUUAGGGAUCAAGCCAUUCGUAGUUCGUCAUUCAUUACACCUCGACAUUUAUCACAAUACGUUCAAAUCGAAAAGCAUAGCAUUCCUCAAUCAAUUAUUAGAACUUAACAAGCAUGAAUUACUAGAUUCAUGGUUACAUAACAAAUCCACAUGACAUUCAAGGUUUCCAUUCCAUCCAUCAUAUAAAUCACUAUGUUUUCAACGUGAUAUCUCCAUCCACAACAUGUAACUUAUCCAAUAACCAACGAAGCACAAUAUUAUUCUUAAGCCACAUUGAUCACUAAAUAAUCAUAAUAAUAACAAUCAUAUUCAACAUCAUUCCACAAUUCCCGUCAAUUAAUCCCUUCAUGAAUCAAGGAUGCAUGAUCUUAGCAUUUAACUACGUUAAUCAAUCAAUGAGAUAACAUACCAUUUCACCAAUUCAAUUAGAGAACUCUAUAUAAUUCCCUACUUGGGUUAUGAGUAAUAACAUGGUAAUUCUAAUUUAUAUUCACAAGGUCUAUGGAUAAUUCCCAUUUGCUCGAAUCUAGGGUUCUAGACUAACCUUUUGGAACGUGCAAGAGUAAGGAUUUCGGACCACUCAACGGAAUUCAACCACAUCGGGUUCCAGACCACUCAACGGAACCAAAAUAUCAAUCGGUUUCUCGUAAUCUAUCCAGACCUGUUGCAUGUAAAAUCAGUGCCUACAUCAUGGAAAUGGUGCAUUGGGUAAUUCAGAACUUGGAUAAGUUGUGAAACUCAGGUGAACGACAAUAAUACAAAGUGUGAUAAUAGUGAUAAAACCAACCAUCAAUCACAGUUUAUAAACUUUGAAUAUGAAUCAUUCAUAAGAAAUUAAUACCAAACCUUCGCAAACUCUGAAGGAGUCACCCAAACAUCCAACGGUUCGUCUGAAACAAUCACAACAUCUCAUAACCAUAUUCUCAUACAACACCAUGAAAAGUAGGGUUAGAGCGACAUAGUUCGGCCGAAGCCUAUACCUUUGAAGCUAUCUCAAUCCAAACUCAAUGAAACCCAAGGUGAAUACAAUUCCGGAACUUCACUCAACGGAAUCGCGGAGUAGAAGGGAUUCUGGACCAUCUCUCAUGGAAUCCAAGUGGAUACGAUUCCGGAACAUCACUCAACGGAAUCGCGGAAGGCCAACAACCAUAAUGUACAACGGCUCAAAGAAAUGAGACAAGCACAAGCUACUAAAUUUACAAAAGCUUAACCAAGGGAAAUAAGGCACAUAUGCUAAAUUUAAAACGAAUCAACGAAGAGGGAAAAGAAACAAUAUCGAAGCAACAUAUCCCCAAUCACAACGGGUUCACAGUCCACCACUAGUCUUCACAUUUCAUCACAUCAAGCCAACCAUACAAAGCAAACCAUGUUUCUAAUAUGCACGUCAAAUCCCACAUCAUAAACUAUAACGAUGGCACUUUAUAGAAAACAUAAUCAUAAAACCGUCUCAUACCCUCUCAGGAUAAUAAUUAUGAAAAUAGAGUAAUCACCUGUAACAUAUAUUAAAGUCACUCACCCUUUUUUUUUUAUGUACAUAUACAUGAGUCAAAAUAAACACACAAGAGGGAGCCUUCACAAAGGUUGCUUAGGAGAAGUCUCAGCAGUCGGUAGAGCCCCAGAAAGAGAAGGCACCGGAGGGGGAUCAUUUGGAGCCUCAGUACUGGACAGAACCCUAGAAGGAGGAGGCAUCAGAGGUUGAUCAUUUGGAGCUUCAUUACGCGGUACAGCCCCAGAUGACGAAGGCAAUAAAUGCCUUUGGAACAAACCCACAAAUCUCUGAUGAUCAAGUAAAACCUGACCAUCAGUUUCCUUCAUCUGGUCAAGCUUCCUCUUCAUGUUUGUAGCAUAGUCAUGUGCGAGCCGGUGCAACUGUUUAUUCUCCUGUUUGAGACCUCUAAUCUCCUGUUUGAGACUCAUCACUUCAGCCGCCAAUGAUUCAACUUGGCGGGUUCGAGCAAAUAGGCGUUGGGCCAUAUUAGACACAGAACCUGCACACUGAACACUGAGAGCCAGCGAAUCCUUAACAGCUAACUCAUCAGACCGUUUGGAAAGUAGUCUGUUAUCUUUGGGAGUGAGAAGGUUCCUGGCCACCACCGCAGCGGUCAUAUCAUUCUUCAUCACGGAAUCCCCAACGGUAAGAGGACCAGUAAGGGAGACGAAGGAUGGGCGCCAUAUGUUGUCUGGAGAAGGCGGGGCUGCCUCUUCAACAAGGUUCAAGUCAAAACGACGGUCGGAGGGGCCAGACAUUUUCAAAGGUGUUGAAGAGAGAAGAGGUCGGACAAAUCAAGAUCUUAGAAGUGCAAGAAUGAAGCUUCUACUGGUGGAGAUUCAAGUGUGCUUUGGAACGUAAUGCCAGCCCCUAUAAAAAUCUGCACUCGACGGAGCUUCAGAAAUCGAAGAGGCGCCUGCUCAGAAAUCGAAGAGGCGUUUGCUUUCUCAAAAGCUGGGCUGCUUAGAGAUCACGAGGGUUGAUCUCAGAAAUCGAAGAGGCGUUUGCUUUCUCAAAAGUUGGGCUGCUCAAAGACCACGAAGGCUAAUCUCAGAAAUCGAAGAGGCGCUCGCUUUCUCAAAAGCUGGGCUCCCCAGAGACCACGAGGGCCGAUCUCAGAAAUCGAAGAGGCACCUACUUUUCCAGCCUUGUCAGCACCUGUCACACGCACACUCAGCUUUGCGGAAAUUAUGGGCAUUCUGUCGAAGACUUCUGGGGAAGUAGAAAACACAUGAAUCUUACUGUUCAAUCACCCACUUCCCACACGCAACAAUAGCUCAUGGGUACCACAGAAAACUUUGCCAAAGUUCUCUGCCAAAGUUGAGCACGUGAAGCUUGCAGGUCCCCACUACAUCGCUCUGACCAAGAAGGGUAAAAGAAUAGCAAAGAAAUAGCACUAACAAAGUUUAGACCUAUAAAUUUUGAAGGUCUAGCUACCAUAUUAUUACCCACAAGGGUAAAGGAACAGUACCACUGCUGGAUAAUUGGAAAGUCCCUGUGUGUCAACCUCUGUGCUUCGUGGCAAGGUAGACUAGCAAAACAUGCCCAACCUUUACUCACAUUCGAGAAAACACUCCCAAUAAGAUUGCUUGCUCCAAAAGCCAGACUCCCAACAUGACUACUUUCUUAAAAAUCGAAGAGAGGGUAAAGGAACAGUACCAUUGCUGGAUAAUUGGAAAGUCCCUGUGUGUCAACCUCUGUGCUUCGUGGCAAGGUAGACUAGCAAACAUGCCCAACCUUUACUCACAUUCGAGAAAACACUCCCAACAAGAUUGCUUGCUCCAAAAUCGAAGAGGCACCGCCCUCCGAAUCUCGAGAGCCAGACUCCCAACAUGAUUACUUUCUCAAAAAUCGAAGAGACACUGCUCCCCGAAUCUUCGAGAGCCAGACCCCCAGCAUGAUUGCUUUCUCAAAAAUCGACGAGGCAUCGUUCUUCGAAUCAAUCGAAAAGGCGCUCGCUUUCUCAAAAGCUGGGCUGCUCAGAGACCACGAGGCUCGAUCUCAGAAAUCGAAGAGGCACCUACUUUUCUAGCCUUGUCAGCACCUGUCACACGCACACUCAGCUUUGCAGAAAUUAUGGGCAUUCUGUCGAAGACUUCUGGUGAAGUAGAAAGCACAUGAAUCUUACUGUUCAAUCACCCACUUCCCACACGCAACAAUAGCUCAUGGGUACCACAGAUAACUUUGCCAAAGUUCUCUGCCAAAGUUGAGCACGUGAAGCUUGCAGCUCCCACUAAAUCGCUCUGACCAAGAAAGGUAAAAGAAUAGCAAAGAAACAGCACUAACAAAGUUUAGACACAUAAAUUUUGAAGGUCUAGCUACCAUAUUAUUACCCACAAGGGUAAAGGAACAGUACCACUGCUGGAUAAUUGGAAAGUCCCUGUGUGUCAACCUCUGUGCUUCGUGGCAAGGUAGACUAGCAAACAUGCCCAACCUUUACUCACAUUCGAGAAAAACACUCCCAACAAGAUUGCUUGCUCCAAAAUCGAAGAGGCACCGUCCUCCGAAUCUCGAGAGCCAGACUCCCAACAUGACUACUUUCUCAAAAUCGAAGAGAGGGUAAAGGAACAGUACCAUUGCUGGAUAAUUGGAAAGUCCCUGUGUGUCAACCUUUGUGCUUCGUGGCAAGGUAGACUAGCAAACAUGCCCAACCUUUACUCACAUUCGAGACAACACUCCCAAUAAGAUUGCUUGCUCCAAAAUCGAAGAGGCACCGCCCUUCGAAUCUCGAGAGCCAGACUCCCAACAUGAUUACUUCCUCAAAAAUCGAAGAGACACUGCUCUCCGAAUCUCGAGAGCCAGACCCCCAGCAUGAUUGCUUUCUCAAAAAUCGAAGAGGCAUCGUUCUCCGAAUCUCGAGAGCCAGAUACCACAGACCACUUUUUCAAAGUGCUCUGACAGAGUUAAAACAUGUGAAACUGGCAGCUCCCACUACCGUGAUAUGACCAAGCAGGGUAAAGGAAUAGCAUUACUACUUGUUAGGGAGACUCCUAUAUAUGUCGACCUCCAUCCCCAACGAACAGGCAGACCUGCAAAAAUGCUCAACCCUUCAUCAUAUAUGAGAGGGCACUCCCAACGAAACCUUUCGAAAUAUUCAGCUUUCUUUCCCCCCGAUAAUACCUCUGCAAACAAGCUAUACUAGAGCAAGAAUAUCUCAUAUCAUCAGGGUUAAAAGCAAGAGUAUCCCAUAUCAUGCUUUUUCCCUGUCUUUUCCUUUGGCCUUGUUUUUACCUGCAAGACAAGGAGAAAGAGAGCAAUCAGUCAGCACUUGGAAUCAAGCUUCCAGCCAGGAACUGACUGCCUGGAACCGCUUACCUGAUUACUUACCUGGCAUUGCUCUCGAGUACUCAUCUUCAACAUCUUAUGUUUCCAGGGAAGAUUCCGCAUCUGCUUGAGGAACAGAUAGGGCAAGUGCGAAGGAUACAAGGAAGCAUGUGGAGACAAGCGUAACAGCACACGUGCCGAUACAUCCAUUACUCUGUCAAAAGCAAAAGUAUCCCAUAUCAGCAGGGUGGAACGUACUCUAGAUUUGAUGGACUUGUUUUGACCCUCAAAUUCUUCAGUCGGCCUUAUACUCUGGAGGAAACCAGAAAACCCUCCAGCUCAGUUCAAGAAUAAGCCUGUGGAAAGUUACUUCUUCAAAAGCAAAAGUAUCUCAUAUCAUCUCUUCUCAUUUUUCUUCUCUUUAUCCUUCAUGCUGCUGAAAGAUGGGGAGAAGGUGAACAAUCAGUUGGAGCUUUGAUUGCUUACCUUGUCUGUCACCUCUUUCAGCAGACCCCCUAGCUCGGCGACUUGGGGGACUCCUACUACAUGGUUUGUAUCGCGCUUGACCAAGCCUGAAACUACAAGUAAGCUUCAAGUGAAAUUGAUACAUUACCUUGUGCAUCUCCACCAGUUAAAGAUACCACCCCUGGAUGGAGGAAGAGUACUUCCAGAGAAGAUGCCACAUCUACCUAUGAGACAGAUAAGGCAAGUCAAGACGACACCACACUCCGAUACUUAGAAGUUUCGUGAUUACGAGAUCAUUCUCCCACAAUAUUUCCUAAUGUCAUUUGUACUAAAUCAUUCACUUGUACUCACUAAAGGAGAGCUUGAACCUAUGUACUUGUGUAAACCCUUCACAAUUAAUGAGAACUUUUCUAUUCCGUGGACGUAGCCAAUCUGGGUGAACCACGUACAUCUUGUGUUUGCUUUCCUAUCUCUAUCCAUUUAUAUACUUAUCCACACUAAUGACCGGAGCAAUCUAGCGAAGAUCACAAAAAGCGACCGUUUUCGCUACCUAGGAUCUAUCUUGCAAGAGAACGGAGAAUUAGAUGGAGAUCUCAACCAUAGAAUACGAGCUGGAUGGAUGAAGUGUAAGAAUGCAUCCGGCGUGUUGUGUGUGACCGUCGUAGGCCACUGAAGCUCAAGGGAAAAUUUUAUAGGACGGCAAUAAGGCCAGCGAUGUUGUAUGGCACAGAAUGUUGGGCGGUGAAGCAUCAACACGUACACAAAAUGGGGUGUAGCGGAGAUGAGGAUGCUUCGUGGGAUGUGUGGGCACACGAGAAAGGAUAAGAUUGGGAAUGAGGAUAUCCGAGGUAAAGUAGGAGUAGCCGAAAUUGUAGGAAAGAUGAGAGAAAAUCGGCUCCGGUGAUUUGGACAUGUGCAAAGAAGGCCGAAUGACGCUCCGGUUCGAAGAUGUGACUACGGGACAGAGGUUCAGGGCCGAAGGGGUAGAGAAAGACCUAGGAAAUCUUUGGAAGAGACUCUAAGAAAAGACUUAGAGUACUUGGAUCUAACGGAGGAUAUGACACAAAACCGAGCGCAAUGGCGUUCUAGGAUUCAUAUAGCCGACCCCACUUAGUGGGAAAAGGCUUUGUUGUUGUUGUUGUUGAACCAUACAUAUUAUUUCUCAUCCAUGAAAUCAACAUUUUAACGUUCUAUUCCUAUGCUUGUAACCUUCAUUCUCCAUCCUUUAAUAAACCAACCCAAAGUUAAUGGUUUUUCAACUUAAAACACCACCUCUUCACUCAUGCCACUACCCCUUUUGACAUGUAUAUGCGGCAAUAUAUAUAUAUAUAUAUUAAUUAAGAGAAACUAGAUCGUUUACUAAUAACUUGAAUAUAACUACUAGUAAACAAUCUAAACUCUUAAACCCCAACUAAACACACUCAAAUAAGCACAAGAUUAACAAGGAUGUCAUUUCAACUAUAAUUCCCUUCUAGGUCUAGAUGCUUGGUAACGAAAGAAGUAUCUCAUAAAUCUAAUGUCACAUAUCGGAAAAUUCGACUUUUUCCAAAAAUUCUCAAAUUUUACAAGAAUGAAGGUCUCAACAAGUAGAGUAAAUUUUAUAUUUGUGGCCAAGUCCAAUUUGACCGGGAAGGCUCUCAAAUUGGCUCGUAUCCAUCGAAAACCCUAAGGUGGGUGUUCUUCAAUUCGGCUUCCUUGGUGUUCCAAUGCCCCUACAACUAAUUGGGUCUUGUUCUUGGGUCCAAGAGAAGUUGAUCAAGGGUGAUGUGAAUGGUGAUACUCUCCAGAAUGACAAUUCGUCGUCGAGAACCCCCGGGUUCUCCUAUGGAGUUCUACAUGAAAUAGACCUUAAAAACCCUUGAUAUUUGGUGGAGGUGGAAGGAGGAAUGUAGUUGAGCAGGUUGCAGGUGAAGGAGAUAAGAAAAUCAGUUGAGAAAUGGUAGAAAUUUGCAUGAAGUUGGCCGGAUCAAAACCAUUUUUUUUUUUGUGGUGCACGGGUUCACCAAAUGGGGGGGACUCCUUUCCCUCCUUUUCUUUCUUCACUCGCCACUCCCGUGGCUUUAUCUUUUUUUUUUUUUUUUAAGCAACACAACUUCAAACUUCCGUAAUUAUACCGUUAUAAUCCGGACUCGCAAAUGGUUUUCGCCUAUGCUUUCGUGACUUCAAGACCUAUUCGAAAACGUUACUUGUGACCUCGAAAGGUCAACGAGUAAAUAAUAAUUCCAAACUUCACUCUUCGUAACUAGAUUAAUUGAAAUCUAAUUUCAAAUAAAUUAAUAUAAAUUCUCAAAAAGUAAUAUAAAUCUCAAUAAUACAAUUACGUAGAUUAUAACAGUGAAAUCCAGAAACGGGAUUUCACACACCCUUAUGGUACGCGCUCAUAGUUCACUUUUUUUAUUUCUGAAGGUAAACAAUGUUCCCAUCCUACAGAAUUUACUCCUGUUUUCUUCACCUUAAAUUGAUGAUCAUCCUCUGUUCCAAAAAAUUCUGCAUGCACACGAACCUUGUCGCCACUUUUCAGAUUGAGCUUCCUGUUUGAAAGACUUCCCAGCCAAAGAUAAUCUUCAUGGGAGCCAGUUAUGGUGGCAUCCAUUCACCAGAUGGAAAAAUAAGUUCGCUGGGAAGGAUUAACCACAUCAAUCCAUAAAGACCCACUACACUGCGAUGGUCCAAAGAAUAAACGAUGCACACAGCCAACCCUCCUAUAUAAUCAAUACUUGGCGGCACAUCAAAUUUGACAUUUUCAUCCUCUGUCACGACAUAGGUUAACCAUUAAGGAAUAACAUUUCAAGAGCGACCGAUUCCUCCAAAUACAUCCCCCACGUUCCAUUUCUACAACGCGGCGUGCAAAGUUUGUAUAAGCAACAAUACGAGAAGGGCACAGAGAGAGAGAGAGAGAUCGAGGCUAUCAUGCAACAAAAUAUAAAACUCAUCUAGGACAAUUAUGACUAUUGUGAAUUGGUAAUAUUAUCGAUGGAUAUGUUAUAUGAUCUUCAAACUCGCUAUAGCAUGAUUUUUUUUUUUUGUAUCCUUUUCGUCAACUUCAUCUGUUUUUCUAUUAAGUAGAGAUGAUAAACUUAAAAUUCAUCCCACAACCUAAAAAAUGGAAAAAAGAAAAAAGAAAAAAAGGAGGUGGAUGUACAAAAUCCUUGCUAUGCCCUCUAUAUUUAACAAAAAAAUAAAUUGAGUUAACGGAUAUAAUUGAAGUACCACAUGAGAUUGAGUUUGAGAACCACAAUAAGAAAAUAAGAAAAACUAUUCUAGAAUGAAGGUAAAAUUCGUGACAACAAUGCCGUAUAUCUAAAAAAUAGUUCAUGCAUAUUUAGAUGUUAACACAUAGUCAUUUAUCUCGUUUAUUGAACAAACAACGAGGACAACAAUGUUGUUUUCUCUCUUUUGAAAUUCAUAAACAAAAUUGAGAUUUCUUGGUGACUCCUCUGUCCCUCAGGACCAACAAGGGGUAAUACAGGAAUAUUCACCUGUUGUCCAUUGACUAUGCCUUUUGGCCUGAUCUUAGGCCCCGACUCACUCUCCGUGGACAAACCUUGCGAAGGAACCUUUAGGUUUUCGGGGCAUCGGAUUUUCACCAAUGUUUGCGUUACUCAUGCCGACAUUCUCGCUUCCGCUCCGUCCACGUCUAAUUGCCAUUUUGUUUGGGCUUCUCCUUUCUGUUCUUACCGUCUCUUCCAUUUGGAAGCUUCUGGUCAUUAAUUUUUUUAGCUUCAUUAGAAGAUGCUCCCAUUUGGCCCCUGUAAGGAAUGAAAUUGAAUUUCGUGUUCAGCUAUUUAAAGAUUCAACUCUAAGUUUUGUCAAUAGCAAUUAAGUAAGAACAGGUAUGAUCAAGCUUAUAAACAAAUCACAACAACAUUACAAAUCAGAAACAUGUACAAGGUAAUGCAGUUAUAUCCAAUUCUUUUGUGCUUUCUCCACAAAAGUUCCUCCACAUUAACGUAACUCUAUAUCAAUUAAUCUAUCAUACAAGACUAGAAAUAAUCGGCAAUUGAAAAAUAAGACAACACGAGCUUCCGUCCAGUAAAAUUUUCAUCCAAAGACAGUAGGCAAAACCAAAAACGUACAAACCUUCAAUGCCGUUGUAUAAUCUCUCCCUUCCCAAUAUGCUCAUCAAGCAAUUCCGGCACAUUACCAGGAGUGGCGAAGGGAUACCUGCAAUUAAUAAUACAUAAUAUUCAUACUCCUUCAUCGAUCCCAAUACGAUAAAUUUUAAAUUGUUAUGAUCCAGAUAUUACCAAUGAUCUGUUAUGCUUCCAUCUGAACCUAGGUUGUAGAUAUCCAAGUUUCCAGCAUACUUGUGGCCUCCAAUGUGAAAGCAAGCAGUAACGAAUACCUGAUCCGUCAAUCCUCGCAGCUCAGCCUCCUGUUUGAACUUAUCAAUGAGAGUACGUGCAUGAUAACGAUCCCAUUUAUCUUGACUCAUACGUGCGCAUAUAAAUACAUAGGGGCCAGUCAGCGGCUCUUGCACUCCAGAAGCCCAUGGUUUGUGAUUCAUAAGGACAUCAUCAACAAAGCUGUCCACAUCCGACUCUUUCAAGCCCCUUUGAUCAACAAACAAAAACAACCUCAAAAUCACAAGAAAGGAUUUACAGGCAAGCAAUUAGUCGUAAACGGAGCCAUUAAAUUCAAUUUCUACAACUAAUUUCAGAAGCUAACACAUAUCUAAUUAUCCAUUUAGGUCAGUAAAUUCAUGUUGGUUAUGGAAUGGGCCCUCGAUUAUGAAUUAAUUACGGUUUGCCAUUGUGUGUGCUAGUGUGGCCCAUGCUUAACAGCUGGGUUGGGCUGCUGCAUUUAGGUGUGUGUUUGCUAGCUGGCUGGCUGGUGGGUGAGUCUUAGAUACAAACCCAAUCUUAUUAAUUAAAUUUGGCCUUUGGUGUGCUCAAACUGCUAUGGGGGAUGGUUAGAAUUUUGAGCCCGGGAUGCAGUAGGACCAAGAGCAAUCCACCACUUGCAGAAUUGUUGUCAAAGUAACUCUGCUAAAAAUAUGAGCUAUACUUCCUGCACUAUGCUUUUACUGUGAAGUGGAAAUAGUCUUUAGAGAGGCUUAUUUGGGAUAAUUGAUAAAGAGGUUUGUGUUUAAGACUUGAGAGUAGUGCGGUGUCUUUCUUGCUGGUUCUGCUCACACCACCUCAUCUAGCCAUUGUGAUGGAGUACACGGCUGGGUGAGAACACUUGGAGAGAAUAUGCAGUGCUGGCAGAUUUAGUGAGGAUGAGAUAAAGUAGUUUCCAACGCAGAGAAAAUUUCAUUGGAAAUGAUUUUAGUGUAGAGUCUCAAAUAUGGGAUCUCUGAAUGUCCCCUGAAAUGGAAUCCAUCUCAAUUUUCGUUUAGUUUCAGAUAGGGAAAGUUAGGUCUGAAGCAUUUUUACAUAAAUAGUCAGUCAUAAUAUAACUAAAACUUACUUUUUCGAUUUAAUUGUUGUUUUGCAUCAAGCAAGGUUUUUCUUCCAGCAAUUAUAUCAGGAGUUAGCUACUGUCAUUUAAUGGUAUGUAAUGUGGCACUUUUUUGCUAAUGCGUUGUAUACUGUUAUUUCUUUCUCUUUUGAUAUUGGAAGUGUUGGUUGUAUUAAUGAAAUAAUUCGUUUCAAUAGUAUAUGACUUAGUUUUAAUAGUAUUAUUCAGUUUUCUAAUAGCACUCGGGUGGGAACGUGGGUCGGCUCAUGUUUUAGUCUCUCCAUCGUAAGCAAUUUUACAUGGCAUUCUUCAAUGUGGCUAUAGGUAAGACAACACUCUCAGUAUUCCAUAAUCAAACCACCAUUUGAACUUUUUUCGUCCACCAAGUUAAGCUUUUAUGUGCCAUCUUGAAUAGUUAUAAGUUAUUGAUUCAGAUUGCUCCAGUGAGACAUUGUUGUUCUAUUGCUUACCUCUCAAGCUUGCUUAAUAUACUUAUUCUUAUUACUGUUGUAUUGUUAAGAAAUACUCAACUGCGAUUUCAGUUCAUUGUUAUGAAUCAGAUUCAAAUUAACCACUCACUAGUUAAUUAUCUAAAUCCUAUAAAUUUGGAUUAAAAUUAAAGCAACUCCAGAACAAAAACCUCAAGAAAUCGAUGCGAAUUUACCUGUAUUUGAUCAUUUGUGGGAAAAUCAACACAUCGCCGUCGGAAAACUCAGUUCCUUCAUGUCCUUCAAUUACAGUCAUCGACGUCUAUCAAAAAACCAAGAAAAAAAGUAAGUAACGGAGUCAGCUCAGCUCAACACCAGAACUCAGUAGCUCCAGGAAAUAAGAAACGUCAGAAACACCAACGAAUUGGGUUGGAAAACGGACCUUAAAGGUGAUGUCGUUCUUGCGAGCUUUGAGAGCGGAAGUGAAGAACUUAGGGAGUGGAUCGGACUUAGAGCCGUUGAUGCACCACGGCCAGGCCUCGGGGGUCUUGUAGCAGAAGAAAACGUGGCGAAUGUCCAACUGUGUAUCGUCAUCAGUGUCUUCAUCAGACAAAUCCCAUUUUACCAUAUCCACUCCUGUUUUGUUCUCCUUAAUUCUAUUAUCUCCUCCAUAAAAUUCCGCUUUUAGAAGAACCAUGUCACCGCCUUUCAGAUUGAGCUUCUUGUUUGAAAGAUUUCCCAACCAAAGAUAAUAUUCAUGGGAAGCAGUUACGGUGGCCUUCAUUGGCCAGAUGCGAAACUUAGUUCGCUGGGUACAAUUAACAACAUCAAUGCAUAGAGACCCGGUAGAGUCGGAGUUGUCUAAAGAAUAAACGAUGCCCAAAGCCAACCCUCCUAUAUAAUCAAUACUUGGCGGCACUUGAAAUUUGACAGUUUUAUCCUCUCCCGUGACAUAGGCUAACCAGUUAGGAAUAUCAUUUCCGGAGAGAAAAAUUCCACCAAAUGCAUUUCUCUACAACAUGGGGUGCAAAGUCAGUAUAAGCAACAAUACAGAGAGAGAGAGAGAGAGAGAGAGAGAGAGAGAGAGAGAUACCCUUCGGAGGUUCUCCUUAAAAGUAUCAGUGAGACUGGUACACCCUUCCAUAAGAAUUGAAUACAUGUGGUCCAAUGAGUUCUCCAAGUUUGGAAUAUCUUUGAGUUUGCGGCAGUUCGGCAAAUCUGACAUUGUUUUACCUAUAUUGCCCAUACCCCUAAUUCCAAUUAUUUGAACAUCAGGUGAACGUCCAACAUCUAAGUAUUCAGUACUGACGUCUAAGUAUUCAGUACUGAAGUUCUGCACACGAGAAGUCAUUCCAUCUGAGUGCUUGGCUUCUUUUAAGUCUGCAGUUUUCAAUAGUUCCUUGAUGUUCCCAACAAUUUUCUCGAUAAACACUCCUUCACGCCUACGAGUAGGAAUUCCAAAUUACGUGAGCCAUACUAAAUGCCUUAUUCAUAAUGACUAGAUAUUUACAUAUUGAAACAGAUUUGAAUAAACUGGAUUAAUUGAGCUCAAUUCAACCACGUAUCUAAUCUUCGAUUAUAAUGUAAAUACAUCAGAUCAUUGGUCAUCGGACUAUUACACAAUUGUAGCCUUCAGAUUUAUAAUUAAGAAUCCAUAACAAUUGGUAUUUUAAUUUGAUAAAGUGGAGCAUUUGUCCUUCACACACCCAUAAAAAACAAAGCACGACCCUACAUUUCACUUCCUUAAUUUCAAUGAAAAUUCUUAUGAAAAUGCUCUACCUUUUAUAAAAUUCAUAUACCAAUUAUAAUAAAUUUUUAUGUAGGGACCAAAAUUACAGUUCUAUCAUUGUUCAGGAUCAACGAUCCAAUUUUUCUUCUAACAUAUAAACUCAGAUCCAAUGCCUUAAUUAUAAAAUCUUAAUUUUGGUUGAUUAGUGAAAUAUGGUGAUACGAAAUUUGAAGUAAACAAAAAAGUAUACCCGUCGGCCGUGGUUUUGAGGUUCCAGCCAACCAAAUCUGCAGAAGCCUUAAGAUCCUCUCUCCACUGCUUGACCUCGUUUGGAUCUUCAUCCCAUUCAUGCUUCUGAAAUGCUUUCCCAAAACUAUCAUUCUGUUUCCUGACUUGAGAAGGGUCAACGUCGUAGAAUAUUGGACAUACUAUUUUCCCCUCUUGAUCUUUUAGGCACCUCAUGAUCUUCGACAGCUCCCUCAGGCACCAUCGGGACUCCGCGUACCUCUUCGAGAAGAUGAUGACGGCGAUUCUCGACCCUUCGAUUUCUUGGUCAAGUUCACUCUGUAUGUUUCCCCCCCUUGUGAGCUGGUAGUCUAUGGAAGUGUUGAUUCCGGCAUUGCGUAACGCAAUGAAGAGGUGGUCUGUGAAGGUAGUGCGCGUGUCGUCGCCUCUAAAGCUCAGGAACACCUCGUACUUCCACCGGUUUGAGCUCUGCGAGGAAGACGAAGAGGCUGCAACGCCGGCUCCAUGGGCGGAGCUGCUGGUAUCCAUUGUAGCCUGUAGAAGUGCAGCUUGGCUUUCAAAUAACCAAAGUCAAGUCUUUCCCAAGAUUCCCCGGUGUAGGCAGCCCUUUUAAAUUUUUUUGCAUGGGUCAAUGAUGUCACUGCCGUGUCGAUAACGUGUGAGUGCUAUUCCUCCGACAAUUUAAUUUGUAUAAAUGUCACCAUCAAAUUUUAAUAAAAAUUGUAUAACUGCUACGAUGCAAUUUCCUUUCUUCUGUAGUUUUUUUGAGAAAUCUGCUGCCCAAUUUUGACCAGUUGACGUGCGCAGGUCAAUCCAACUGUCCCUGCUGGUGGACGGAAGAAUCUUUGUUAGAGUAGGAAUUCCAAAUUACGCUUUAUUCAUAAUGACUAGAUAUUUACAUAUUGAAACAGAUUUGAAUAAAUUGGAUUAAUUGAGCUCAAUUCAACCAUGUAUCUAAUCUUCGAUUAUAAUGUGAAUACAUCAGAUCAUUGGUCAUCGGACUAUUACACAAUUGUAGCCUUCAGAUUUAUAAUUAAGAAUCCAUAACAAUUGGUAUUUUAAUUUGAUAAAGUGGAGCAUUUGUCCUUCACACACCCAUAAAAAACAAAACACGUACCCUACGUUUCACUUCCUUAAUUUCGAUGAAAAUUCUUAUGAUGUGACUGCCGUGUUGAUGAAAAUUCUUAUGAUGUGACUGUCGUGUCGAUAACGCGCGAGUGCUAUUCCUCCCACAAUUUAAUUUGUAUAAAUGUCACCAUCAAAUUUUAAUAAAAAAUUGUAUAUAACUGCUACGAUGCAAUUUCCUUUCUUUUGUGAGAAAUCUGCUGCCCAAUUUUGGCCAGUUGACGUGCGCAGGUCAAUCCAACUGUCCCUGCUGGUGUACGGAAGAAUCUUUGUCGGAGUAGGAAUUCCAAAUUACGUGAGCCAUACUAAAUGCUUUAUUCAUAAUGACUAGAUAUUUACAUAUUGAAACAGAUUUGAAUAAAUUGGAUUAAUUGAGCUCAAUUCAACCAUGUAUCUAAUCUUCGAUUAUAAUGUGAAUACAUCAGAUCAUUGGUCAUCGGACUAUUACACAAUUGUAGCCUUCAGAUUUAUAAUUAAGAAUCCAUAACAAUUGGUAUUUUAAUUUGAUAAAGUGGAGCAUUUGUCCUUCACACACCCAUAAAAAACAAAGCACGUACCCUACGUUUCACUUCCUUAAUUUCGAUGAAAAUUCUUAUGAUGUGACUGCCGUGUCGAUGAAAAUUCUUAUGAUGUGACUACCGUGUCGAUAAAGCGCGAGUGCUAUUCCUCCCACAAUUUAAUUUGUAUAAAUGUCACCAUCAAAUUUUAAUAAAAAUUGUAUAACUGCUACGAUGCAAUUUCCUUUCUUUUGUGAGAAAUCUGCUGCCCAAUUUUGGCCAGUUGACGUGCGCAGGUCAAUCCAACUGUCCCUGCUGGUGGACGGAAGAAUCUUUGUCGGAGUAGGAAUUCCAAAUUACGUGAGCCAUACUAAAUGCUUUAUUCAUAAUGACUAGAUAUUUACAUAUUGAAACAGAUUUGAAUAAAUUGGAUUAAUUGAGCUCAAUUCAACCACGUAUCUAAUAUUCGAUUAUAAUGUGAAUACAUCAGAUCAUUGGUCAUCGGACUAUUACACAAUUGUAGCCUUCAGAUUUAUAAUUAAGAAUCCAUAACAAUUGGUAUUUUAAUUUGAUAAAGUGGAGCAUUUGUCCUUCACACACCCAUAAAAAACAAAGCACGUAUCCUACGUUUCACUUCCUUAAUUUCGAUGAAAAUUCUUAUGAUGUGACUGCCGUGUCGAUAACGCGCGAGUGCUAUUCCUCCCACAAUUUAAUUUGUAUAAAUGUCACCAUCAAAUUUUAAUAAAAAUUGUAUAACUGCUACGAUGCAAUUUCCUUUCUUUUGUGAGAAAUCUGCUGCCCAAUUUUGGCCAGUUGACGUGCGCAGGUCAAUCCAACUGUCCCUGCUGGUGGACGGAAGAAUCUUCGUUGGAGUAUCAAUGGGAAGAGACCUCAUCUCCAACAACCUAUCUUAACAAAAGAUGCAGAAAAUUAAACGCCAAGAGGCUACUUUCUUUAUUUUGUGAACAGUAACGAACUAGAAGGAUCAGUGUCGUAAAAUAAGUAAUUUACUUGCCCAAAAUAAGAAUCAAUUUAGCUACGAAACCAAGGAGAUGAUUGAGCUCAAGAUAGCAGCUUUUAUCCUAUCGUCUUGCAAGGAAAACAAGCUACGAAUUGCUUGCAUCAUCCGAAGCUAUCCAACCAAUGGUUGAAUUUCUCAGUCAAGACUAUGCUGAAGGCAUCAGUGUGCAGGCCAGACUCGAUAGCAUAGCCACACUAAACCUCUCGCGCUGCCAUCAGAUUAUUUUGUCUCAGGUCUCUUCGGGCGUAGUGUUCUCAGUAAUAAUCCAAGGCUUGGAAAAAUCAAGCCAACCGGUUGAGAAGGCAAUUGUGCUACUUGACGACAUUGUUUCUUCAUCGAAGACUGCGCUCAAGGAAACUGCAGGUACGUGCAGCACAAUCUGGGUGCUGGUUGAGACAAUCGAAGGGGGAUCGAUGAAAUGCAAGGAGCACGCAGCGAGUAUACUCCUGCUUAUAUGCAAGAGGUGCAGAGAGAACUACAGAGGACUGAUACUGAGAGGAGGAGCAAUGCCCGGACUGCUUCAGCUGAGUGGAUGGGACGCGCACGGCUAACACUGCGGCAUGGAAGUUGCUGUUUCUUUUGACUGUUCCAAUUAUGGUUCGAGAAACAAGCAAUCAAGGAAUAAGUUGACGGUGUGAGUACAACGGCAUUGAGACCGUUCCAAUUAUGCAGGAAAUUGAUGCAGAAGGAGAAAAAGUUGACAGGGUGAGUACAACGGCAUUGAGGCUGGUGGAGGACAUGCUUGCAGAGAUCAGCAGUGGACGAUGAUCUCGACCAAAUUCUGAGCUUUACCAAGAAGAUUAAAAUGUUGGAACAGCCGUUUAUCUCGUUUAUUGAACAAACGAUGAGGACAACAAUGCCGUCUAGCCUCUUUCAAAAUUUAGACUUCUUUCUCAUAAAAAUUGACAGAAUCUACGGUUGAAUUAAAGUCCAACAGGCAAAUUGAAAACAAUCACAAGAGCUUAGAAAAUACCACACCAACAUUUGGCCAGCAGUCUCACAACAAAUCCCACUGUCAAGAUAAAACCAUUCAACAGUGUAUUGGAACAACAAAUUUCAGUUGUGUAAGCAAUCAACAUAAAGGAACACUGAAUACUUUUGUAACUAUAUAUGGAUUAGCUUCGGGAAUUCAUCAAACCCUCCAAAAAAGAACGUAUAGUGUAGCUACCAUAUUCUCCUUUCAUAUAAGAGCUUAUUUAAUUAAUGUUAUAACACCUUUCUACCAAGAAAAAAAAGAAGAAAAUACGGCCUCUACACCCGUGGCAAAACCCGACAUGGAUUAGAGUACGUUUCAGCCUAACCUUCUGUAAAAGCUAUAGGCCACAGCCACUGUUACCACUGCUCCAACCACGGCAGCAGCUGCGAGAACAUCGCUUUGCUCCCAGUUCCCGAUCAAGCUUGACAGCUUCCCUAGGGAAUCCUUCCUGGCACAAGACUCUCUGGUUUCUUUCACCUUCUUUUCCUCACUUCCAUCGUUCUGCUCUAAACUUACUUCUUUGCAGCAUGUAAAUCCUUUACUAUUUGCACCCUGGCAACAGCCUGAAAGGUUCUCAUUAUUCUGAAUCUGAUUGCCGUUUUCUUGGGGCUUCUCCUCGAUUUUCUUUCUCCUCCAUUUGGAAGCUUCUGGUCAUUAAUUUUUUCAGCUUCAUCCGAAGAUGCUCCCAUUUUGCCCCUGUAAGGAAUGAAAUUGAAUUUCAAGUUCAGCCAUAUAAAGAUUCAACUCUAUGUUUCAUCAAUAGCAAUCGAGUAAGGACAUGUAUGAUCAAGCUUAAUAAACAAUUUGACAACAGUGCCUACUUGACCCCGGCCCCCCUUCCCCAAAACCACCUUUGGUUUGGUUUAUCUAUAAAAACAAAAAAAGUAGUUUGAUUUGGUUCACACGAGUUGUUUGAUUUGGUCCCUCAAUGUUAAUGUAACUCCAUAUCAAUAAUCUAUCAUACAACACUAUAAGUAAUCAGCAAUAGGAAAAUAUGACAACAGAAGCUUCAGUUCCAGUGAACUUUUCAUCAGCAGACAGUAGGCAAACCUGAAAACACACAAACCUCCAAAGUCGUUCUAUGAUCUAUCCCUUCCCAAUAUGCUGAUCAAGCAAUUCCGGCACAUCCUCAGUAGUGACGUAGCCAUACCUGCAAUUAUUAAUACCAUAAUAUUCAAAUUCCUUCAUCUAUCCCAAUACAAUAAAUUUUAAAUUGUUAUGAUCCGGAUAUUACCAAUGGCCUGUUAUGCUUCCAUCUGAACGUGGGCUGUAGACAAUCAAGUUUCCAGCAUACUUGUGGUCUCCAAUGUGAGAGCAAGCAGUAACAAAUACCUGAUUUGUUAAUCGUCGCAGCUCAGCCUCCUCUUUGAACUUAUCAAUGAGGACAGGUCGACAAACUCCACAUCUUUUAUCUCGACUACCAUGUGCACAUACAAAUACAUGGGAGCCAGUCAACGCCUCUUGCACUCCGGAAGCCCAUGGUUUGUCAUUCACAAGGACAUCAUCAACAAAGCUUUCCACAUCCGACUCUUUCAGGCCCCUUUGAUCAAGAAACAACAAACACCUCAGAAUCACAAAAGGAAUUUACAGGAAACAAUAACCUAACACUCUUUAAUUCCUUGUAAGGCAAGGGAUUAGUCGUAAACUGAGCCAUUAAAUUCAAUUUCUAGAACUAAUUUCAGAAGCUAACACAUAUCUAAUUAUCUAUUUAGUUCAGUAAACUCAGCACAAUCUCGUAAUCAAAAUAGAAGUUGAAACAGAAAUAAAACACUAAAUGCGGUCACAACUUGCAUUCAAUCAAUUUCCAUGAAAAUCACGAGAAAUUUUUCUUUGUGCCGGGAACAUGGCCCGAUACACAAAGUGUAAUAAUACAAUUGGUUGGAAACCACGCCGUGUUACCGGCACCCAACCUCUGAGUAAACAAGGAAAAUUUCAAGGUAUCAACACCAAAACUAGUCCAAAACACACUAAAUUAGCUCAAUUCGAGACUUCGUAAAUUGAAAUCGGAAAAUCAUAAACUCUAUCUCUAGUUAGCAAUCAUUGAAAUCUCCAAGUCAAAUAAAGCAAAUCUGAAGAAUCAAACACCACUCACUGGUUAAUUAUCUAAAUCCUAUAAAUUUCGGUUAAAAUUAAGCAACUACAGAGCAAAAAUCUCAAGAAAUGAACGUGAAUUCACCUGUAUUUGAUCAUUUGUGGGAAAAUCAACACAUCACCGUCGGAAAACUCAGUUCCUUCGCGUCCUUCAAUUACUGUCAGCAAAGUCUAUCAAAAACCAAGAAACAAAGUGAGUAACGGAGUCAACUCAGCUCAACACCAGAACUCAGUAGCUCCAGGAAAUAAGAAACGGUAAGAAAAAGCGAUCAGCAACGCCGACGAAUUGAGCUGAAAAACGGACCUUAACGGCGAAGUCGUUCUUGCGAGCUUUGAGAGCGGAGGCGAAGAACUUAGGUAGCAGAGGAAGACGUGGCGGUCGUAGGCGUUGACGGUACCGGCAAGUUUUUCCUUGAACAUCUCCUAUCUCUUGAAACCGAAUUUCUCGUCUUCGGCGGCGGUGACGGCGGCAGAGAGGUCGUCGGAGGCCAUUGCCAGGGCUCGGAGAGGAGGAAUGAGGGGUUUAGCGGGGGUUGAAGUUGAAAACGAUGAGAGCGAAAAGAUGAGAGAGAAAGAACAUUGUUGUUUGGAGUUGGUGUGGGUGUAGGUGCGCAAUGCGCAUACGGCGCACGAUAGGGUUUCUGAGGCGAUCUGCAGCCAUAGGACUCGUUGUAGUUCUCUAGCCCUCCAAAAUUCUUCAAGAUAUUAAUAUUUUAAUAAACAAUACAGGAUCAUAUUUGUCUCCGUCUCCAACCGAGGGUCAGAGGGCUAGAGGGCUCGUUUUAGCCUUUUCACAAAAAAUCAUCUCCAACCGAGGGCCAAAGAGCAAUAGGGCCAAACAUAAUUUAUUAUUUAAAAACUACAACUUAAAUAGACAUAAAAAGGUUUUAUGUUUUUAAAUAUUUUUAAAAAUGUUGUUUAAGUUUCAUGUUGUAUAAUUUUUAUGUUGGUUAAUGUUAUUUAAUGUUGUUUCAUAUUGUUUAAUGUUGUUUCAUGUUACUUAAUUUAAUUUAAUGUUGUAUAAUGGCUUAGGAAGUUAUAGGAAAAAAAAUAGAAUUUAAAAAAAAUAUGAAACAAAUUUUGUGAAAUAGAAGUUAUAGGAAAAAUGGAAUUUAAAAAAAUAUGAAACAAAUUUUGUGAAAUAGAAGUUAUAGGAAAAAAAUGGAAUUUUAAAAAAAAAUAUGAAACAAAUUUUGUGAAAUAGAAGUUAUAAGAAAAAAAUGGAAUUUAAAAAAAAUAUGAAACAAAUUUUGUGAAAUAGAAGUUAUAAGAAAAAAAUGGAAUUUAAAAAAAAUAUGAAACAAAUUUUGUGAAAUAGAAGUUAUAGGAAAAAAAUAUGAAAUAUAUUUUGUGAAAUAGAAGUUAUAGGAAAAAAUAGAAGUUAUAUGAAUGUAAAAAAAUAAUAAUAAUAAAAUUGUAAAAAAAAAAAAUCAAAUGCAACGGCUACUAGCCGUUGCAUUUGAAUUUUUUCUUAAGAAAUCAUGUCGGUUAUAACCGACAGAAAUACAUGCUAUUAUUUAAUAUAAUGUAUUACUAUCGGUUAUACAUGCUAUUAUUUAGUAUAAAUGUAUUAAUGUCGGGCUGGCUAGCUGCAUGCAGCCCUCCAGCCCUCUCCGAUUUCAUGGGACCCUUCCAGAUUCCAGAGCUCUCUGGCCUAGCCCUCUGUUGGAGACGAUUUUCGGGCUAUUUUCGACUCUCUGACCCUCUGGAUCCUUCGGUUGGAGAUGGCCUGAAGGUCAGAGUGGGGACGUGUGGGGUUUGAUUUGUAGUUCAUGUAUUUACCCCUUUUGAUAUCUCUGAUCAUAUUGGACGGAAGCUAAAAGAUAAUUCAUGCACGCAAAAAUGGAAGGCCCUACAAACGGAGGAGGACAAUGUCUGCACGGAAAAUCAUCCUCUCUGAAUUUCUUUCUCCUAAUCUAACAAGUUCGGGAUCUGAAUCGUUAAAAUUUGAUCCAACAAUUAAGGUUAUUAUAACUUUUAAAGUGGACUUCUGUUUGUAGUCGUUGAAUCAAAUUUUAACGGUCUGGAUCCCCGAACUUGAUGGAUUAGAAAGAAGAGAUCCUUUCCUAUCUGCACCCAGGAAGUGGGUACAAGCGCGUGGGAUUUAAUUUUGUGAUUCAUUGCUGCCUGAGGAUUUUUUGGCGGUAGGUUGGAGGGAACCGACUGAGAGCAAAAUUGUAAAAUCCCCUAAACUCGGUGACGUGGCAACCUGUAAUUCUGAAAGGGUUCCGGAUCCUUUCGUUCUAAUAUAUCAAGUUCGGUGAUCAAGACCAUUGAAAUUUAAUCAAACAACUACAAAGAGGGACUCGCUUUAAAAGUUAUAAUGACUUUAACCGUUAGAUUAAAUUUCAAUGAUUAGAUUAAGAAAAAAAAAGAUCCGAAGAUAGAUCUAUUUUCAUGUAAUUCGGCCUUUACAUUCUGUCAAGAAACAGGCCGGUCACUUCGUUGAUUAAGUCAAGCCGUAAGCCUUGGUCCAACGUGGACAACUUCUAGAUGUCUUGUUUCUUUCAUUAAUUUAUUUCUUGAGAAUGACUUUUAAUAUUUGAUUUAAUUUUUUUGGUUAAUUAUUGAAUUUAAUUUGUCAAUGGCUCAAUUUUGGGGUGGGAUCAAAAAACCGAAAACCAAACUGAACCGAAACCGAAAAAAUCGAACCGAACGAAAAAACCGAACCGAAUUGAAAAAACCAAACCGAACCGAACUCUUUUGGUUCGGUUCGGUUUUGGUGGUCUAGAAAUCGAACCAAACCGAACAGAACCGAAAUAAUUAAAUUAAUAUUUUUUUAAUUUUAUUUCUUUAAUUAUUUGAUUUUAUUAUAUUAGAAUAUGAUACUUCAUACUGCUGCUUUGGUAGGAUUUGUUUGCUUUCCAAUUCAAAUUGUCUUCUCAGCUUCUCCAUCUACAACAAAAAUUAGAACUUAUACCAUUACAUGCAAUAUUUCUAGUUUAUAUCAUUAAGUGCAACACAUAUAUAAGAACACAUAUCUCAACUGCACUGCAGUUGAUUAGGAAAAGCAAACAGCGUAUAAAAGUCUCAUGAGUUUAUUAAACACUACGAGAUCAAAAACAAAAUUCAAACUUUCUCACCUAUGGCCAAGUAUAGUAGCUUCCGCGGCCUAACAAUUUUGAAAAGUAUAUCAAUAUAUUCAAAAAUAUUGAUGAACACCUCUUCAAAAUUUGCUGGUGGUAGAAGCUGAACACAGAAUGUAGAAAUUAUAUUAUGUCACCACAUUUAUGGAUAAAAAAAAUUUGGAUCAUAAAGAUAAAGAAAAUAUCAAAAAUUGUUACCUAGACAAUAAUCAAAAUAAAUAGUAUAUUAUAGAAUGUUUAUCUUAUUGCUAGUGAAGAAUACAUGUGUGUGUGUGUGUGUGUGUGUGUGUGUAUAUAUAUAUAUAUAUAUAUAUAUAUAUAGAGAGAGAGAGAGAGAGAGAGAGAGAGAGAGAGAGAUUGAGAGAAAGAGAGAAAUGAAUAAGGUCGUACUCCAUCAUCAUCGUCUAAAAAGAAAUCUAUUUACAGUUAAACUUUAAACCCAAAAUAUUAAAAAAAACCUUUAUGUUAUAAUUCUAUUUGAACUUUAAAUGUUUAUUUUCAUUAUCUUUUAAGUCUAGCCGGAAUGUUUAUGUUAUGAUUGUGUUGGAUAUGUUAAAAUUUAAGAUUUCAAAUUUUUUCAUUUUUUGAAAAAAAAUCGAAACCGAACCGGAAAAAACCAAACCGAUUUGAACCGAACCCACCCCUAGCUCAAUUUGCCAAUUUGUCAAUGAUACAAUUUAGGAUGGUGCUAUUCACUCAACUAUUUUUACUUCUCGAGUAUCUUCUUUAAUUUAUUUGAUUUAACAGCUAAACAUUGAGAGGGGUGUGUGAAACGUAAAAUAGUUUUUUAAUAGCACACCCCUACAAUUUAAAUACAAAGGAGUGUAGAUUUCAAACAACGAUUGAAUUUUAAGAUGACGCAUUUUGUUGAUUUUUCACAUUUAAGUUUGAAAUGAGCCGUUUUCGUAAUCUAUUAUAUUUAUUCUUGUGAUGCGUGUUUCAGUUGAAAAAACUAUCGUUUUCCAAAAAAAAAUAAUAAUAAAGAAAUGUAGGGUAAGGAUAGCAUUUAAAUAUUUAUGUUGAGAGUAAGGAAAAGAUAGAGAUGUGUAAAAUUCAUUUCCAUUCAUACAUUUUCGUGUUGUUUAUGUUGGUCUUUCAAUUAUUUAUGUUGAGAGUAAGGGAAUAAUUUGUACUAGGCAGUGUCAAAUUACAACCCUAAUUGAAAAACAUCUUGUUCGCCUGACCUAUGAAGGCCUACAGUGGAUACCUAGGCAUCCAGAGACGAGGAAGGGCAUAGUAAGCGAUGAAAUGCUUCAGAGAGUUGAAAAAUAAGCGUGGAUCCAAAUAUUCCGAAAUAUUUGACUGUUUCGAGCAAUAUGUAGGCCAAAAGACGGACGAUACAUAAACAGAUUAUUCGAAGUAGGGAUUCAUAAACAUCAAGUAUACAUUCUGUUGGAUAGUGGCCAAAUUAGUGGCCAAGUGGCCAAAAGCAUAUAAUAAAAAAUGAAGGAAUAAUGAUGUGGGAACAUCAUUAUGACGAGACAAAUGAUUAUGUUUGUUGAAAAGAAAAAUGAAGGUCAUGAUGAUGUUUGUAAAGGAAUGAUUAUUCAUUUACUUUGGAUUUUUUAUUGGGUGCUUUUGUAUGGAUGAAGGUUGCAGCCGAAUGAGGCCUUUUGGUUAUAUUAAGGCAUUCGAUUAUGCCUUUGGUUGUGUGGUGGAGCAGCAUCAGAUGAGAGCCAUACCAAGGAGAGCGUUCGGCUCUCCUAUUUGAAACAGUGUUGCUCAUUUCCAUUUGUUAGUAAUCCCUCAAUCAAAGAUGUUGCUGCUACAUGUUGUGUAGCUUUUGGGAGAGAUGGUAUUUGAUGUGUGUCCAUCUUCUCCAAUUGUUCUUUGUGAGAGUGAGAGUUAUUAGGUGUAUGUGGGAUUUGGGUUUGAGAGUUAAAACUCUAUUUGUAAUCUCCUUUUGAUAUUAGUGGAAUUUCCUCGCCAUCUCGGAACUGGACGUAGGCUUACUCCGAAUCAGUAUAAAUCCUUGUGUCAUUUGUCGAAAUUGUCUUAUCAUAUUUUGCUGUUGUAGCUUAUUGGUUUCAUAUUUGAUACUUCCGCACAACAAGUGGUAUCAGAGCUCCGGAUUUCGACUUGGGGGCUUUGUACAUGUAUGUCUAUGAAACCUUCGAAUAUGUUGGUGAAAUAUGAUUGAAAAAUUCGACGGGAGGAAUGACUUUGGCAUUUGGUCAAUUGGAGAUACAAGUUUUGCUUGCAUUGUUGCGAAAUGCGUGGCAUUGAAGAAGGAUGGUAAGGGAUCAUGCUGCAAUCCCUGAGCUCGCAGAUUGGAGAAUAGUUCCGAAAACAUCAUAUUUGCUGCAAUGUUGUUGAAGUGUUGGUGUUCGAAGGUUGCAGGUGUAGUGUACUGUUUUGGUAGAUUAUCCGUUGGUCAUCGCUGCAUCGACAGUGUUUGUGGGCUGUUGUCGACAAGUUGAGUGGGAAGGAGAAAAAGUAGAAGCUGUUGAGAAUUGAAAAGAAAAUGUUGGUUCCUUUUCUUUCGGCAUUUGUUUUGGCAGAAGGACAUCAUGAUGACAAAUGAUGUUGUUGGCUGAAAAAAAAAAAAGGUUAAGUUUUCUUCUCUUUGGCAUUUUUUCAACGGUAGAGAAUUUUUUCUUCACUCCCAUUGGUUGCCUUUGGAGCAAGUUGAUGGAAACAUUGGAGGAGUUUGUGAGGGCCAAUUUGUUGAGUUCUGCAAUUUUGGAUAGUGAGGCACCACACUAUUUUGGAUACACCACAUGCAUUGCAGAACAUUUGUGUGGAACCCUCUUGUAGAAGGCAAGUUAUAUGCUUUCUAACUUUGUUUGGUCUAUGGACAUUGGUUGGAUUUGUUUGCCACUGAUAUUUGGUUUGUUGGUCUCUAGCAUCUGGAAUAUGCUUUGUUGAAGACUCAUGUUGAGGUAUGGUUUUGGAUCUCCUACUGAUUAUUUGAAUUUGAAAUAUUUGGUUAUCCUAUUGGUGCUCAUGUGAUGAUGGUAAACUUGAGUGAAGGGCAUAAUAUUGAUAUUCAUAGGAUCUGAAUUUGGGUGAAAGGUUUUGUAUGUGGUAUGUUAAACAUUGUUGCCAAAUUUUGUAAUCAGUUUUGACUUGGAGAAUGUGCCCUGCUAUGUGAAUGAAUCUAUUGGUGCAGUUUAAGACCAUGGUGUUUGUAAGCAGGUGGAGUUCGUUAUGUGUCCAACUUUGGUAUGGUGUGCUUGAUCUUUUGUCGGUGAUAUUAAAGAAUUUCAGUUCUUCGUUUGAAUCACCUUUGUUUUGAUCAAGGCACUUAUGGUUUGCAAAUCUGGAGAAGACGGUAGAGAAAUGGUCUACUUUUGUUGGCUCUGGUACAAUUUGAAUUGAGGUGGAGAUCAUUAUAGUACCGAAAAGUUAGGGGAAUUUGAUUUAGUUCCCGUUGUCUUUAGUUUGUACUUUGGGUGCUUAUGGUGAUUGUUGAUUCGAUUCUCUGUGAUGUUUUCGAAAUUUGGCAAAGGUGGAGAUUGUUGGAUAGUUGCCAAAUUAGUGAAAAAGUUGUCAAAAGCAUAUAAUAAAAAAUGAAGGACAUAAUGAUGUCGGAACAUCAUUAUGAGGAGACAAAUGAUUAUGUUUGUUGAAAAGAAAAAGAAAGGUCAUGAUGAUGUUUGUAAAGGAAUGAUUUACUUUGGAUUUUUUAUUGGGUGCUUUUGUAUGGAUGAAGGUUGCAGCCGAAUGAGCGAGAGAAGGUAGAGCCUUUUGGUUAUAUUAAGGCAUUCGAUUAUGCCUUUGGUUGUGUGGGGAAGCGGCAUCAGAUGAGAGCCAUACCAGGGAGAGCGUUCGGCUCUCUCAUUUGAAACAGUGCUGCUCUUUCCCAUUUGUUAGUAAUCCCUCAAUCAAAGAUGUUGCUGCUACAUGUUGUGUAGCUUUUGGGAGAGAUGAUAUUUGAUGUGUGUCCAUCUUCUCCAAUUGUUCUUUUUGAGAGUGAGAGCUAUUGGGUGUACGUGGGAUUUGAGUUUGAGAGUUAAAACUCUAUUUGUAAUCUCCUUUUAAUAUUAGUGGAAUUUCCUUGCCAUCUCAAAACUGGACGUAAGCUUACGCCAAACCAGAUCCUUGUGUCAUUUGUCGAAUUUGUCUUAUCAUAUUUUGCCGUUGUAGCUUAUUGGUUUCAUAUUCGACGCUUCUGCACAACACAUUCCUCAAAAUUUUCAAUGCAAUUGGAUUUCCUCAAAUCUCAGGAACUACCAGAUUGUAAUGCUUGCAAUGGAAAGGAACCAUUGUGUACAUGUAGUAACCACACGAAUCAGUUGGAGACUUGUUUUUCAUCAGAGGAAAACAAAAGGCUAAGAAUCAAAAGAAAUCAAUCUCUAAAUAAUUACCCGAAGGCUUCAAAUCAACGCCCGGCAUCUUCCCGUUCAUGGGUUCUUUCGGUGUAUCAGGAGUCUCCAAUAUGUAGUGCUUUGGCACCUGGGGUGGAGUUGUACAGCGAAUCAGUGCCCAAUUCACGCUUUGGAAAAACGGAUGUUGUUUAACUUCUGUUGCUCCCCGCCUAUACGCAAGACGAUGCUGUGGCUCCUUGACAAGUAAACCUCUGAUCAAGUCCCUGGCUGCAAAGCUGACAGAAGGCAACUCUGGAAAUCUUAAAGGCUGGCCAACCACAUUAAACAAAGUAGCCCGGUUUCCUUGCCCCUUGAAUGGAGUUCUUCCGAACAAAAGCUCGUAGAGAAAGAUCCCAAAGGUCCACCAAUCUACAGCGCUGCCAUGGCCUUCACCUUUAAUGAUUUCAGGCACCAAGUACUCGUGUGUUCCCACAAAGGACAUUGAUCUAGCACUUGUCGGUUCUGCAACGAGUUCAGGGAGAGGGCUCACUUGAUUGUAUACAUCAUUAUCAUUGUUCUUCACCUUGAUCUUUUUAUCUUUCUUGGGUUUGCCCUUGAAAAUGCGUGGACCAAAACAUGUGGGCGUAAUGCAAUCCGGCUGCAUUACACAAGUUGGCUGGAUGCACGCAGGCUGAACACAAUAUGCUGAUUUCUUUGUCUCCAAACUUAAGUUUGAAGAUCUUACCAGGGUGGGGGAAACGGCACAUCUUAAAGAAAGGUCGAAAUCUGAAAGCAUUAUAUGUCCAUCUUCCCUCACCAAAACAUUCUCUGGUUUGAGGUCUCUGUAAAUGAUCCCGAGCAUAUGCAAAUAUUCCAAGGCAAGAAGAACUUCAACCACAUAAAACCUGCAAAAACAAACGGGAGAUAAACACACGAGAAUUAUUAUCUUCAGCAUGUCCCCAGCACUGGCAAAUAAACGUGUGCAAAACACUUGAUGUCCUUCUAGUUUAUAGGUUUACUCCUGCCUUUUCUCUGCAGGCUAUUGAAAUAUGAUUCCUAUUGUAACCUAAACUGAAAUGUGUAUGUGCACUAAUCAAAAAGUAAACUGAAAGGAGAAGUAUGAAGGAAUAUCUAACCUAGCAGCAUGCUCCGAAAAAUGCUUCCCAGGUUGUUUUUGUCUGAGUGCAUGCAGAUCACCCCAGGGACAAAACUCCAUCACCAAACAAGAUACCUUCUCCGUCUCAAAGUGUGUAUACAAUGUUGGCAGGAAAGGAUGAUCCAGAGAUUGCAGUAUUUCCCUCUCUGUCUGAGCCCUAAGAAGUUUUUUCCUACUUGCCAGUAAUGCUUUAUCCAUAACCUUCAUGGCGAAAUAAGUUUUAGUGCCAAUCAGUUCAGCCAAAUAAACGCUGCCUAUAUCUCCACAUCCCAGUGUCCUCAACAACUUGAAAUGCUCCUUACCCAGUGUUCCAUCAUGAUGAGAUCGCGCAGCUUGCACCGCUUCCCAACUAAUAUCAUUUGCCUUGUGGGGCUUGUACAUGGCAUUGCUCAAACUACUGGAGCUGCUCUCAUCGCUAACAUCGCUGCCAGUGCUGCCUCUAUAGAUGCUGGUCGUCCUGCUCUCAAUAAGAUCACAGGAAUUAGUAACUUCACUGCUUUCAACAGACUUCUCCACACUGUUGAUACAUUCACUGACUUCUGUAUUGGUGAAACUCUGCUUGGCUUCACAAUAUAGAGAGGCAGAAUAUAAACUGUUCUGAGGGCUUGCACAGUGAGAAAUGAGGUGGCUAUUUGUCUGCCCGGCUACUCCUUUAUAAGGAACCAAACCGUGAUUUCUAGAUUCCAUAUAUCUACUCGAAUCACAAUCAUUAACCGGAUGCUUGACGCUUGAUUUUGCUUCCAGCACGGAAACCUUGUUCAGAUAAGAAGUUUUGGCUGAUUUGUUAAGAACAUCAUUUGGGCCUCCAUGCUCAAGUGUUCCUGUUAAGUUUGAUAUUUCUAUAUAUUCAUACUGCUGCAAUGGCAGCAUUGCUUUAUACAUUGGAUACGUACACGCAUGCAUUAAACUAAAUAUAAAUGAAGGUGGAGUCCUCGCUGCCCAUAGUGCAGAAACUGCCCAUAAAGCACAAACACAGAUGCACAGCCCACGUGGGCAGUUUAGCUGUCAAGGCAUGUGUUGAAACCAUGUGCAAUAUUCUUCUGACAGGUUUGCUCUUUAACAUUCCCCCUCAAGUUGGAAUGGAUGUUGAUUAUUCCUAACUUGUGGAGCAAAGUCGUAAAUUGAUGUAAGCUCAGUGGCUUUGUGAAGAUGUCAGCUGGUUGCUUCAUGGUUGAAAUAUGAGACGUCCUGAUCAUACCACUUUGAAUCCUUUCUCGUACAAGGUGGCAGUCAAUUUCUAUGUGUUUGGUUCUUUCGUGAAAGACCGGAUUCGAAGCGAUGUGAAGUGCUGCUUGAUUAUCGCAAUACAACUUGACUGGAUGUUUAUGUUUGAUGCCCAAGUCUUGUAAAACAUAUUUCAGCCAAGUGACUUCACAACAAGAUGCUGCCAUUGAGCGAUACUCCGCCUCCGCACUAGAACGUGACACAGUGUUUUGUUUCUUGCUUUUCCAGGAGAUUAAGGAUUCUCCAAGGAAUACACAAUAUCCGGUGGUAGAACGUCGUGUGUCACGACAUCUGGCCCAAUCUGCAUCACAAAAGGCAUUCAGUUGGAUUGGACUUCUUGCAGAGAGAGAAAAAUACCUUGCCCUGGUGUAUGCUUAAUGUAUCGUAAGACUCGGUGGGCUGCCUCCAAGUGUGGAGUUCGAGGCUUCUCCAUAAAUUGACUAAGAAUGUGGACAGCAUAGACCAAAUCAGGGCGCGUGAUUGUCAGGUAGAUUAGUCUCCCAAUAAGCCGUCGAUAAGAAGAAGGAUCAGUGAUGCAUUGUCCUUCGUCCUUUCUGAGUGAUAAGUUUUUGCUCCAUAGGAGAGGUGGCUACUUUUGCACCAAGGUAACCUGCAUCCUCAAGUAUUUCAAGGGCAUAUUUUCGCUGUGAGAGAGCGAUCCCCUUACUAGAGCGAGCAAUUUCGAUGCCCAAAAAAAUAUUUUAGUUGGCCAAGGUCUUUCAACUUGAAUUGCUUCGUAAGGAAAGACUUGAUAUCCUCAAUUGCUUGUAUGUUAUUUCCUGCCAGGAUAAUAUCGUCAACAUAUACAAGGAGAGCAGUGAAUUUACCAUCAUGGUUUCGGACGAACAAUGAAUAGUCUGCCUUGGAUUGUUGAUGAUAACCAGCUUUGCUAAGAGCACAAGAGAGUUUGAUAAACCAUUGACGAGAGGCUUGCUUAAGCCCAUACAAAGAUUUAUGAAGUUUACAAACUCGUGUUUCCCCCUUUCGUCCGAAACCAGGGGGCAAGGACAUGUAGACAUCUUCUUCAAGGUCACCAUGAAGGAAGGCAUUGUGAACAUCAAGUUGGUGAAGGUGCCAUUGUUGGACUGAGGCAACGGCAAGAAGUAGGCGGACUGUAGUCAGUUUUGCAACCGGAGCAAAAGUCUCACGAUAGUCUAAGCCUUCAAUUUGGCUAUAACCUUUGGCAACCAAGCGUGCUUUAUACCGCUCAACUGAUCCAUCGGAACGAAAUUUGAUUUUGUAGACCCACUUACAUCCAACCGGCUGCUUUCCAGGGGGGCAAUGGUUGAAGAGACCAUGUCCUAUUUGCAGCAAGGGCUGCCAGUUCUUCUUCCAUGGCUAAACGCCAUUGGGGGUCGCGUACGGCCUGUGAGAAUGAACUGGGUUCUAUGGCAGCUGAAAUGGAAGUGGUGAAAGCACGAUGGCGAGCAGAUAAGCGAUCAUAUGUGAGUACAUCAGACAAAGGAUAAGAAGUACCUACCACUGUGGUCAAUGCUGAGUGAGAUGAAGGGACGGACCGAGAAGGAAGGUUAAUGCCAACGUGAUAUUGUUGAAGAUAACCAGGUGCAUGAGUGAGGCGUUUAAGACGAGGUGGUGAAGGGGAUUGGUCGACUGAAGAGGAUGGAUCGACUGAAGUGGAUUGGUCUACUGAAUCUUGUUCUAGUGGAAGGGACGGAUGAAUGAUGGUGUCAUCACAGUCAAUAUCUUGAGUAUAUGGAAACACAACAGGUGAGACGGCAACGGAAGAAGAAAAAGGGAACACAUUUUCAUGAAAAAUAACAUCACGGGAAAUAAAAAUUUUACCCGUUUGAAGGUCGUAAACUCGAUAUCCUUUGGUGCCGUAUGGAUAGCCAAGAAAAAUACAACGUGUGGCUCUUGCAUCAAAUUUGGUUGGUCUAUGGUGGUGUGUGGAAGAGAAACAUAAACAACCAAACACUCGCAAAUGUGCAUAUGUUGGCUGUUUGUGAUGAAGGAUUUCAUAGGGUGAUUUUCCGUGAAGAAGAGGAGUGGGAGUCCUAUUAAUGAGAUAAGUGGCAGUUAGGAUUGCAUUACCCCAAAAUUUCUUGGGAAGAUGAGAUUGAAAAAGCAAGGCUCUAGCAACGUUAAGUAAGUGGCGGUGUUUACGCUCUGCUACCCCGUUUUGUUGGGGAGUAGAGACACAACUUGUUUGAUGUAGAAUGCCUUUAGAUGAAAAAAAAUGGGUCAUAAAAAAUUCUAGACCAUUAUCACUACGAAGAACCUUAACUCGUGUGGAAAAUUGUGUUUCAACAAGGUGGAUGAAUGUGAUGAGAUAUGAUCGUGCAUCUGAUUUGUGAUUCAUUAAAUAAACCCAUGUGCAUCGUGUGAAAUCAUCUACAAUGGUCAAGAAAUAUUGUGCCCCUGUGAUAGUGGGAACAUGGUAACCUCCCCAAAUGUCAACAUGAAUUAAUUCAAAAGGAGCUUUUGUUUUAAUAGAACUCAAAGGAAAAGGAGCACGUGUUUGUUUGGCUAAGGGGCAGAUCAAACAAUCAUCAAUGCUACAAAAAUUCAAAUUUUUAAUGCAAGGGGAGAUAGCCCGUAAGGUUUUGUUGGAAAGAUGGCCAAGGCGUUGAUGCCAAAGCUGAGAAGCAGAGAAAGAGUAACAACUGACACUGAAUUGCACCUGGUUUUCGUCACAUUAUCAAGGUAGUAGAGGCCUCCUUGUUCAGUUCUCGUCCCAAUCAUCUUCCCCGAUCGUUGGCCCUGAAGUAGACACUUUUUAUCAGUGAAGAUGACAAAGCAAGAUGAGGUAUUAGUGAUUUUGCUGACAGAAAUUAAAUUCAGUUUAAAUGAUGGAACACAAAGCACGUUGUAAAGGACGAGAUCGUUCGAGAGACGAACUGUGCCAAUAUGUGUGAUAUCGGCAAGUGCAUGAUUGGGUAGGUGCACUUGUCGAUUGUAUACCGGAACGCUUGUGGUCAUCAAACUUGGUGAGCAAACCAUGUGGUCUGUGGCGCCAGUAUCGAAAAUCCAGUUCCUUCCCUUAUUGAGAGGAGAAGCACAAAGAACUCUACCUGAUAAAUCAUUCAUAGUAGAGGUGGUACCGACAUGGUUAGAUGUGGAUUUAGACUGGCUCUUAUCAAGUAGUGCAAGCAGGUUGUGGUAUUGCUCGGGAGUGAGGCUGUAGGAUGAAGGAGAUGUUGCUGGAGGCGUUGGUUUGAUGUCAACGUGAUUAGCCUUGGAGUUGAACCCCUGCGAGUUGGAACCCCUGCGAUCUUGAUAAUCUCCCUUAUCGCUGUUGUCCUUUGCCUUUUUCAAUUUGCGGCAUUGGUCUAUGGUGUGACCUCUCCAAUUACAGUAGUCGCACUUGAGGUGUGCACACGACAGGUUUCUGAAGUAUGUCCGGUUGCAUCACAACGGCCACAUUUUAAAUGGGAAUUUCUAGGAGAAAAAUUCCUACCAGAGUUUCGCAUGUUGUCCCGCACGGCGAAAGCUGCGGCAUCAGUGAUUGAAGACCUUCCAGGAGCAUGUAUUGAGACUGCUCUCUGUUUCUCAUCUUGAAUAAUGAGUGAGAAAGCUUUGUUGACAGCAGGGAGAGGAUCCAUAAGUAAGAGUUGCCCACGAACUGCAGCGUAGGAUUCAUUGAGACCCAUGAGAAACUUCAUGGUUUUCUGACUUUGCUGAAACUGCAUCAAUUCUUUCGCAGCUCCACAAUGCACAGGUUGGGAGAGCGCACAAGGCAUCACGUUCAUCCCAAAAACUUUUCAGUUUGGUAUAAUAUGCACCAAUGUUCAAAUUUCCUUGAACACUUCCAUGUAUCUCUUGUUCGAUAUGGAAGAGAUGGACACUGUUUGUGUGAGAGAGAAGCGUUCCUUCAACUCAUUCCAAAUAUCAGCUGCAACAUUGUUGUAGAUGACACUUGCACCAAUAUCUUUUGAGACAGAGUUGAGCAGCCAAGAUUUCACGAGGUUGUUGCAACGAGUCCACUGUUGGUAUUCAAUUGUGGACGUCAACUUAGGCCUUUGAAUGGUUCCAUUGAUGAAUCCUUCCUUGUUCUUGGCAUUGAGGGCCAUGGUCAUGGCUCGGCUCCAAGUGGAGUAAUUUUCGUCAUUCAAUGGUUGGUUGUGUGACGAGAAUCGCUCCAGGCUGAUCGGAGUGAUGAAGAUAAAGAGGAUCGCUGGGAUCUUCGUAUUUGGUGUGUUUGCUGGAAGAGUCAGUUGCCAUGUUCACAGACAGUGUGCAGUGGCUGUGCUUUGCGGCUGUGCUUAAUGGCUGUGACAGGUAGAGCAGCGACGAUGGCUGUGUAGCGGUUUUGCGACGGCAAGGCAGCGAGUGUGCAGCUUGCAGUGCACUGGUUGCUGCAGUAGCAGAUGUCGCUGUUCACAGUAUAGCAGCGAAAGAGUGAAGGCAGAGCAGAGCAAAGGAUUACCUGCGCUCUGAUACCAUGUUAAGUUUGAUAUUUCUAUAUAUUCAUACUGCUGCAAUGGCAGCAUUGCUUUAUACAUUGGAUACGUACACGCAUGCAUUAAACUAAAUAUAAAUGAAGGUGGAGUCCUCGCUGCCCAUAGUGCAGAAACUGCCCAUAAAGCACAAACACAGAUGCACAGCCCACGUGGGCAGUUUAGCUGUCAAGGCAUGUGUUGAAACCAUGUGCAAUAUUCUUCUGACAGGUUUGCUCUUUAACAGUUCCUUUAUUCGAAUUGUGGUAGUGUUUCCCCAUAUGAAGAAACUCUUCCUGCUGCAUGUUAUGAUUAGUUGCCUUGUUGGGGUUCUUUUGAUUAUUUACAGAACCAUUUGAGUAGCUGUCUGUCUUCACCGAAUAAGUAUGCGCAGUCACGCAGGAUGGCGACGAAACCCCUUCGCUUCUUGAUUGUUUUGGAGAUGAGGGCUGAGAAGGACGAGGAGUCCCAGUUGUGGAAGGAGGGUUCUUGCCUACCUCAGGCGGUGCAGAAUAGCGAAAUUUCGGCAAAGAAUUAACCCCAUCAACCAGUGACCCCAUGGCUUUCACACAGGCACUGUCACUGCAAAAUUCAACUGAGCACUAUGAUAAUAUGAUAUGUAACAAUCUUACCACUAAAGGCAUUAAGUACAGAAUCAUCAACUUGAAUUGUCUUCCAAAAUUCAAAUUAACAAGGCAGAGCCGUCAAUUCGAAACACAGAAUCAACAAAAAAUCUGCAACAAUAUACAGUCAAAGAAAAUCCCAGAUGAACCGAAAUUCAAGAUACAAGCUUUAAUUCACAAUCUAAUUAAUGGCAGCGCGAAAGGGGAAAAAUAUAUCAAAAAAGGAUCAUUUGACAAAAUUUUCAACAAAAAUUUAUCUUUUUAUAAAACCCAGAAACCCAAAUUCUCCAGUGAUUGAACCCAAGUUCUAAUUUUGAUUCUUUUCAAAACCAAACACGACUUUCAUUUUCUUUUCGUUUCCCACAGUUUCUCGGCAACCAAACAACAGAACAACGCAAAAGAACCUCAAAGCAAAGAACCCAAUUAGCCAAAGAGAGCUUAGAAAAAUUACCUGAUCAGAGAAGAGAGAAAGCAGACGACAGCAAGCAACCUCGCAUGGCUGGUGGGCACAAUGAGAGAGAGAGAGAGAGAGGAGAGAGAGAGAGAGAGACCCAAAGAGCGAGAGCUCACAGAGAAAGUGAAACAACUUAGAGGGGGUCUCUGUUUCUGUUUUUCAUCUUUUGGAUUUCACUGAAGAGCUUCAGAUCCGAUCGAACAAGAAAUCCAGAGGAGGAUCAAGCAACAAGACAACAAACAAAGAAAAAAAUAUGAAUAAAUUUAUGAACUUUUAACUUCUGGGGAGAACAGAAAGUUGGAGUUUCUCUGGUUUUUCUCGUCGCGGUGUGGACUUGAGAGAAAAACGAAGCCAAAAUUCGCAAGCAAAGCGUAAAGCUUAAAAAGCCGUCUUUGUCUUUGGAUGUUUUUUUUUCCAAUGUAUUUUGUUCUCUGAGAAGAAAAUAUGGUGGAAAGAACGUCUCUUCGCUUUGUUCUUGUUGUGAAAAAAAAAAACUUUUUAACAUUUUAGUUGUAUCAUGGCUCAUGGCGCACGAGAGAUAUUUCAUUAUGUCGAAAACACGGUCUGAUGCGAUUAUAGUGUAUCAAACCGUGUUAUCUUAAAGUAUGUAGGAAACAUGAUUUGAUGCGCUAAGUGUCUUAAUAUAAUUUGUUGAAAAAAAUUCAUAUGAUAUAUAAUGUAUCAAAUCGUGUGCCCCUAAAAAUGUAUUACGAUAGUUGUUUUCAAUUUGUUCAUUGAGGUAUUUUGGCAAUUACAAUAAAAACAACCAGCGCAAGAAAUCUUUAGGGACCCGUAGCGUCAGUAAUUGAAAAAAAAAAUGCCUCUCUCUUGAGAAAUUUUGAAUGUACCCCUAACCAAUAGCCCGCUUUAAGAAUUCAAUCUUUAAAUGAAUGAAUUGGUAUUGUGAAUGUUAAGAAUUAUUAGCUGGUGAUCAGACUAGUGAUACAUUUUUUUUUUCUCAAUGUUUGAAUUCCCAGUACAAUAUAUUUUGUAGCACUCAAUCGAACCUACAUGGCAAGGAUGUAGAUUUUUCAAAUGUAUAUUUUUAAGAUAUGAGGAAUUUAAAUGAAGAAACCAAACCCAAAUCUUGUAGCACACCCUUAUUCUACAACUACAUACUCAAAUGCAAUGUCAUACGUAAUUGUACAAAUAUCAAACUCACUUUUUUUUAUUAAUUUUCAAUAGUUAUCAUACUUCGUCUUUCAAGUGUAACUUAUUUUUCGAGCUCCCAAUAACAACUCCAUUUACAUUUUAUAUGAGCAAUGUAAUUAUCGAUAUCACAUGACUCCUACAUUAUUUUCAAGGCAAUUAUGUCCAAUGACGAAUGUACAUUGAGACCAAAGUGGUUUUAGGAUCACCAAAAGUUCAGAAAAUACACAUGUGAAUGUCUUUCGAGAAAUGAUUGGUAUUGAUCCUUCUUGUGCCCAUUUGAUGUAAUGCAUGCCAGCAUAUCUUGAGAUGAUGCGUCGAUAUCACUCAUCAGACUGUUUCAGUGUAUGUCAUUAUCUAUUGACAUGUUUCUAUCUAAAAAAUUAACAUUAAAACCCUCAAUGAUCCUAAUCUUGAAUUCGCAUCUGAUUAUGUUAUCUGUUUUAUCCCAUAAGUAAGAGCAGAGGUCCUCAACAUUGUCAAAUUUUCAAGCAUUCUUUCCCCUCAAAUAUUAUUUUAUUUUCUCCCUAAAUUCCAAUAAUACAAUGCUAAUAAUAAUUUUUUAAUGGAAUCUAAUCCAAAGAGUGGAAAAUAUCCAACAUCUAGAAUGUAACUAGACAAUGUUUUGAUUGACCACAACACCAAAAUUCAGGGAGCAGAUAUAGGACUUAAUUUUCAUUUUUUUAAACAUUAUUUAGGUCCAAGAUAAUUAAAUUAAAUUAUAAUUAGUCGUAAUCACAUGGGGAUUAAGCAACCGCACAAAUCUCGUUAAUUCCUUUCGCGGGAACCAGGAGGGAGGCCUCACAUGCGCGCACGUGAACACCAGGACAAAGCACGUGGGCGGCUGUCAUGCCCGUCGCAUGAAUCUACGGUAGGCCCGCGGUGAAACUAAAAGAUAUGUUUAAUCUGGAAGGACAGGGCGCCCGUAUCAAAUGUUACGGAGCUUUGGGUAUGUGGGUCUACAAUCACAUAAAUUUUUCAACGUUGUCGAAAACACAGUCUGUUAUAUAAGGUAUCAUUGUAAAAGCAGUUAAUUUUUUUUUUUUUUCAAACUAUUUAUGUUAUUGGUGUACUAGUCUGUUUUCCGACAGACUGAAAAAUAUCUCCACAAUCACACUGGUGGUAUUUUGUAUUGUGGAUUGUAAGUGCAAAAAGAGUCUAAUAGCAACUUAUAUAAAAUGAAUAUCUCAAUUGUAAAAAUCAAUUCUACUACUCAAUGUUUCGUGAAAACCAAACUUACAUUUAACAUUGUGUAUUAGUUUAUCGGAACGCCCUAAUUGCGAUAAACACAAAUUUUAUAUGUCAUUUUUGUGAGUUAAAGCUCAAUCCUUUGUGUUAGCAUAGAUAAUAUCGAUGUUAAAAAAUAAGAAAGUCAUUCUCGUGAUGGUGACCAGAUACACGUAACAUGCUUUCCUAACAAUGUGGGUCCCAGCAAAGACCCAUUUCCUUAAAUUUUAAUUCCCAUCAGACAUCGGACGGUUCUAUAUUGCUUCUGGACAUUGAUGGAUGCUCUGCACCGUAAACUCUAUGCGGUGCAAAACACUUGGUUCUUGACACGUGUAAUUAUUAGAAGGGAAUUUAGACAGUAUCAUGACUAGUGGGGACCACCAUUACCAAUCACAUAACAUGGACAUACCUUGGGCAAAUCAUUUUCCAUUUUCUCCAUUAGACAGUGAGCAAUCUUUCAAUGUACCUGAAACAAAGUGACAUAAUAGUAAGUAACACGGAGGAUGUCAGGACCAGUUCCAGACUCAAAAACCUUAAGGCCCAGUUUGGUGGGAAAUGGAAUAGGUUGUGAUCAAUUAAAAUAAAUUUUGAGUUCAACAUGUUAUUUAUUAUGUUAAAUGUGAGAUAGACAAGACUGAACUGGGUUAUAAGUUCAGAAUAGAGUAGAUUAUCUAACUUAUCCUUAUAAAUAGGUUACAAGUCUUGUCUUAUAAGCCCCUACGAAUCUAAUCAUACCUCUGUUGUCUAAUCUCAUCCAUCACCCCAAACGGGCCCCUUCGUGACAUCACAACAUAUUGACUCAUGUGCAAAAUUCAUUGACCACACAUGUUCCAUAUACGAACAAGUAACUUUUUUCAGCUAGGCACUAACACUGUCAUUAUUCAACCAAGCACUUACACUGUCAUGUGGUUUUACGAAUCCAUUCAUAUUAUAACAUAUGUAACCAUAAAAAAUUUCAACAUGACCGUUGCUUUAUACUGUAGUUCUGUACUACACAUGAAUUAGUAACAUCACCAUGUAGAUGUCCUACCAAAAAAAACGAAAAAUCUCCAUACAACUACAAACGAGAAGCAUUAAACUAGACAUUCAUUUCCUUCUCUGAGCAUGGGCAAACUAGCAAGGAAUGUGAUGAGGAAACUAACAUUAGACAAGAUGUCAAGAUUGUUCUAACCAAUUUUCCAGGUACAAAUUUAAGACGUAUCUCGCCGUUGACAAAACGUCAAGCCUCUUCUCGCUCGGUUCAUACUUCCCUUUCCGGAGCCGGUACCGACGAGUUACGGCCGAGAUUGUGUAAGUUUGGCCUUCUAUUGUCACACCGUCCCCACAAUGUAGGUUCUGCAGCAUGGAAGGUGCAAUAAGAACACACACAAGGAAAAUCAAAAGAGAAGAAAAUAGCAAGUUUAGUAGCAAAUUCGACGUAUCAUACAUCCGUAGGGCCUGCUGCUCCUCCAUGAAUGAACAAAUAGAGUAAUAUAGACGAUAGAGUAAUACUGAACGCAUGACAGACAGAAACAAUCAGUUCGGAUGCACGUAUAGUUUGAGGGAAGGUUUCGGUGCAGUUUCCUGGUUUUCUGAAGUCGUGUAUAGGGUUGUCCUCUCCCCGCAUAAAUGUGAUGGAGACUGAACUGUGAGAGACGUUCAAAUCUCAUAGAUGGUGAUCAUUUGCCUAGCCAAAUAAAAAGGAUCAACUUCGAUCCCGUACAUGAAUCAUCUUCCAUGCCUGUACAUCUGAGAAUAAUAUAAAACGGCGUUUAGACACUUAAGAAACGAAAAUGGCACAACGCAAAGACUUUGAUCACCUUGUGAUUUCAUUCACCAUCGCUCGGUCAUUGUGUUCUUUAGGUGUGUGCAGUGAACACUGAAACUUGUUUCUUCUAAACCAUCGAAAAACUUGUGCUCUUAACUUCACGCUUAAUUAAGUUAGCCGCGAAUGUGAAUUACAUUGCUUAUCUUCAUUUCGACACAGUUUUGUCCAAGUAAUCUGUUGGAGCAUGUUUGGUAUUCUACUUGAAUCCAACUUUUUAAACUAAAAAAUAAUUUUCAAGUUUUAGACCUUAAAAACUUGUUUGAUAUGACUAUUUUCAAAAACUGAACUCAAGACUAACUAAAAAAUAUAGUCUAUUAUCUAAAAACACAAAAUGUGAGUUUUUAGAAUUUUUAAAUUUAAAUUCACUCCUUUCUUUUCUCUCGCUCCUCCCCUCUCACUCCAAAGCUAUCUCUCUCUUUUCUUCUUUCUCUCUCCCCCUUCUCUUUUUUUUUUUUUUACCAUUUUCGUCUCUCAUCCAAUCCGCUCUCUUCAUUCUCUCGAUUCUUUAUCUCACUCACUUUUCUCUCUAUCUCCUCCGAUCCUCUCACUUCUUUCUUUUUCCUCCAAUAAUCUCUUACUUUCUUUCCUCUUCUCUCAUCUUUCUCUCUUGACCCACUCUUUUUGGAUCUCUUUGUCCAGUUUAAGUUGUAAGAUUUAAAAAUUUUAAAUUGCAUUUCAAACAAGUUUUUUAGUCUUAAAGAAAAUUGUUUUCAAGAAAAAUUCUUAAGAAAUGUUUUGAGAAAUUAUAAAAAAUUUCAAAUAGGAUACCAAACAAGCCAUUAGUUUCUUACAGUUUCUGAAAGAUCCAAGUCGACUGAGUACACGGUCUAUGCUACGUUUUUACCCAAGCGAAACACUACUUCAGAAAUGUUUUCACACCAGAAGAAGCUGCCUGAUGCAUACAUGACAAGCUAUCGAUACACAUUUAAGCAAGGACGUCUCACAUCCUCGGUAUGGUUUGCAUUUCUCAACGGCGUAGUGAUGCUUACUAGACAAAAGAUAAAAGAAAAGGAAAAGUGGGACGCAUUGGGGUUCAAUCUCCUCCAAAAACUAUGAAGGGCUUCCUCUUUGUGACACUUCCCAAAGUCAUCGCCAACACCAAUAUAUCAGAACAAGUGCAUAUGGCCCCCUAGAGCAAAAUGGAGUUCAGUGACCAACUCUUUCAAGUUUCAAUACAUCGAUCACGCAGCUUCUACCAAAUUCACACUCAAAAAACUUCCUUAUACGGUCAAUUUGUACAUCUGUGACAUCCAAAUCGACGUCAUUCGUGCUCAAUCAUUGCAGUAAUCGAGCUUAAACAGCUCAUAAUACAGUUAUAUAAGAAGCAAGAGCAAAUGCAGCAGCAGCAGCACCUGCAUAAUCCCCACUCAACAGACAUUCACGGAUUCAGAAUUGAUCCCCAAAAUUAUUGGUGGGAUUCGAAGCUCUUUUGCCACAAGUCCCCAAUCUGUCUAGCAAAGGGAAACAUUUGUGCCUCUCAUUUUAAUAACUUCUUUUUAUAGGGAGCUGAUCCGUUACUUUUUUACACAACUUUUGACAUACAUUUUUUUGCGGCGCAUUCUAUAAGUAUAUUUUAACGAUCCGAACCAUCACUCAUAUAUUAUACUUGCAAAAAUUUAGACUAACCCGAACCCAUUAAGACAUUUGUUUGUACCAAAAGAAACCUAAGCCCUUAUUUCAAGGGUCAUAUGGCUUCAUUUGGAAGACAGUGAAAUGCUUUCUGAACAAAAACUAGCAAAUCAUGGAAAAAAUUGUAAGAACAUCUCCAAUGGGUUGUGUUGAUGCACAAAAUCAGCGAAGACUUUGGUACAACAGAAAGUGUCAGGUUUUAUGACCUUCGCUUGGUUGCUUCGGUCACUAGUGAGGAUAAGUACGUAAAUGAAUAGAGACAGAGAAGCAAACACAGGAUGUACGUGGUUCACCCAGAUUGGCUACGUCCACGGAGUAGAGGAGUUCUUAUUAGUAGUGAAGGGCUUACACAAGUACAAAGGAUCAAGCUCUCAAUUUAGUGAGUUCUUGUGAAUGAUUUAACACAAAUGGCAUUAGGCAAUAUUGUGGGGGAAUGACCCCUAUUUAUAGAAAAACUUGUAGCUUUGUCACAUUGACAUGUGUCAUGUUAUGAUUGGUUCUUGAUGUCGACACGUGCUGCGCUCUGAUUGGCUUCUAAUCUUGACACGUGUCGAGUAGUGAUUGGCCUCCUGGUCGGAGGGGAACUCUUCUGGGUCCUUGACAGUAUAGCGUUGGCCGGUGCUCGGUAGUUUCGGGAUUGGUCAAGUAUGGUACAAACAGUGCUCCCCUAAGUUCCCGAGUGAGGGAAACUCCUCGGUUGGGGACUUGCAAGAUCCAAUCCCUUGAGUAAUCACGAAACUUCUAAGUACCGAAGUGUGGUCUGAUCUUCAUCUGCCCUUCUCUGGAAGUACCUUUCCUCCAUCCGGGAAUGGUGUAUUUAGCUGAUGUUGACGCACAAGGUAAUGUAUCAAUUUCAUUUGAAGCUUAGUUGUAGUUUCGGGCUUAGUCAAGUGUGAUACAAACCCUAUAGUAGGAGUCCCCCAAGUCGCGCCGAGCUAGGAGAUCUGCCGAAAGAGGUGACAGACAAGGUAAGCAGUCAAACUUCCAAGUAAGCAACCCAGGAUCAGAGGUUUGACUUCGGCUUCCGGUUGAUUGUUCUCCUUCUCCUUGUCUCUCAUUCAACUGCCAGGAUAAGGAGAAGCAAAUGGAUAAGAGAUGAUAUGAGAUACUUUUGCUUUUGAAGAAGUAACUUUCCACAGGCUUAUUCUUGAACUGUGCUGGAGGGUUUUCUGGUGCCCUUCAGAGUAUAAGGCCGACUCAAAAAUUUGAGGGUCAAAACAAGUCCAUCAAAUCUAGAGUACGUUCGACCUUGAUGAUAUGGGAUACUUUUGCUGUUGACGGAAUAAUGAAUGUGGUAUGGAAAGGUGUCGUGCUGUAGUGAUCUGUUUCAGCUCACCGUUGAACCUUCUGCUUCAAUCUUUUGCAUGGCAGAAGUGGUGUGCAACCUUUGCAUUUAAAUGGUCCUUCAGAACAUUCCUUCAUAGUGACUCAUCCACGCUUGGCAGCUUCAGUGUAAAGAGCCAAUAUCUGAUCAACUGUCAUGAGGUAUUUGCCGGUGGAAUUCGUGACCUUGACAACAGUUGAGGAUGAGUACUCGAGAGCAAUGCUAAGUAAGCAACCAGGGAAAGGCUCCAGGCAGUCAGUUCCAAAUUGGAGGUUUGAUUUCAGGUUCCGACUGACUGCUCUCUUUCUCCUUGUCCUGCAGGUGUGGACAAGGACAAAGACAAAGACAGGGAGAAAGCAUGAUAUGGGAUACUCUUGCUUUCGACCCUGAUGAUAUGAGAUACUCUUGUUCUUGGUGUGGCUUAUUUGCUGAGGUAUUAUCGGGGGGAAAUAAAGCUGAGUAUAUUUCGAGAGGUUAUGUUGAGGGUGCCUUUUUCGAAUGCGAGAAAGGGUUGAGCAUUUUUGCAGGUUUGCCUGUCCGUUGAGGAGGGAGGUCAAUGUAUAUAGGGAUUUCCCAAUAACAAGUAGUAAUGUUAUUCCUUUACCCUUCUUGGUCACAGCAAUGUAGUGGGAGCUGCCAGCUUCACGUGUUUUUAAUUUUGUCAGAGCACUUUGAAAAAGUGGUAUGUGGUAUCUGGAAAGCUGAUAUUACGUGUGAAGAUUACAGACAAGCUUUAUCUAAGGAAAUCUGGCUCUCGAAGUUCUGAGAGUUGUGCCUCUUCGGUUUUCGAACAAGCAAUCCCGUCGAGGAUCUGACUCUCGAGAUUCGGAAAGCGGUGCUACUCCGGUUUUUGAGAAAGUAAUUAUGUUGGGAGUCUUUUCUCGAAUGUGAGUAAAGGUUGGACGUUCUUGCCAACCUGUCUUGCCGCAAAACACGGAGGUCGACACACAUAGGGACUUUCCAGUUGUCAAGCAGUGGUGCUGUUCCUUUACCCUUAUGGGUAAUAGUAGGGUAGCUGGAACUUCGAAAUUCUCGUGCCUAAACUUUGUCAGAGAUCUUUGACAAAGUUAUAUGUGGUACCCGAGGAGUUGAUGGUGCAUAUGGAGAGCGGUGAUUGAACAGUAAGAUUCACGUGCUUUCUACUUCACCAGAAAUCUUCGACAGAUUGCCCGUAAUUUCCGCAAAGCUGAUUGUGCAUGUGACAGGUGCUGACGAGGCUGAAAAAGCAAGUGCUUCUUCGAUUUCUGAGAUCGGCCCUCGUGGUCUCUGAGCAGCCCAGCUUUUGAGAAAGCAAACGCCUCUUCGAUUUCUGAGAUCGGCCCUCGUGGUCUCUGAGCAGCCCAGCUUUUGAGAAAGCAAACGCCUCUUCGAUUUCUGAAGCUCCGUCGAGUGCAGAUUUUUAUAGAGGCUGGCAUUAAGUUCCACAGCACACUUGAAUCUCUACCAGUAGAAGCUCAUUUCUUGCACUUCUAAGAUCUUGAUUUGUCUGACCUCUUCCUUCUUCAACACAUUUGAAAAUGUCUGGACCCUCCGACCGUCGUUUUGACUUGAACCUUGGAGAAGAGACAGCCACGCCUUCUCCAGACAACAUAUGGCGCCCAUCCUUCAUAUCCCCUACUGGUCCUCUUACCGUUGGGGAUUCUGUGAUGAAGAAUGAUAUGACCGCUGCAGUGGUGGCCAGGAACCUUCUCACUCCCAAAGAUAACAGACUACUUUCCAAACGGUCUGAUGAGUUGGCUGUUAAGGACUCUCUGGCUCUUAGUGUUCAGUGUGCAGGUUCUGUGUCUAAUAUGGCCCAACGCCUAUUUGCUAGAACCCGCCAAGUUGAAUCAUUGGCUGCUGAAGUGAUGAGUCUCAAACAGGAGAUUAGAGGGCUCAAGCAUGAGAAUAAGCAGUUGCACCGGCUCGCCCAUGACUAUGCUACAAACAUGAAGAGGAAGCUUGACCAGAUGAAGGAAUCUGAUGGUAAGGUUUUACUUGAUCAUCAGCGGUUUGUGGGUUUGUUCCAAAGGCAUUUAUUGCCUUCGUCCUCUGGGGCUGUACCUGGUAAUGAAGCUUCAAAUGAUGAACCUCCAAUGCCUCCUCCUUCUGGGGUUUUGUCAAGUACUGAGGCUCCGGAUAACCACCCUCCGGUGCUUUCUCUUUCUGGGGCUCUACCGACUGCUGAGACUUCCCCUAAGCAACCUUUGUGAAGGCUCCCUUUUGUUUGUUUAUUUUGACUCAUGUAUAUGUACAUAUUUGUGGCUUAUCGAAAAUAUUAAUAAAUAAGCUUUGCUUCAUUUCAACAUAUUGUGUUAAAUACACCAAAGCCUUCUUCAUAAAGUUCUUUGAAUUUUUGCUUUUGUUGAAACCUGUAUUGUUGAAGCUUUGUGAGUGAAGCAUGUAGUUUGAGGUAGUGUUCCCUUAAUUUCCCGAGUGAGGAAAACUUCUCGGUUGGAGACUUGAAAAAUCCAAGUCACUGAGUGGUUGUGAGACUGCCGAGUAUCAAGGUGCAGUAGCAUAUGGUGGGAGUCCCCCAAGUCUUCAGGCGAAGAGAGUUGCCGAAUGAGGUGUCUCUCGCGUGUUACUAAUUUGUCAAAGUAACGAAUCCUUGUUUCGAUGUCACACAUUCGUAUAUGCUUUAUCUAAAAAUAUUUCCAACUUUUGUGUGUUUGAUGCUGCAUGCUAUUGACUAGACAAGAUCAAGUGCAAUUAGUAGCUUUUCUCUCUUUUUCAUCUUUUCUUUGGUGGAAUUGCUUUUCGUUUCCACUAAUCAGCCUGAGUGGAUGCAAGAUAACACCUUUCUCUAUAGCUCAGAUUGCAAAGUCGUCUUCAUGAAAGUUUUUCCUUAUCUUGUGAACUACAACAUAUCCAAAUUUGAGAUCCAUCGGAGUAGUACAACUUCAGAAAUUCAAGUAUGAUGAGUAACUGUUCAUCAAUGUUCUGUUAAUCCGUCAGACUUGUUGUGAGCUUCGAAACUCCAUUUUCUCUUGUUCAGAUCAACAUACUUUCUUCAUCGAAGUUGUUCCUUAACUUGUGAACUACAACAUAUCCAAAUUUGAGGUCCCUCGGAGCAGUAUAACUCCAGAAAUCCAGGUAUGAUGAGUGACUGUUUAUCAUUUUGUCUGUCAACCCGUCAGAUUUGUUGUGAGCUUUGAAACUCUAUUUUCUCUUGCUCAGAUCAGCAUGCUUUCUUCAUUGAAGUUGUUCCUCAGCUUGUGAACUACACAACAUAUCCAAAUUUGAGAUCCCUCGGAGCAGUAUAACUCCAGAAAUCCAGGUAUGAUGAAUGACUGGUUAUUAUUUUUCUGUCAACCCGUCAGAUUUGUUGUGAGCUUCGAAACUCCAUUUUCUCUUGUUCAGAUCGGUAUGCUUUCUUCAUUGAAGUUGUUCCUCAUCGACUCUUUCAUAACAUAUCAAAAAUUCAGGAUGAACUAACGGUUAAAUAUUUCCAGAUCUUCGAAACAUCACAACAGCUUCGAAAUCUGCAAGAAGCCGACUAUCAUGUUUGGAGCUUCAACACUUUAAUUUCCGUCGCUCAAACAGAAAUGGUUCCUUCUUGAAAGUUGUUCAUAUGCUCAAGAACUAUAGGGUGUCCAAAAUUCAGCUCCAUUGGAGAAGAGCAGAGGUUGCAGAAAUUUGAUAGAUGAAAGGAGGCGGAAGAGGGAGAGAGAGAAAAAGUCUCUUGGGUUGGAUUUCUAUUUUGGGGCAGAUUCCAAUUUUUGUAGCACCUUCAUUAUUGAUGAAUUGCUUGUACUUUUGUCCAUUAUGAAACUUGGGACUUUGGCUUGUUGUUGGAUCUAUUAUAAUAUGUUUGGGAACAUAUAUAAGUGAAUAAAUAAGAAGGAAAAUUUUGGGCCCUUGUGGGUGUAAAACAAAAAAUGUUUAUGUUUACCCAAGUGUUUUUGUACAAGUUCAAGGGCAUCUUGGGUUUUGUGAACAAAAUUUGUUUAUUUGGAGCAAGGUUUUGUGUUGAAGCUUUGUAGGUGAAGCUUUGGUGUUGAAGCUUUCUAGGUGAAGCUUUGAUGGUGAAGCUUUGUAGAUGAAGCUUUGUAGAUGAAGCUUUCUAGGUGAAGCUUUGAUGGUGAAGCUUUGAUGGUGAAAGUAUGUAGAGGGAGCUUUCUAGGUGAAGCUUUUUUAGGUGAAGCUUUGUAGGUGAAGCUUUUUUAAGUGAAGCUUUUCGGGUGAAGUUUUUUUUUUUGGGUGAAGCUUUGUGGGUGAAGCUUUUUAGGUGAAGCUUUUGUGGGUGAAGCUUUGGAGGUGAAGCUUUUCGGGUGAAGCUUUUUGGGUGAAGCUUUUUAGGUGAAGCUUUGUGGGUGAAGCUUUGGAGGUGAAGCUUUUCGGGUGAAGCUUUUUGGAUGAAGCUGUUUUUUUUUUUUUUUUUUUUUUUUUUUUUUUUUUUUUUUUUUUUUGGCGCUUGACACGGUCUUCAUUUGCUUGUUUUGUAGUGACUGUGGAAGACGGAUUGCUUUCUGAUUGAGAAGGGUUCCGGCAUCGCUUGCUAUGAAUGUAAAAGAGUGAGGGCUGAGUUGGCUAAAUUACCUCUUUAUUGAAUUCAUUGCCAAAUGGCCUUCAUUACAUAGGAUGCCGAACGGCUAUAGCUCAACACUUGUACAUCGUGAGUCUAUUUGUAGUAGUACUUCAAGUGAUCAGCGUUCCAUGGAUGGCCAAGGGUCUUGCCAUCGGAGCUUCUAAGUGUGUAAGAGCCAGGGCGACUGAUGCCAAUGACUUCAUACGGUCCAUCCCAGUUUGGACUAAGUGUGCCUUCACUCGGGACUCUGUCGCAGAGUAAUCUUUUCUUUAAGACCCAGUCUCCUAUUUUGAAAGAACGAGGCUUGACCCUAGAGUCAUAAUAGUUGGAGAUGCGCUGCUUGUAGGCGACAUUCCUCAAGUGAGCUUGGUUUCUGUGUUCCUCGACUAAAUCCAAGUUGAGGGUGAGUUGUUUGUCAUUUUCACUUUGAAUGUAGUUCUGGACUCGGAAUGUUGCUUGCUCGAGCUCAACAGGGACAACCGCCUCUGUGCCAAAGGCAAGUGAGAAUGGAGUUUCUCCUGUUGAAGUCCGAUAUGAAGUGCGAUAUGACCAAAGAACUUGGGGUACAAAUUCUGGCCAACAGCCUUUAGCUUUGUCCAAGCUGGUUUUCAAAGUGCGCUUGAUUAUUUUGUUGAUGGCCUCAACUUGUCCAUUAGACUGGGGAUGAGCUGGAGAGGCAAAGCAUAAGUUGAUGUUGAACUUAGAGCAGAACAACCUGAACUUCUUGUUGUCAAACUGUCGCCCAUUGUCAGUGACUAUCGCAUUGGGAAUGCCGAAUCUACAAAGGAUGUUCUUCCACACGAAGUCUUCUAUCUUUGCCUCAGUAAUGGUUGCCAAGGGUUCUACUUCGGCCCACUUUGUGAAGUAGUCCACUGCAACGACUGCGUAACAGACUUUGCCCUUCCCUGCCGGCAUUGGGCCGAUCAAAUCAAGUCCCCACUGGGCGAAGGGCCAAGGGCUGAUCAUAGGAGUAAGAGGCUCUGGAGGGGAAUGAGGAAUAGCCGCAUAUCGUUGACAUUUGUCACAUGAGCGGGAUACUUUGAUGGCAUCCUGGUGGAGUGUUGGCCAGUAAUAUCCUUGGCGAAAAGUCUUGUGUGCUAGGGACCGAGAUCCAGCAUGAUCUCCACAGACUCCCUCAUGUAUUUCCCGAAGGACGAUUUCCGCCUCGGCAGGCGUAAGACACCUUAAGUAUGGCAGGCUAAAACCUCGCUUAUAGAGUUGAUCAUUGAUGAUCAGGUAGCGGGUAGACUUGUAUCGAAUUUGCUUAGCCUGGACUUUAUCAUUUGGGAGGGUGCCAUGAGCAAGGAAAUUAUAGAUCGGGGUGAUCCAACUAUCCCCCUGUUGUAAGUUGCAUACUUCUGCGGCCAUGGUGCUUGGUGUUGCCAACAGUUCGACAUGAAUUUUUCUUCCAAUCUUGUCUUCCACAGCCGAGGCGAGGCGAGCCAGGGCGUCUGCAUGACUGUUUGCCGCUCGAGGAACUUGGGUGAUCUGGUAGUGGAAGUGCUUGAGCAAAAGUUGUGUUUGCGCAAGAUAUGCUGCCAUGGAGCUGUCCUUAGCAUCAAAGUUGUUGGUAACCUGGUUGACCACCUAAUUGGGAGUCACUGAAAAUAUCAAUUUGUUUAACCCCGAGGUGUUUGGCCAAACGUAAUCCUGCUAGAAGGGCUUCAUACUCGGCCUCAUUAUUUGAUGCCUUGAAUUUGAAACGAAGAGCAUACUCCAUUGCUACUUUGUCGGGUGUAGUCAAGACUAGUCCCGCUCCACAGCCCUGUUGGUUGGAUGAGCCAUCAACAUACAGACUCCAUGCUGGGGUUGUUGGUUCUAUCUUCUGAGCUUCCGGGGUAAUGAAGCCACUGCUUCAGGUGUAGAAGCAAUGUCAACCGGAUAUGUGAAGUCGGCAAUGAAGUCUGCCACUGCUUGGCCCUUCUCAGCUGGCUUUGGUUGGUAGGAGAUGUCAAACUCACCCAACGCUAUUGCCCAUUUGAUCAUUCGCCCUGAAGUGUCAGGACUUUGGAGUAUCUGUCGAAGAGGAUAAUUGGUAAGCACGAUGAUGGAGUGCGCUUGGAAGUAAGGGCGGAGUUUUCGAGCAGACAUGACCAAUGCCAGAGCCAAUUUCUCAAUGUUAGAGUACCGUGUCUCCGCAUCUUGUAAGGCUUUGCUAGCGUAGUAGACAGGUCGCUCAAUAUUCCCAUCCUUUCGAAUGAGAACGGAACUUACGGCUGAAGCUGAUACCGAUAGGUAGAUAAUGAGAAUGUCUCCUACCUCGGGCUUGGAGAGUAGAGGGGCUUUACUCAUGUACUCCUUGAGGUUUUUGAAUGCCUCGGCACAUUCAUCAGUCCAUGUAAUGUACUUCCUACUUCCCUUAAGUGCUUUAAAAAAGGGAGCACAUUUGUCUGUGGCCUUAGAAAUGAACCUGGUUAAGGCUGCCACCUUGCCAGUAAGGCUCUGGAUGUCCUUUGAAGUUACCGGUUCCUUCAUGUCGAGGAUUGCUUUGAUCUUCUCGGGAUUAGCUUCAAUGCCUCGUUGGCUAAUCAUGAAACCUAAGAAUUUGCCAGAGCCUACGCCGAAGGCACAUUUGUUGGGGUUUAACCUCAUUCGAUACCUCUUCAAAAUAGUGAAAGUUUCAGAUAGGUUGGUGAUGUGUUGGUCAGCAUGUUUGCUCUUGACUAACAUAUCAUCAACGUAAACUUCCAUGCUCUUCCCAAUCUGCUCGGCGAACAUUGAGUUGACUAGUCUCUGAUAAGUCGCUCCUGCAUUCUUUAGGCCGAAAGGCAUGACUUUAUAGCAGUAUAGUCCUCUGUCGGUAGUGAAGGCUGUGUGUUCUUGAUCCGAAGGGUUCAUGAGGAUUUGGUUGUAUCCUGAGUAAGCAUCCAUGAAGCUCAGGAGUUCACACCCGGCCGUAGAGUCUAUAAGUCUGUCAAUAAGAGGAAGAGGGAAGCUAUCUUUCGGACACCCUUUGUUUAGGUCGGUGUAGUCAACACACAUUCUCCACAAGACCUUUUGAAGCAAAAGACUUUCUUUGGUCGGAUUUUUCCUUAACAAGGACCACAUUUGCUACCCAUGUCGGGUAAUUGACUUCGCGGACAAAGCCUAUGCCUUUGAGUUUUUCAACUUCUGCUUUCAUUGCCUCGUAUCGUUCAGCGUCAUAAGAUCUUCGCUUCUGUCUCACCGGCUUGAUCUUGGGGUCAAUACUCAAACGAUGACAGAUGACAUCGGGAGAGAUGCCUGGCAUGUCCUCGUAUGACCAGGCGAAGACUUCAGUGUUCUCUUUCAAAAAAGAUAUCAAUGCUAACCGAAGGGGUGGUGACAAUGUGGUGCCAAUCUUCACCAUGCGAUCUGGAUAAUCUCUUGAGAUAGGUACCUUCUCCAACUCUUCAGCAGGUUGGGCUUGCUGGGUGAAAGAGUCAUCUCGAGGAUCAUCGGGUUGAUUGUUGCUAUCAGGAAGAUCCAAGUUCGCUUCAUCUAGGCUGGUCUUUGUGACUUGGUCAUGUACAGACAGGGUUUCCUUGGGUCCGGGCAAGUGUUGUUGCUUAACUGAAGUGUUGUAACAUGAUCGUGCACUAAGCUGAUCUCCUCUGAUGUAGCCGUUGCCAUGGGGGGUUGGAAAUUUCAUCAACAGCAUAUGCGUGGAUACCAUAGCCUUGAGAUCAUUGAUGCCUGUGCGCCCAAAGAUGACAUUGUAUGCCGUUGGGCAGUCAACCACUAGGAAGUUAGUGGUAAUGGUAGCCGUGUAAGGGCCUGUACCAAUAGUAAAGGGUAAAUGUAUGCUCCCUAAGGGUUGCACGAUAUCACCGGAGAAGCUUAUCAGAGGAGAAAAUCGAGCGAUCGAGCAAGUGUUCAGCUACACUGAGUGCCCUGAAAGCUUCGGCAAACAUGAUAUUGACCGAAGCCCCUGUGUCUACGAGGAUUCGUCGAACAUCAAAGUUGGCUAUGUGAGCCUCCACGAUCAAUGGGUCGUUAUGAGGGUAGAUGAUGCCUCUUUCUUCCUCAGGGUAGAAACAUAUCGGAUCCCAGUUAGGUUUUUGAUACUUCCCUCCCCUGAUGUCUUCCACGUGAAACACUUGGUGACCAGGCCUCAGACUUCGUUCACUGUUUUUCAUGGCCCUAUUGGAAGAUUCAGAUAUGGGUGUGCCGCCGCUUAUGGAAUAUAUGACAUUCACCUGGCGUUGGUUACGGUUAUCCCUUUGAGGGUGAAGAAGGAAUUGAUCAAUUUUUCCUUCUCGUGCCAAAGCUUCAAUACGAUCACGGAGGAUGAUACAUUUCUCGCUAUCAUGGCCGUUAUGCUCAUGGUAGCAACAAAACAUGCCCGCGUUAUUCGGGGGCGUGUAAUCUGGGUGCCUCGGCUUUGGCUUUGGUAUCAGGUGAGCUAUGCUGGGGUAAAUGGCCGCGCAUGUGGCAUUCAAGGGCGUGUAUGUCUCAUACCUUGGGGUAGGGGGUAUCUUGACGCGGGUUUGACCCACUGCAUUGACUGCCUGGGGGCGAGCGUUAUUGUGGCGAUACCCUUGGUUAUCGGGAUAGUGUCCCUUACUCUUUUUUACUGAAAGGAGAGUGGUGAGGAUGGAAAUCCUUCCUCUUGCCUUGAAAUUGAUAUGUCUGUUGAUUCGGUGAAGCAUUAUGCAAGGCAUGGGGAGGUGCCACUGCUGUUUGGAAAGUCGAGGUCUUCUCAUUUAGGUGAGUCUGGCUUCCACCUCCCACUUGUUGAUAAAGGAUGGUUGUAGGGGGUUUCUCCUGAUAUGUCUUUGCCUCGGCGGAGGCAUGGUUAUAAGCCUGCGCCAUCACCUCAGAGUAAGUCUUCCAAGUAUUGGCAUUGAUCAUGUAUUUAAAGAAACAAUCACGUAGGCCUGCCGUGAAGGCUUUGAGGGCAGUCUUGUCGUCUGCCUCGGCACACCGGGAGUAUUCAUGGCUGAAGCGGCCAGCAUACAUACGUAAUGACUCGUCUGGCUUCUGGCGGAUAGUGUACAGGUCAUCUGCAGAGUGCAAGCGAUCGGUUUGGAAAAUGUGUUGGGAAACAAAUAGUUUCCUCAAUUCCUCAAAUGAGUCUACCGUCUCAGGUGUAAGACGACAAUACCAAUUUAGAGCUCCACUAGAGAGGGUGGAGGGGAAGAGAAGACAUCGCUCUUCGUCGGUGUGCAUCCGGUAUGCCAUGGUGGACUCAAAGAGGUUAAGGUGCUCAAUCGGGUCCUCUUUUCCAGUAUAAAGUUGCAAGCCAAGCUUUUGCUUUGUCUUUGCUUGAAGGGGGGUGUUGAGGAUCCUCCUUGUAAGAGGGCCAGGCCUGGGUUGGUUCCAGUCAGGUAUUUCAGCCUGACGUUCAGCCUUCAACUUGUUUACUUCCUCAAGAAGUUGUAGGACAAGGGGGUCCUGAGCGGAGUUAUGUGUCACUGGAGCUUUCUUUCGUAAAUCUCCAUCUCCUAUUGGAAUUAGGAAGGUUUGAUCAAGGGCAUGUGAUUUUUCCCUGGACUCGCUGUACUGGCUUCCAAGGUAUGUCUGUCGGAACACCUCUGAGUCCCCUGUACCCUCAUGUCUCUCUAGGACUUGUUGCCCCUUCCCCAAAUUGGUGGCCGGCUUGGGCAGUGGCAGGGGACCGAGUCUCUCAGAAAUCCUUGGGUCAUUAAUCUUUGAGCUUAUAUGGAUGGAAUUCUCUCGACGUUGCUUCAGGAAAUCCCGACAAUCGCGAAAGACGGCUUUCGAUCCUUCUGCCCCUUCAGCAAAGAGGUGUCUCCUUCCACUUCUCAUGGUUCGGGUCGAAGCAACUGGGUUAAGAGAAGCCUCAUGUUGAUUAUCAAGUCGAGGGGUAAUCUGUUCCCUAUCAGGGAUAUCUAUGUCGAAUGCAUGUGACCCUCCAUGUUGGAGGGCACCCAGUUGAUGGUUGACUUCCACGGGGGCAACAAGCUCGCGUGUCUGAGCUUGCCUAGCUUCGUGGAGUGUCUCGAAGAGCUUCUCAUAUUGCUCCUGGAGGACCUCAUUCCUCAUUGCUAUCUUGUUGUUCUGAGCUUCCAACUCAUCGACUUUAGCUUGAAGAAGAACUCGUUUUCCUUCCUUCUUUCGUUGUUUUCGCACUAUGUGCAAGGGGGGUGUCAUUCUGUGUGCUGUGGCUUCAUUCGCUUCCCAUGCUGGAGAGGGAUGCCUGAUCAAAAGAAAGUGUACGAAUGAUAGAAACCAGCUUGACACAGCUGAAGAGAGUAGGAAUCAGUGUCGUUUCCCACAGACGGCGCCAAAUGUUGAUGCACAAAAUCAGCGAAGACUUUGGUACAACAGAAAGUGUCAGGUUUUAUGACCUUCGCUUGGUUGCUUCGGUCACUAGUGAGGAUAAGUACGUAAAUGAAUAGAGACAGAGAAGCAAACACAGGAUGUACGUGGUUCACCCAGAUUGGCUACGUCCACGGAGUAGAGGAGUUCUUAUUAGUAGUGAAGGGCUUACACAAGUACAAAGGAUCAAGCUCUCAAUUUAGUGAGUUCUUGUGAAUGAUUUAACACAAAUGGCAUUAGGCAAUAUUGUGGGGGAAUGACCCCUAUUUAUAGAAAAACUUGUAGCUUUGUCACAUUGACAUGUGUCAUGUUAUGAUUGGUUCUUGAUGUCGACAAGUGCUGCGCUCUGAUUGGCUUCUAAUCUUGACACGUGUCGAGUAGUGAUUGGCCUCCUGGUCGGAGGGGAACUCUUCUGGGUCCUUGACAGUAUAGCGUUGGCCGGUGCUCGGUAGUUUCGGGAUUGGUCAAGUAUGGUACAAACAGGUUGGAUCCUAAAAAUCCCGCGGACUCAGAAAGUAAUAACAAAAAUGGCUAAUCUAAUAACGGAUUCCGUAAAAAAAAAAACAAAAAACGUUAAAAAAGAACUAAAGGCAGUCUCUAUGCCAUCUUACGAAAUAAAAUUCAGUGCGAGAAUGCAAAGAUCUGCACAAAUGUGCAGCCUGUUAAUGUCAAUUGCCAGGUCCCUUUAAUCUCAUAGUCCUGGUACAAAUAAAGGGCUUCAAUGAAAUAAAAAGAAUUCAACAGAAGAUUAUACGGAACGUCCUUGACACAAGGUUACCGGCCUCCAUUGCCGCCGGGGCAAAGUAUAGAAAGAGAGAAAUGAGACCAAGUGAGAAACUGGAAGCAGACGCCUGUAGACUUGAAGCCAAUAGCUACAGAGGUAGGUUCAUUUAGCUGCAGACUUCUUUUUUCAUCCUAAAGUACAACAGACCUUCUACCUCCCAUAUGGAUGAUAUCGGCCACUACCUGCACCGCCAUAUCCCCCUCCUCUACUACCGUAAAAGGAAACUCCACUACCACCUCCAUAGCCACCUCCGUAGCCACCUCCAAAACCUGCAUCAUAGCCACUCCCAUAACCACCACCACCAGCUGCCCCACCAGCACCUCCAUAUCCCCCAUAACUCUCACCAGCUCCACCAUAACCACCUCCCAUAUCAUAACCCCUGCUAUAGGCUCCUCCAUAACGGCUUGAAUAUCCUAUGGAAGAUUCUCCCCUAUAAGCCCCUAUACCGCCGCCACCACCGCCACCAUAUACUCCAUAUCCGCCAAAUUCACUGCCACCAUAUCCUCCAUAAGCACUGCCUCUACCACCAUAGGCAGCAGCUGACCUAUAACCACCAGCACCACCAUAACUGCCACCUCCAAAUCCACCAUAGCUUUCUCCAUACCCACCACCAUAUGCAGGUCUAGAAUCAUUAUAACGUUUUGAUGGUGGUGCAGGUUGGUUUGGCUUCUUUGGUUCUGCCUUUUUUAUCUCCACCUACAAGAAAUAACAGAUGAAUCUAAACUAUCAAGCUUCUUGAAUGCUCAUAGAUGCAUUUAGUACAUUACAUGGCCAAACCGUCUGAGUACAUGUAAACUAAUUUCGUGUACAUAUGUGAAUUCUACCUCAGUUUUGUUUGGUCAAGCGUAUUGUAUCAUGGUCUCCUUAUUCGUCACUUCGAAAGUGAAUAAAGCAAUAUGAACUUUAAGUAAUCUACAGGGACUACUAAACCAAGCAACAAUUUAGUGCAACCCAUUACAAAACCAUUCUUCCACAUUGAUCAGCGAAAGCAGAAAAUUAAAAAGAGGAUGCAUACAGCCACAUCAAUGCAUAGAGACCCACUACACGAUGCAUACAGCCAACCCACCUAUAUAAUCAAAACUUGGCGGCACUUCAAAUUUGAAAUUUUCUUCCUCUCUCACGACAUAGGUUAGCUAUUAAGGAAUAACAUUUCAAGAGCGACAAAUUCCACCAAAAACAUCCCCCACGUUCCAUUUCUACUGUGAAUUGGUAAUAUUAUCGAUGCAUAUGUUAUAUGAUCCUCAAACUCGCUGUAGCAUGACUAUUUAUUUAUUUAUUUAUUUAAUAUCCUUUACCUCAACUUCAUCUGUUUUUCUGUUGAGUAAAGAUAAAGGUCGUACCCAGUGCACAAGGCUCCCGCUUUACGCAGGGUCUGGGAGAGGUGAAUGUCGGCUAGCCUUACCCCCAUUUAUGGAGAGGCUGCUCCAAAGUCUCGAACCCGAGACCUACCGCUCAUGGGCGAAGGCACUUGCCAUCGCACCAAGUGCGACCUCUUUCUGUUGAGUAAAGAUGAUAAAUUUAAAAUUCAUCCCACAACCUAAGAAAUGGAAAAAAGAGAGGAGGUGAAUGUACAAAAUCCUUGCUAUGCCCUCUAUAUUUAAUAGAAAAAUAAAUUGAGUUAACGGAUAUAAUUGAAGUACCACAUGAGAUUGUGUUUGAGAACCACAAUAAGGAAAAAAAGAAAAACUAUCCUAGAAUGAAGGUAAAAUUCGUGUUCGUGACAACAAUGUCGUAUAUCUGAAAAAUAAUUCAAGUAGAUUAAGAUGUUAGUACACAAUCGUUUAUCUUGUUUAUUGAACAAACAACAAGGACAACAAUGUCGUUUUCUCUCUUUCGAAAUUCAUAAGCAACAAAAUUGAGAUUUUUAUUAAACAAUCACAUGAGCUUAGAAAAUACCACAUCAACAUUUUGCAAGCAGUCUCAUAAGAAAUCCCAAUCAAGAUAAAACCAUUCAACAGUUUAUUAGAUUUCUCCUUUCAUAUAAGAGCAUGGUUCGGAGGAUUAUUUAAUUGACGUUAUAACAUCUUUAUUCAAAGAAAAAAUGAAAAAGAAAAUAGGGCAUCCCUAAGGUAUAGGCCACAGCCACUGUUGCCACUGUUGCCACUGCUCCAACCACGGCAGCAGCUUAACAGCUCCCCUAUCAAGCUUAACAGCUUCCCUAAGGCAUCCUUCCUGGCAUCGUUCUCACUAUUCUCAAUCUGAUUGCCCUUUUCUUGUGGCUUAUCCUCGAUUUCAUCAACUUCAUCAGAAGAUGCUCCGAUUUGGCCCCUGUAAGGAAUGAAAUUGAAUUCCGUGUUCAGCUAUUUAAAUAUUCAACUCUUAAGUUUUGUCAAUAGCAAUUGAGUAAGAAUAGGUAUGAUCAAGCUUAAUAAACAAAUCACAACCACAUUACAAAUCAAAAACAUAUACAGGGUAAUGCAGUUAUAUCCAAUUCUUUUGUGCUUUCUCCACAAAAGUUCUUCCAUGUUAAUGUAACUCUAUAUCAAUUAAUCUAUCAUACAAGACUAUACAUAAUCAGCAAUUGAAAACUAUGACAACACAAGCUUCCGUCCAGUGAAAAUUUUAUCCAAAGAUAGGCAAAACCAAAAACGUACAAACCUCCACAGACGUUCUAUAAUCUUUCCCUUCCCAAUAUGCUCAUCAAGCAAUUCCGGCACAUCAUCAGGAGUGACGUCGCCAUACCUGCAAUUAAUAAUACAUAGUAUUCAAAUUCCAUCGAUCCCAAUACAACAAAAUUUUAAAUUGUUAUGAUCUGAAUAUUACCAAUGGCCCGUUAUGCUUCCAUUUGAACCUGGGCUAUAGAUAAUCAAAUUUCCAUCGUGGCCUCCAGUGUGAAAGCAAGCAUCAGUAAAUACCUGAUUCGUCAAUCCUCGUAGCUCAGCCUCCUCUUUAAACUUAUAAAUGAGAACACGUGCACUAUCACCAAUCCAUUCCUCUCGACUACCUUGUGCACAUACAAAUACAUGGGAGCCAGUCAACGACUCUUGCACUCCGGAAGCCCAUGGCUUGUCAUUCACAAGGACAUCAUCAACAAAGCUGUCCACAUUCGACUCUUUCAAGCCCCUUUGAUCAACAAACAAAAAUAUCAGAAUCACAAAAAAGGAUUUACAUGCAAGAAAAUUAGUCGUAAACUGAGCCAUUAAAUUCAAUUUCUAUAACUAAUUUCAGAAACUAACACAUAUCUAAUUAUCUAUUUGGUUCAGUAAAUUCAGCAUAAUCCCGUAACCAAAUGAGAAGUCGAAACAAAAAUUACUUUAGUCUGAGGUAGGAAAAUAAAUUGCGCUCAUGUUGGUUAUGGAAUGGGCCCUCGAUUAUGAAUUAACUACGGUUUGCCAUUGUGUGUGUUUGUGUGGGCGGUGCUUAACAGCUGGGUUGGGCUGCUGCAUUUGGGCCCAUGGUGCAGCUCUCACGCGUUUUGGGCUGGGUUUCACCGAAAGAUCAAAUGACUCUUUUGCCCUUUUCAGUCCUAAUCCAACGGCCACCAUUUGGGGCGUUUGUGUUCUGCAAUUCGGUUGCUUUCGAUCUCGUCAAGGAGAUCGAGCAGAGAGGCGGAGGGUGACAUCAAGUUUUGGGUUUGCACAUUGAGAGACAAGAGGGUUUAUGGGAAGGGUAGGAGCUAGAGAAAGGGGGGGUUCUGUUCGCUGACGUUGGUUGCGGAGAGAGAGAGAGAUGGGCAAAAGUAUGGGGGUAGGGUUGAGGGGAACGGGUACAGAGAGAAAGAGUGAGGAAGGGACAUAUGAGCUAGAGGUAUGGGUUGAUUUGUCAGGGUCGACCUGUAAACGGUCGGGUUAUUGGAUUUGGGUCGGGUUCAAUUUGACCCGUUAAGUUAACGGAUCAUCCGUUUCAUCGGUUAACACCCGUUAACAAUUAUUAUUAUUAUUUUUUUCAUAAAGUUUAUUUUUUAUUGUUAAGACUUUACUGAAAUUACUUAAACAUUCUCAACUAACGGGUGCUAAUGAGUCUAACGGGUUGACCCAAAGUGACCCGUUAUUUAACGGGUUGUUAACCAAUUCACCAGUUAACCCCGACCCAUUAAUUUUCCACCAAAAUACUAAUAUUAACUGAUCGGGUUAACAUGCCAGGUGCAAAAUGCCAGGUCUAGUCAGGGGCUGCUGCAUCCUUCCUAUUCACAAGGUAACAAAUAAUUUUCCAUUCAUUCUUUACUGUUGGUUGUGAAUUUACUGUUCGGGAAAGGAGGCUACAAAUGAUUUAUGCAUACCUUUGUAGCCUUUAGGUGUGUGUUUGCUAGCUAGCUGGGUCGUGGGUGAGUCUUGAUUGUUUUGGUUCUGUCAUCUUCGACUCUUAUGUCUUCCCUUUUUCUGAAUUUUCUUUAUUUCUCAUCCUUUAAACUUUGUAUUUUUUUUUUAUGUGUGAUGCAGAUAGAUGAACAUGUUCAAAGGGGAAUCAUGAACCACAGAUCACUGCAUCCGAAUAUCGUUUUGUUCCAAGAGGUCAGUGAUCAUAAACUAUUUUCAUUUUGUAUUUUAAGAAUGAAUUUGGCAAGUUCUGUUUGAAUUUUGUAUAAGUAUCUGCUGAGGGUGGGUGGAUGAAGACAGAACAUGCUAAAUUUGGCCUUUGGUGUGCUUAAACUGGUACGGGGGAUGGUUAGAACUUUGAGACCGGGAUGCAGUAGGACUAAGAGAAAUGCCCUACCCACCGGGGCAAUUGUUGUCAAAAUAACUCUGCUAAAAAUAUGAGCUUUCCGGCACUUUGUUUUUAGAGUGGCUUAUUUGGGAUAAUUGAUAAAGAGAUUUGUGUUUAAGACUUGAGAGUAGUGCGGUGUCUUUCUUGCUGGUUCUGCUCACACCACCUCAUCUAGAGAGUAGUGAGGUUUGUGAUGGAGUACACGGCUGGGUGAGAACUCUUCGAGAGAAUAUGCAGUGCUGGCAGAUUUAGUGAGGAUGAGAUAAAGUGGUUUCAAAUGCAGAGAACAUUUCAUUGGAAAUGAUUUUAGUGUAGAGUCUCAAAUAUGGGAUCUGUGAAUGUCCCCUGAAAUGGAAUCCAUCUCGAUUUUCGUUUAGUUUCAGAUAAGGAAAGUUAGGUCUGAAGCAUUUUGGAAUAUGAAUGGAAAUUAUGGAAUCCAUGUAGUCCAACGAGUUCUUGAAGUUUGGAAUAUCUUUGAGUUUGUGGCAGUCGUCCAGUCUCAAGAGUGUCAUUUUCGACAUCUCUGAAAAGUCGGGCAUUAUUUCCAGUGCAGUGCAGUGCAGUGCUUUGCUAUCAGUUCAAGCAAACUGUUUGGCAAAUCUAGGAUUGCCUGAAGGUUUGUGCAAUGAUUUAGCUUUAAAACCUGAAGCUGAGAAAGGCCACUGAGAAUGGGCAGCCUACUAAAACCAUUCCCACCUAGAUCUAAAAAUGUUAAAGAAGAUAGACUCCCAAUUAUUUCGAGAACGGCACCAUCUGUUAUAUUGCAGUCGUUGAGAUUUAAUCUCUUAAUCAUCUUCAGUUGUGCUAAAAAAUGGUAACUCCCACACAAACCCUUAGAGCCACUGAGGUCCAAUUCCUCGAGAUGUGGGAGUUUUGAAAAGUCUGGUAAUUCAGUCAGGUUAUGGCAGUCUCUAAGAAUGAGAUACUUCAACUUCUUAGGCAACUGUUACUCAAAAAGAGAAAACAAUAAUAAAAAUCCAAAUAAAUAAAAGAGAGAAUGCAUGACGAUGACUGAUGUUGAUAUUUACAAGGCAUUGAUAAUUAUAUCGUACCAAGUCAGAAUCCUCCCAAACUCGUAUGAUCUUGCUGUUCCACAGUUCCAUAUAAACUAGGUUUCGUUGAUCAAAAUCUGCUGGUAUGGCUUCAAGAGGAAAUCCGUUCGAACACAAAAAUCUUAACUCCUUGGAAAGAUGUUUGUAGCUUCCCGUCAGCUUUACAUUUUCCAGCAUGAGAAAUUUCAGACGCCACAUCUUCUUAAACACUUCCGUACUGAAGCUUCGCUCGUCAUCAGGAUGUUCUAGCAAAGCUAAUUGUAGUCCUUCAACUGCUUCUGUUCCCUGUUAGAGAUAUAAAAAAAAAAAAAACAAGAAAAGGAUAAUAUUUACACGAAGCAGAGCUGUGAAUUGGAUGAAUGAACUACUAGAAGGGUAGGAUACACAACAUAAUUAUGUAUUUUCUCUUUCAAUUUACAGUGGAUGAAAGCCUUUUCUUUCUUCUUUUUCUUCAAAUAUACUAUGUAUGGCAUACAUUAUAUAUAUGCGGAUAUACGUAUAUACUUCUCUUUCUUCACAUGUACUUAACAUAACAUCUUUUUAUUGCAAAAGUACUUACAGAUUCGUUUCUUAACACGUUUUUUGCAUCUUCACUAUGCCACAAUUGACUACGUUUUCCCAAUUCCGUAGGAGAUUUUGCCCGCACAAUUUCUCUUCCCAUAUCUCGAACCAAAUCAUGCAUCCUCAAAAUUUUGUCUUCAUCAAUAUAUAAGAGACCUCGAUUGCAGAGUGUGGUAAUUUCUGCUUCUACAGAAAAAUGACUACAACUAUCCAAUACUGGCAUGACUAUAUUUAUAUACCAUCCAAUAAAGACACAAGAUAUGUCAAGGAACACACCCUUCACAUGAUCAUCAAUUAGCCCAUCGUAUCUUAAUUUAAGCGUUUCAUUAAUUUCUCCUCCAUUUGGAAGCUUCUGGUCAUUAAUUUGUUCAGCUUCAUCAGAAGAUGCUCCCAUUUGGCCCCUACAAGGAAUGAAAUUGAAUUUCGUGUUCACCUAUUUAAAGAUUCAACUCUAAGUUUCGUCAAUAGCAAUUGAGUAAGAACAUGUAUGAUCAAGCUUAUAAACAAAUCACAACAUUACAAAUCAGAAACAUGUAUGGGGUAAUGUAGUUAUAUCCAAUUAUUUUGUGCUUUCUCCACAAAAGCUCCUCCAUGUUAAUGUAACUCUAUAUCAAUUAAUCUAUCAUACAAGACCAGACAUAAUCAGCAAUUAAAAAAUAUGACAACACAAGCUUUCGUCCAGUGAAAUUUUCAUCCAAAGACAGUAGGCAAAACCAAAAACAAACAAACCUCCAAUGUCGUUUUAUAAUAUCUCCCUUCCCAAUAUGCUAAUCAAACAAUUUCGGCACGUCAUCAAGAUUGACCAAGGGAUAACUGCAAUUAAUAAUACAUAAUAUUCAAUCUCCUUCAUCGAUCCCAAUACGAUAAAUUUUAAAUUGUUAUCAUCCGGAUAUUACCAUUGGAAUGAAUCUUUGCGGUAGAUAGUGGGAUUUCGAGCACAAAUGUGGCCUCCAAUGUGAAGGCAAGCAGUAACAAAUACCUCAUUCGUCAAUCCUCGCAACUCAGCCUCCUCUUUAAACUUAUCAAUGAGAACACGUGCAGGAUCACGAUUCCAUUCAUUUCGUGUCAUAUGUGCGAAUAUAAAUAGAUGGCGGCCAAUCAACGGCUCUUGCACUCCGGAAGCCCAUGGUUUGUGAUUCACAAGGACAUCAUCAACAAAGCUG
rnacentral:lncRNA from 1 species